GUGGAAACUUCCAGGGCACACCAAUCGGUGUGUCUAUGGACAACACCAGGCUUGCCAUUGCUGCGAUUGGCAAGCUCAUGUUUGCCCAAUUCUCAGAGUUGGUGAACGACUUCUACAACAACGGUCUUCCUUCCAACCUCUCUGGUGGGCGCAACCCGAGCUUGGACUAUGGCUUCAAGGGUGCCGAGAUUGCCAUGGCCUCGUACUGCUCCGAGCUCCAGUUCUUGGGCAACCCUGUGACCAACCAUGUCCAGAGCGCAGAGCAGCACAACCAAGAUGUCAACUCUCUUGGCCUCAUCUCCUCAAGGAAGACUGCCGAGGCCAUUGACAUACUGAAGCUCAUGUCCUCGACAUUCUUGGUCGCGUUGUGCCAGGCUAUCGACCUCCGCCACCUUGAGGAGAAUGUCAAGAAUGCCGUGAAGAGUUGUGUGAAGACUGUGGCUAGGAAGACACUGAGCACCAACAACAAUGGUCAUCUCCACAAUGCGCGCUUCUGUGAGAAGGACUUGUUGCUCACAAUCGACCGUGAGGCGGUGUUCGCUUACGCGGAUGACCCCUGCAGCGCCAACUACCCACUGAUGCAGAAGAUGCGUGCAGUUCUCGUGGAGCAUGCCUUGGCCAAUGGUGAGGCUGAGCGCGAUGCGGAGACAUCAGUGUUUGCUAAACUUGCCAUAUUUGAACAGGAGCUCCGUGCAGUGCUUCCAAAGGAGGUCGAGGCUGCCCGAAGUGCCGUGGAGAACGGUACUGCUACACAACAAAACCGUAUCACCGAAUGUCGAUCAUACCCUCUCUACCGAUUCGUGCGCAAGGAGCUUGGAACUGAGUAUUUGACCGGGGAGAAGACUAGGUCUCCCGGUGAAGAGGUGGACAAGGUGUUCGUUGCUAUGAACCAGGGCAAGCACAUUGAUGCACUACUUGAGUGUCUCAAGGGGUGGAACGGUGAGCCCCUACCUAUCUGCUGAGGAUCAAGAACUUGAAGAGAAGAUAGAGUGCUUCAAAGUUCAGAAGGCUUCAGAUAUUCUUAGCUGAUAAGUGAUAAUACUGUUUUUUCAUUGGAUUUUCUUAGAAGCCGAUGUUUUGUAAUGUUAUUACAAAGCUACUAGGUUGUUGCCAAAAAUUGCAAUUGCAUGCUUUGGUAGCGAUAGGUAGCCAAUAGAACUACUGUCAUGUAAGUUAAAAAGGGUACAAUAUGUGAUAAAUAUUCAUGAUAAAUUUACUUGUCCCUUUUUUGAGAUCAAUGGUCUAGUGGUCUUGAGACAACUUGGAACAAUGCAAAGAAUCUAUUGUGCUUUCUUAAUUGCAAAUAAUCUAUUGUUGGCAUGUUAUAUGGUGUGUGGAAACGAUGCAUCAACAUAGACCGCGGACAAGAAAGUUAAAUUAGUUCCCAGAUAAUCACUAGUCAGUUAUAUCUCUAUAGUGGCUGUUCCAUCAACACGAUGUGAUGGCUUCUCUUCUUAGUCUUGUAUCCACGUGUUGCUAUUUACCAAUUUGAGUCUACGAUGUUAUCCGAUUUCACUUGGCGAUACAAACAUAUUUUAGAUAAAUAAAGAUUUUAUUUCUUGUCGGCAGCAAAACCCAAAUACUACCUCUAUAAAUAAAUCCAAGACGUUUUAGAGACUUGACACAUUUUAUGAUCAAUCACCAGCUUUCUCCAAUUCUCUACUUUUGAAUAAUAACUUGCCUUUUCCUUUUAAGUUUCAUUUUUUAUCCUAGAAUUUCACUAGUUCCCAGUUCCCACUUUGAUAUUGAAAAAUAUAUACUCUAACAUCUUCAUGUUUUUUCUCCUCAUUUUUUAGUUUUUUACUUUAAUACUCUAUAUAUUUUCAUCGUAUUUCCAUGAGUUGUGUUAUUUAGCUGAAGUUAGAGACCACAUAACAGUAUGUCUAUACUUCUAAAACAGAAAGAUCAAAAUUGUCUGGUGUUAGAGCAUCUACAGCUGAGCAUCCCAAACGCUCCUCAAACGCCCGGGCUGCCCGGUGACGAAAUUUCGACCCAGCCGGGCGCCUCAAACGGGCCUCAAACGCCUGGGCUGACCGACACCCUUCAUAUCCAGCCCAAAUAUGGGGCGAAUAUGGGGGCGACCGGGCGUGCUCGGACGUGUCCGCCAACCCCGCUGCAGGUCGUAGGGGUCCCACCUGCAGCGACUGAAAUUCCGUCCUCUCUCAUCGGGGAACCAAAAUUUUAGUCCCACAUUGUCGGGCGAGGCGGAGGCCGACCGACUUAAAUAGUCACGCCGGCGCACGCCGGCAAGCUUCUCUGUUGUUGUGUAGGUCUAUCAAUUAUCGUUGCCUGAGCGCGAUAACUUGACAUUAGACUGCAUUUCAUUAGUAGAUGAUUGUUCGUCGAGUAUCAAGUUCAUCUCAUUCAUGCACGUCCAUACCCCUACUACAAUAACAAUACAUUUUUUAUUUUGUUCAUCGACUUUUUGUUGACAAAUUAUGAUUCAUAAAAAGCAGUACGAACAUGAUCGUUUCCCUAGUAAAGGAGAUACACCCUAACUAUGAAUCUUCUAUGUGAUACAUAAAAUAUUUAUAGUGAUAGUCUAUCUUCUUUACAAAGGAUCCAAUAAUGUGAGGAGCUUAUCGCUUCUGCACGACCCGGCUAUUCAAGCCGGUCGACUAGCUCAUCAUGCGGCGACGUGGACUAAUAUGGGUGUGAAAAUCUUAACUAUGAGCAAUUAUCGGUGUGUAUUGACAGCCCAGCCGGCCUAAGACGGACGAGAUGAUCAUCGUGCAUGGCGCUGCAUGUAAUAGUUGUUUCAGAAAUAGGGUAUAUGGUUGCAAAUGGUCAAUUUUGAGGCUUGCCCGGUGACUGUUCGCGGGCGCGUCCAGGCGCAUCUGAGGACGUUUGAGGGGUCAGAUUUUCAACUUGCAGCUGUAGAUGCUCUUAUAGCUUAGAAACCACAACCUGCAAAAAAAUAACAACUUAGAAACCAUUAAUAAACUCAAAUUUCAAUAGUAAUAACAGGGUCAAAAAUGCAUCUUUGAAAAAAUGGAGAUAGGAGGAGAAGACAGAAGCACCGACGUUAGCAAUCCUACGGCCGCCAUUAGUUGCAGCUGAAAGAUAGAGGAUGUCGCCUAGAGGGGGGGGUGAAUAGGCGUUCUAAAAUAAUUACGGUAGAAGCUUGAACAAAUACGAAAUAAACCUAACGGUUAAUUUGUCAAGCACAAAACCUACAACAACUAGGCUCACCUAUGUGCACCAACAACUUAUGCUAAGCAAGAUAAGCAACUAUGUGAUAGCAAGAUAUAUGACAAAGAACAAUAUGGCUAUCACAGAGUAAUGUGCAUAAGUAAAAGGGCUCGGGUCAGAGAUAACCGAGGCACUCGGAGACGACGAUGUAUCCCGAAGUUCACACCCUUGCGGAUGCUAAUCUCCGUUUGGAGCGGUGUGGAGGCACAAUGCUCCCCAAGAAGCCACUAGGGCCACCGUAAUCUCCUCACGUCCUCGCACAAUGCAAGAUGCCAUGAUUCCACUAAGGGACCCUUGAGGGCGGUCACCGAACCGUACAAACGGCGACCCUUGGGGGCGGUCACCGAACCCGUACACUUUGGCAACCCUUGGAGGCAGUCACCGGUACCCGUCAAAUUGCUCGGGGCAAUCUCCACAACCUAAUUGGAGACCCCGACGCUUGCCCGGAGCUUUACACCAUAAUGAUUGAGCUCCGAACACCACCAACCGUCUAGGGAGCCCAAGCACCCAAGAGGAACAAGCUCAAGGGUACGAAGCCCCCAAGAGUAAUAAGCUUCUCAACUUGAAACUUCCACGUAUCACCGUGGAGAACUCAACCCGAUGCACAAAUGCAAUGGCAAGGGCACAUGGAGUGCCCAAGUCCUUCUCUCUCAAAUCCCACCAAAGCAACUAAUGCUAGGGAGGAAAGUGAGAGGAAGAACAAGAAGGAGAACACAAAGAUCUCCAAGAUCUAGAUCCAAGGGGUUCCCCUCACAUAGAGGAGAAAGUGAUUGGUGGAAGUGUGGAUCUAGAUAUCCUCUCUCUUUUCCCUCAAAAACUAGCAAGAAUCCAUGGAGGGAUUGAGAGUUAGCAAGCUCAAAGAAGGUCAACAAUGGGGGCAAAACGAGCUCAAGAGAUGGGGAACCAUUGGGGAAGAAGACCCCCCUAAAUAGGUCCCCACGAAUCUGCCCGUUAUGUGCAGAAAGACAUAGGAGCGGUACAACCGCUAUGAGCACCGGUACAAUCGGUAACAGGCAAUAAGCGGAACAACCGGCCCACAACCGCCCAACAACCGCACCACAACAGAAGCUAGUCCGGUGGUAGAGCGGUACAUGGCCGGUACAACCUCUGGACCAAUUUUGGAGCGGUAUAACCACUCCAAACACCGGUUGUACCGGUCAACCGGUACAACCUCUCUAUGGGGCGGUACAACCUCUUUAUGUAAAACAGGCAAUAUCAAAACAGCCACAACAUUCGCAUACGAGCUCCGAAUUUGAUGAAACCAAGUUUGUUGGAAAGCUAGCAACAAGGGCUAACAAAAUCUUGAAAUAAAUAUCAAUAAGAAGCAAAUUAGAAAAGGCCCAUAAGAAAAAGGUGAGAAUCCUUCCUCGGAUAAUACCGGUAAAACCUCCAACACCGAAAACAUCAUAGAAGACGCAUGCGAACUCCGUUUUUGAUGAACUCAAGCUUGUCAUCAAGAUGACCAUAAGCUCUAAGACUCACAAAGAGAAACAAACAAGAACCAAGAAACAUGAUGCAAGGAUGCAAUGGUUUGAGAUCUCUACUAACGAUACGAUCAAGCUACCAACUUGAGAGCCCCCUUGAUAGUACGACAAACAAUCCUAUAACCCGGUCUCCCAACUACCACCACGAGACCGGUAAAAGAGAAAACCUAUCAAGGGCAAACCUUUGCCUUGCACAUGGUCCACUUGAGCUAGAUGAUGACGAUCUUGACUCCCUCAAGUUGGACCACCUUUCUUGAUUGCAUUGGCUCAAUGAAGACUAGAUGAUUGCUCCCCCAUAGUCCACUAUGGGUGAGCCUCUCUUCGGCACAUCUUCACAAGACCAUUGACACCACAAAGGAUGGAAAGAUUCAAGCACUUGAUCUCUUCGUGAUGCUCCACUUGAACUUGCACACGGCAACCAUGAUGACGAUCACCACUUGAUGUCAUCAUUUCCAUGGGUUGUAUGAUAUCUUCCUCUUGACGCAAGCCCAUGGACACGUACCUAACCCCACAUAGAACUCUCACAUAGACCAUGGGUUAGUACACAAAGUGCAAUGGACAAUGCUCACCAUACCAUGGGAUCACUUGAUCCCUCUCGGUACAUCUUCUACGCUUUGUGAGUUGAUCAACUUGAUUCACUCUUGACUUAGUCUUGAUCAACCUUGAAUCUUUCCAACUCUCUUCAUUUGGAUGAUGUCUUGAAGGUAAACAUGAAUGAUCACACAAUCUUCUUCUUCAAGACAUGCUUGCAAUAAGCUCAACACUCACAUGACCAAUCUUUGGAUAAUUACUUAAUAGCACCUUGGUCAACUCAUAAACUCCUUGAAACCAACACAUGGACUUCAAGAAAAGCCUAUGGACAAAACCUUCAAAUAUAACUCAAGGCAACCAUUAGUUCAUAGAGAUUGUCAUCAAUUACCAAAACCAAACAUGGGGGCAUCACAUGUUCUUUCAAUCUCCCCCAUUUUGGUAUUUGAUGAAAAUCACUUUCAAGAGAGUUUAUAUAAGGAAUUAUGCAUCACCAUGCAAUGCAACAACCAAUAGUGCAUGCGAAUGAGAUGCAAAUGCUAAGGAACAAAACCAAAGCAAGAGGAGACAACUCUCUAAACUUCUCCAGAAAACUCUCUGAAACUUCUCCCCCAUUGGCAUCGAUUGCCAAAAUGGGCUAAAAGCUUAGAAGGCCAAUAUAAAAUGUGUUCCUCCAUAAAUUGUGUAUUUAUCAACAAGAGAGUGGAAUGCAAUACACAUAUCCAAUGGUAAAUACUUGGAGGAAGACAAACUAUAUUUAGGCCCAAAGAUUGUAAAAGGAAGAUAUGCCACAAAGACAUAAUCAAAGAGAGAAACAAGCAAUCAAGCAACCAAAAGAUACCAAUUGAAGCAAGCUAUCAAAAGAUACCAAUUGAACCAACUAGGCCAAUGAUCCUACGAGCCACAUGAAUAAAGGAUAUUAUGAUAAGAGCAGAGCAGUGUUCUAAAGAAACUAGAGAAGCUCCCCAUGAUUUGUGCACAUCAAGAAUUUUUGUAUUUGGAUACAAAGUGCACAAAAUAGGAUCGUAGCUCCCCCAAGAUCAAUAGAACAUCACGACAAGUGCAAGAGAGCAACGGAGUGUUCUAAAGACACUAGUGAAGCUCCCCGUGAUCUGUGCACUCCUUAGAAUAUUUGCAUUAGGAUACCAAGUGCACAAAAUAGGAUCAUCACUCCCCGAAAAUCAAUAGAAACUCACAACAAGUGCAAGUGAGCAUGUAGGAAACAAAGUCUUGCAGCAAACAAAUGGUUGAGCAACAUAUAAAAGAGGCAACUUAAGAGUAGGCUCAACCAAAAUGAUGUGUGUGAGUCAUGGCAAAGCACUUGAGAAGACUAAUGUAAGGGUGAGCAUUAAGCAUCAACAUAGUCUUGAAAAGUGGAGAUACAAGGUGCAUGACAUGUCCUUCCCACACACACCAGGCAAAAGUGAUCACAAGCACACUAAAUAUGCAAAAAGAAUAACCAACACUUGUGAUAACCCAUUGUGAAGAUAGAAAGUGAAAGCCUCAUCAAGACGAGGGAUACCAAUUAAAAAACCUCAUCAAGACAAGCAUGAAGAAAAUGAUCUUCACCACACAAGAGUGCAACAAGAUGUAACGAGAUAAGACCCGCACUCAAGGCACACACUUACACGGAGCCACCAAAGAAAUAACAUGAGAAAGAAAUGAUGGACGUGAAAGAAAGGGAUAUCAACUAGAGAUGUACCUUCUCUCAAGUGUAUAAGAUUCUAGGUAGAUGAAAAUCAAGAUGAUAUCAAUCCACAAAGAAGGAUAUACACAUGAAAUAGUUACAAAAAGGAAAGAACAAGAUAUCCACAAGGAAGUCAUAAAUAUACCAAUAAGAAAUUUGCUUGAGAGCAUAGCACAUGGCUAGAUAUGGUCUUAUUGUAUAUAAAUGAAUUCCAACCACACGAACAUCAAAGACAUCACAACUAGCAACAAGAGAUCAUUGUUGGGAUGCUUUGAGAAAGGAAACAAGUAUCACAAGAAAGAAUGAAUAACAUGCCAUGAUACAACCUACACAAGGUUGAUGCAAGAAAUGUGUGCAUGAAGUAGAUGAUGAUACUUGUUACCGAGAUACCAUUGGAAGGAUAUAGUAGAUACCAAUUGAAGGUAGAUAGUAGUUCAUUGAUGAUCCUAGCUUGACUAUAGUAAGCACAUGGUGACAACACCUUCCUUGUGAGUGAGACGAGCAUCCAAUGCAUCUCCAAUUGUUCCUAGAACAAAAACACAAACAAAAUGGUACCAAAACUCAUUGGGACCAAAGAGUUAGAAACACCAAUACAUAGGACAAACUCCACAUAAAUAUGUGCACAUAGAUAGGAAAUAGAAUUUCAUGCACAUCUCAUCCAAUUUGAGACUUGGUGGAGUUUCCCUUAUAUAAUGGGUCAAAGAAAGAAAGCAUGCCAAAGAAAAUACAUGAAGGAUAUAUGCAUGCUCAAGACUUUCAAGGACCGAAACCAAAUAAAAAGAAAUACCAAGUGAAAAAAAGAUACCAAAUGAAUAAAUCAUCACUUGGAGGAUGUCCAUAAAAGAUACAUCAAGGAAUGAGAUAUCCAUUGAUACACUCAAAAAGAAAGAUGUCAAACUCCCAAAAGAGAGAAUGGUUCCAAACAAACCAAGCCCUCUACAAAGUUUCAUGAUGGCACAAAGUACCAAAAAGAAACGGCUUUCCUUCCACAACCACACACUUGAUAAGGAUCACAAGAUGAGUGUUUUAUAGAGAAUAUGAUAGCUCCCCCAAGACUAGUGCAUUAUAGAGAAUUUGAAUUUGAAUACAAAAUGCACGAGGUGGGAUCACCACUUUCACUAUAUCUAGAAAACAUUAGACAAGGUCAAGAAAUUAACAAGAUCCACAAGUGGUAUGGAAUACAAUGGGAGUUGACACAAUCCUAGGCAAGAGAUAAAGCAAAUAAAAGCAAAGGCCAACGUAAAGAUGAUCAAUAAUUUCUACCACACAUAAGUGAGUACCAAUUGUCAAAAGACAAGAAGUAUUUGGGAAUAAUUCCCGGUGGUAGAUAACAAGGAUAUCUGACAUCAUCUUCACACCAAACAAAAAGCAAAUUGUAACUUCUAGAGCUAACAUGCCACCUAGGAACAAGAUAAUUUACAAUAUCAAUUUGUGAUGCCCCCGAUUCAAUCGUACACUAAUCAUGCACGCAAAUGUGUACGAUCAAGAUCAGGGACUCACGGGAAGAUAUCACAACACAACUCUAAAACAUAAAUAAGUCAUACAAGCAUCAUAAUACAAGCCAGGGGCCUCGAGGGCUCGAAUACAAGUGCUCGAUUAUAGACGAGUCAGCGGAAGCAACAAUAUCUGAGUACAGACAUAAGUUAAACAAGUUUGCCUUAAGAAGGCUAGCACAAACUGGAAUACAAAUCGAAAGAGGCGCAGGCCUCCUGCCUGGGAUCCUCCUAACUACUCCUGGUCGUCAUCAGCGGGCUGCACGUAGUAGUAGGCACCUCCAGCGUAGUAGGAGUCGUCGUCGAAGGUGGCGUCUGGCUCCUGGACUCCAGCAUCUGGUUGCGACAACCAGAAAGAAAGGAAAGGGGGAAAAAGGGGGGAGAAAGCAACCGUGAGUACUCAUCCAAAGUACUCGCAAGCAAGGAACUACACUACAUAUGCAUGGGUAUAUGUGUAAGGAGGCCAUAUCACUGGACUGAACUGCAGAAUGCCAGAAUAAGAGGGGGAUAGCUAAUCCUGUCGAAGACUACGCUUCUGGCAGCCUCCGUCUUGCAGCAUGUAGGAGAGAGUAGAUCGAAGUCCUCCAAGUAGCAUCUCCAAGUAGCAUCUCCAAGAGCAUCGCAUAGCAUAAUCCUACCCGGCGAUCCUCUCCUCGUCGCCCUGUGGAAAAGCGAUCACCGGGUUGUCUGUGGAACUUGGAAGGGUGUGUUUUACUAAGUAUCCGGUUCUAGUUGUCAUAAGGUCAAGGUACAACUCCAAGUCGUCCUGUUACCGAAGAUCACGUCUAUUCGAAUAGAUUAACUUCCCUACAGGGGUGCACCAACUUACCCAACACGCUUGAUCCCAUUUGGCCGGACACACUUUCCUGGGUCAUGCCCGGCCUCGGAAGAUCAACACGUCGCAGCCCCACUUAGGCAAAACAGAGAGGCCAGCACGCCGGUCUAAACCUAAGCGCACAGGGGUCUGGGCCCAUCGCCCAUAGCACCCCUGCACGUUGCGAGGGCGGCCGGAAGCAGACCUAGCCUAGCAGGCGUUCCAGUCCAAUCCGGCGCGCGCCGCUCCGUCGCUGACGUCUGAAGUGCUUCGGCUGAUACCACGACGUCGGGAUACCCAUAACUACUCCCACGUAGAUGGUUAGUGCGUAUAGGCUCGUAGCCGACUUAGAUCAAAUACCAAGAUCUCGUUAAGUGUGUUAAGUAUCCGUGAACGCCGAACAGGGCCAGGCCCACCUCUCACCCAGGUAGUCUCAACCUGUCCUGUCGCUCCGCCACAAAGUAACAGUCGGGGACCGUCGGGAACCCAUGCCCACCUCUACCGGGAUGGAGCCACCUGUCCUUUCAGCCCCCAUCUUCGAACAGUAUCACAGGUAAUGUAACAGUGUAAAGUAUAUUGCCCGUGAUCACCUCCCGAAGUGAUCACAACCCAGUAGUAUAGCAUGGCAGACGGACAAGAGUGUAGGGCCACUGAUGGAACACUAGCAUCCUAUACUAAGCAGUAGGAUAGCAGGUAAAGGUAACAACAGUAGUAGCAAGGACAGGCUAUGCAGCAGUAUAGGAUUAACUGAAAGCAGUAACAUGCUACACUACUCUAAUGCAAGCAGUAUAGAGAAGAUUAGGCGAUAUCUGGUGAUCAAAGGGGGGGCUUGCCUGGUUGCUCUGGCAAGAGAGAGGGGUCGUCGGUGAUGUAGUCGACCACAGGGGCAUCAGCAUCGUCACGGGGUCUACCGGAGAGAAGAGGGGGGGAGAAACAGUAAAUACAUAGCAAGCAAGUGCAUAACAGGACAACAAGCAGAGCUAGACGUGUUCUAACGCGGUAGUAGGUGAUACCGACGAAGGGGGAAAGCAUCCGGGAAAGUAUUCCCGGUGUUUCGUGUUUUCGGACAGAUGAACCGGAGGGAGGAAGUUGCGUGUUUUAUAUGUUAGGGGUGUGUGGUGGACGAACGGGCUGCGUAUCCGGAAUCGUCUCGUCGUUCUGAGCAACUUUCAUGUACAAAGUUUUUCCAUCCGAGCUACGGUUUAUUUUAUAUUAAUUUUAAAAGAUUUAAUUCAUUUUUAGGAUUUAUUUUAUUAUUUAAAUUCAACAUUAUCCAGAACAGUGCACGCUGACAUCAGCAUGACGUCAGUAGUCAACAGAGGCGUUGACUAGUCAACUGACGUGUGGGUCCCGGCUGUCAUUGACUGUUAACUAACCUAACAGAUUAAUUAACUAAACUUAGUGAUUAGGUUAACCUACCAGGAUUAAUUAAGUUAAUUAAUUCUUUAAUUAAUUAAUUAAUUAAUUUUUUAAUUAUUUACUUAUCUAUUUUUUUAUUAUUAUUAUUUUCGUUCUGGGCGUGGGCCCCGUUUGUCAUAGGCCCAUAGGGGCCUUAGCGGUUACGGGUGUGUGGGCGCGCGCCCGAGUGGGCGCAGCGGGCGUGGCCGACAGGGGCGCACCCGACUGGGGCGAGCCCAGGCGCUGGGGAUCGGGUGAGGCCAUCGGCGCGGCCGCCGGCUCCCACGGCGCCGUCCAGCAGAAGCGGCGGAGGUGUGGAACCGGAACAGGAGGCGGCACGUCGAGGCGGGCGCAGAUGGCCGGCAGGGUGGCCGCGAGCCAUGUGCAGAGGAGGCGGGGAUGGCCGGAGCGGUGCACGGAGAGGGAAGGCGAGGCCGGGGCAGAGCCAGGCGCGCGCCGGGGCACCGUUCAGGCGCAGCGCAGGGAGGAGGAGGUGAGGACGGGGUCGGUCAGCGCGUGGAGGCGCGUGGGGCUGUAACAGCUGCAGCAAGCGCAGGGGGGGGGCGAGGGGAGCACGGGCUACGGCGACGAGUGGCACGACCACAUGAGCAGAGAGGAAUGGAGGACGUGCGGUGGAGCUCACAGGGGUUCGUAGGGGACAAGGCAGCAUGCUCGGGGAGGAGGUUGAAGAUGACGGCGACGUGGCAGCGGCGGGGUGGCACCGGCGGUGUGGUGGCGGCGGAGGGCGGUGCUGCUCGAGGGGAGGUGCCGUUGCGGCGACGGCGGGGUCGAGGCAGAGGAGCUCCGGUGAGGUUGCCCCCGACAAACGGCGAUGGCGGNNNNNNNNNNNNNNNNNNNNNNNNNNNNNNNNNNNNNNNNNNNNNNNNNNNNNNNNNNNNNNNNNNNNNNNNNNNNNNNNNNNNNNNNNNNNNNNNNNNNNNNNNNNNNNNNNNNNNNNNNNNNNNNNNNNNNNNNNNNNNNNNNNNNNNNNNNNNNNNNNNNNNNNNNNNNNNNNNNNNNNNNNNNNNNNNNNNNNNNNNNNNNNNNNNNNNNNNNNNNNNNNNNNNNNNNNNNNNNNNNNNNNNNNNNNNNNNNNNNNNNNNNNNNNNNNNNNNNNNNNNNNNNNNNNNNNNNNNNNNNNNNNNNNNNNNNNNNNNNNNNNNNNNNNNNNNNNNNNNNNNNNNNNNNNNNNNNNNNNNNNNNNNNNNNNNNNNNNNNNNNNNNNNNNNNNNNNNNNNNNNNNNNNNNNNNNNNNNNNNNNNAGGGUUCGGUGCCCCCAGUCGGUAUAGGGAGUGAGGGGUGUGGGGCGGUUGGGCCGGCCCGUUCGUGCGGCGGAGGCCAGCUGGGCCACUUGGCCCAGGGGGGAGGGGUUCUGUUGUUUCCGUUUUGUUUUGUUUUCCUUUCAUUUGUUUAUUUUUUUAUUUAUUUUCCUUUCUGUUUUAUUCAAAUUAAAAUAUUUAUGUAUUUUCUAAAAAUGUGUUUACUUCACCAUAAUUAUCUAUGCAAUAUUUGACACGGUCCGAACAUUUUUAUUUUAAUGUCUGAAAACUUUUAUUAUUUACCAAACUUUGAAUUUGAUUUGGACCGGUUUUGAUCUAAUGAUAGAUUAGUAGCGGUAACCGUGGUGACGUGGCACCAUUAGCGUGGGAUCACUGUAGCUUAAUUAUCCGGGCGUCACACAAUUCUAGGUGACAAUAUCUCAAAUAUACACAUUUUCUAGGCUAGUAAUAUACACAUAUCAUAUUACUCCCCCCAUAAUGUGAUACCAAUUAAAGAUAAACAAGAGGCAAAAUAACGAUCCAACACGAGAUAAUUAAUGGACAAUAUAGAAUUUGAAUUUCUCAUGAGAAGACAUACCACAUAGCGAUUAGAUAAUCUUGAAAUAUCAAUACUAGAUGGUAUUACUCAUGUACACACAUAUAUAGGAUUGUGAGGUGCACAAAGCACAUCACUCCCCCAUAAUGGGAUAUUCCAUUAAUCUCUCACAAGAGCCAACUAAGAAAAGAACAAGAUGCAAAAAGGCUCAAUGCAUGACACACACGUACAUGAUGUGCAAACCAACACACAUACUUGAUUGCUCAAGAUAAUCAAGUUGGAAGCACAACAUAUACAGACACAUGCAAGGAACAAAACCAAACAUGCAAAGGGGUAAGUAACUAUCAAUGUAAACACUUUAAGCACGAGUUACCGCAUGGAGAAACAUUGGAUAUAAGAUAGAAACUUGAUAAUUCAAAUAACUUGGCUUGAGACAAUUAGAAUGAUGAAUUCCCCUUAAUUCUUCAUAAAGUAGACAAGUCUCCAAUGCCCUCCAACAACACCUAUUGAUCAAGUUUGAGCUUGUUGGUCCCCAACCAAGUUGGGUCCUAAGAGGUUAGUCACAAUAGGCUUGGCUACCCAAAUGGUUCUCUUCUUGACACCACUUUGAGUACCAACAACUUUGGAAAACACAUUGCCAACCUUAUCCUUCCCAAGAGAAUAGAUAUCAUCAAUAAUAAUUGGGUUGGAUAAGUUACCACUAGUGCAUGAAGAGGCGAGAUGACCUUUCUCACGACAUAAGUAGCAACGUCUACUCUUCACUUUCUUCUCACCUGAUUUCUCAACUUGAGAAGCAUUAGCUUGAGGAUUCUUGGGAAGAGGACUUUCUUCAACUUGUGGUUGAGCAUGGGAUCGAACUUGUGGCCGCUUCCCUUGUUGCUUGUCACUAAUGGCCUUCUUCUUCAAUGGGCAAGAUCUAACAUGAUGCCCUUCUACUUUGCAGUUGAAGCAAACAAUCUUGGCCGAAUUCUUGACUUGUUCUUGGCCCUUCUUUUUGUUCAUCUUGGACUUCUUCUUCUUCUUGGAGUUGAAUCCAAGUCCACCUUUGUCAUUGGGGGAUUUUUGCACACUCAAGAUAUUGUUGAGUGUGAAUUUACCUUCAUGACUCUUUUCCAAGUCUUUCUUCAAGGAAGUGACUUGGGCCUUGAGCUCUUUGAUUUCCUCUACAUGGUUAGUCUCAACACAAGUACUAGAGGAACUAUAAGCUUCAUUGUUAGAGCAACAAGGCAAGGAAAGCAAUUCAUCACAAGAUGUACCAACAUUGUGAGUAGAUGAAUUACAAGGACUAGCACAUAGCAAUAUAGCAUUUUUGACUAGAAGUAGUGCUAGUAUCCACAUGAGGCUCACUAGAUGUUACCUUAGCAAUCAUGGCCUCAUGAGCUAUCUUUAGCACAUUAUGGGAUACUAGAAGAUCAUCAUGAGAGCUUGCGAGCUUUUCAUGACUUUCUUCCAAUUCCCAUAAUUGCUAGAUAGCAACUCAAGUUGAGCCUGUAGCUCAACAUUCUCCUUCAAAAUGGAUGCUUCACAAGUAAUAGAGUUAGUAGCACAAGCAUCAUCAUUAACAACAAGAGGAGAGGACAACUUGGAAAGCUCUUUUAAAUAAGAAGCUUCAAGUUGAGCAUGAGACUCGGUGAGUUUGAUGAGCUCACCCUUAAUGACCCUUGAGCCAUUUUCGAGGUGCUCAAAAUCCUCAAGGAGUCUAGCAUGAGCAACUUCAAACUUAGCAUUUUUAGUUUCAAAAUCAUUGGCCACCACAAGAGCUCUAUCACGAGAUUCCCUUAAUCUAGAUAAUUCUGGAGCAAAAGUCUCCUCAAGAGAUUCCUUGGUGGUUUGUUCAAGUUCAAGAGCUUGAGAGAGGUCCGCAAUCUCAUUAGCGUAAUCACGCUCAUGACCUUCCAUUUUAUCAAUGGUGACCUCAUGCUCCUCAAGACGAGAUUCCAACUCAUCAAUAUAUUUCUUGCCCUCAGUAGUAAUAUACAUGAUUUCCAUGAAGUUGGAACGAGCAAUUUUAUUCUUAAGAAGAGCUUUAAAAAUCAUUUCCCCCUUAAUUUUUGAGGAGGCAACAUCAUCAUAAUCAACAUCAUCAUCACUCUUGCCAUCAUCAAUAUCAUCACAAGAUAUAUUGGGAUUCAAAGUGGGAGAUACCUUUGAAGCCUUGGCCAUAAGGCAAAAUGCAAUAGAUGAUGAUUUAGGAUCCCUUGAAGCACCAUCCAAGACCACAUCUUGUUCCAUGGAGUGUUGGGUUUCCUCUACAUUGUUAGCACAAUAACUCGAGGAAAUACAUGCAUUUUCAUCAUGGCAACAAGAUAUAGCAAGCAUAUCAUCAUAAGAUUUAGUCAAGCAAUUUCUACAUGAUAUGCAAGGACUAUCAACACAAGCAUGUGAAACAUUUGGAGUGCUCGAAGUGCUAAAGUCCAAAGAUGAAGCAUUGCAAUAAGAAAGUGAUGAAGGAUUAUCAACAAUGAGCCCACUAUCAUCAUUGCAAUGAACACCACUACUCACCAUGUCAUUACCUUGUGGCAAACCACACGUAGGUGAAGUAGAAGAAGUUGAGAACACAACACGGCCGGAGGUGGAGGAAGAACAAUCACCCCCACAAAACUUGGACACGCCAUAUUUAUCUUGAAGCUUUGUCCACAACUCAUGAGCAUCCCGGAACGACAUGAGUUGAAAUAUAACUACAUUGCUCAAAGCAUCGAAAAGCACAUUAGAAGCUUGAGCAUUGAGAUACGAGUUUUUCUCAUCCUCUAAAGAUAAUCUUAGGGGAUCCUUUGGAGGAGAAAAACCCAUAUCUACAAUUCGCUCUAAAUUUGGGUCCAUGACCCUAAAGAGGUUAAGCAUGUGAAUUACCCAAACAUCAAAAUUUGUGCCAUCGAAACUAAGAGUGUCGGAGAAUCCUAAUCCCCUAGUCGACAUCUUUACUCUCUAGGCGUUUAAGCCUAGCAAAGAGAGACGAGGCUCUGAUACCAAUUGAAAGAUCGAGGAUGUCGCCUAGAGGGGGGUGAAUAGGCGUUUUAAAAUAGUUACGGUAGAGGCUUGAACAAAUGCGGAAUAAACCUAACGGUUAAUUUGUCAAGCACAAAACCUACAACAACUAGGCUCACCUAUGUGCACCAACAACUUAUGCUAAGCAAGAUAAGCAACUAUGUGAUGGCAAGAUAUAUGACAAAGAACAAUAUGGCUAUCACAGAGUAAAGUGCAUAAGUAAAAGGGCUCGGGUCAGAGAUAACCGAGGCACUCGGAGAUGACGAUGUAUCCCGAAGUUCACACCCUUGCGGAUGCUAAUCUCCGUUUGGAGCGGUGUGGAGGCACAAUGCUCCCCAAGAAGCCACUAGGGCCACCGUAAUCUCCUCACGCCCUCGCACAAUGCAAGAUGCCAUGAUUCCACUAAGGGACCCUUGAGGGCGGUCACCGAACCCGUACAAAUGGCGACCCUUGGGGGCGGUCACCGAACCCGUACACUUUGGCAACCCUUGGGGGCAGUCACCGGUACCCGUCAAAUUGCUCGGGGCAAUCUCCACAACCUAAUUGGAGACCCCGACGCUUGCCCGGAGCUUUACACCAUAAUGAUUGAGCUCCGAACACCACCAACCGUCUAGGGAGCCCAAGCACCCAAGAGGAACAAGCUCAAGGGUACGAAGCCCCCAAGAAUAAUAAGCUUCUCAACUAGAAACUUCCACGUAUCACCGUGGAGAACUCAAACCGAUGCACAAAUGCAAUGGCAAGGGCACACGGAGUGCCCAAGUCCUUCUCUCUCAAAUCCCACCAAAGCAACUAAUGCUAGGGAGUAAAGUGAGAGGAAGAACAAGAAGGAGAACACAAAGAACUCCAAGAUCUAGAUCCAAGGGGUUCCCCUCACAUAGAGGAGAAAGUGAUUGGUGGAAGUGUGGAUCUAGAUCUCCUCUCUCUUUUCCCUCAAAAACUAGCAAGAAUCCAUGGAGGGAUUGAGAGUUAGCAAGCUCAAAGAAGGUCAACAAUGGGGGCAAAAACGAGCUCAAGAGAUGGGGAACCAUUGGGGAAGAAGACCCCCUUAAAUAGGUCCCCACGAAUCUGCCCGUUAUGUGCAGAAAGACAUAGGAGUGGUACAACCGCUAUGAGCACCGGUACAACCGGUAAUAGGCAAUAAGCGGAACAACCGGCCCACAACCGCCCAACAACCGCACCACAACAGAAGCUAGUCCGGUGGUCGAGCGGUACAUGGCCGGUACAACCUUCGGACCAAUUCUGGAGCGGUACAACCGCUCCAAACACCGGUUGUACCAGUCAACCGGUACAACCUCUCUAUGGGGUGGUACAACCUCUCUAUGUAAAACAGGCAAUAUCAAAACAGCCACUACUUACGCAUACGAUCUCCGAAUUCGAUGAAACCAAGUUUGUUGGAAAGCUAGCAACAAGGGCUAACACAAUCUUGAAAGAAAUAUCAAUAAGAAGCAAAUUAGGAAAGGCCCAUAAGAAAAAGGUGAGAACCCUUCCUCGGAUAAUAAUGGUAAAACUCCAACAUCGAAAACAUCAUAGAAGACGCAUGCAAACUCCGUUUUCGAUGAACUCAAGCUUGUCAUCAAGAUGACCAUAAGCUCUAAGACUCACAAAGAGAAACAAACAAGAACAAAGAAACAUGAUGCAAGGAUGCAAUGGUUUGAGAUCUCUACUAACGAUACGAUCAAGCUACCAACUUGAGAGCCCCCCUUGAUAGUACGGCAAACGAUCCUAUAACCCGGUCUCCCAACUACCACCACGAGACCGGUAAAAAAUAAAACCUAUCAAGGGCAAACCUUUGCCUUGAAUAUGGUCCACUUGAGCUAGAUGAUGACUAUCUUGACUCCCUCAAGUUGGACCACCUUUCUUGAUUGCGUUGGCUCGAUGAAGACUAGUUGAUUGCUCCCCCAUAGUCCACUAUGGGUGAGCCUCUCUUCGGCACAUCUUCACAAGACCAUUGACACCACAAAGGAUGGCAAGAUUCAAGCCCUUGAUCUCUUCGUGAUGCUCCACUUGAACUUGCACAUGGCAAUCAUGAUGACGAUCACAACUUGAUGUCAUCCUUUCCAUGGGUUGUAUGAUAUCUUCCUCUGGACGCAAGCCCAUGGACACGUACCUAACCCCACAUAGAACUCUCACAUAGACCAUGGGUUAGUACACAAAGUGCAAUGGACAAUGCUCACCAUACCAUGGGAUCACUUGAUCCCUCUCGGUACAUCUUCUACGCUUUGUGAGUUGAUCAACUUGAUUCACUCUUGACUUAGUCUUGAUCAACCUUGAAUCUUUCCAACUCUCUUCAUUUGGAUGAUGUCUUGAAGGUAAACAUGAAUGAUCACACAAUCUUCUUCUUCAAGGCAUGCUUGCAAUAAGCUCAACACUCACAUGACCAAUCUUUGGAUAAUUCCUUAAUAGCACCUUGGUCAACUCAUAAACUCCUUGAAACCAACACAUGGACUUCAAGAAAAGCCUAUGGACAAAACCUUCAAAUAUAACUCAAGGCAACCAUUAGUCCAUAGAGAUUGUCAUCAAUUACCAAAACCAAACAUGGGGGCAUCUCAUGUUCUUUCAGCAGCCCUAGGCCAAGUAGGUUGCAUGGUUUACCAUUGUAUCAGUUGAACUAGUCCAUUCAUCUUUCUUCACGUGUCACACUUGCACCAACUCAUCAAAAGAACGCAUGUCUAAAGAGGGUUGGGCGCCUAGCUGGGUUGAAGCUUAGAGCAUCUCCAACAGGCGCCCAACGUGCGUCGCUAAAAUCUGGUUUGCGGCGCGCCCAUCGCCAGGUUUGGCACGUUGCGCAACGCUUGCUCCAGCAGUAGCGCUAAAAUGCAGCGCGCGCGUAGCUCCAGCAGCGCACUAAAAUGUAGUGCCAGCGAGCAGCCGGCGCACACAUUUGUUUUCAUUUUGGGCACAAAUUUCACACAUCAACACAAAACACAUGACAUAUAUUGAAUCACAAACAUCAUUCCAACCAAGAUCGUGCCCAAAAGUUCAUGCCCACAAGUUCAAAUUCAUGCCCACAACAUAAUUCAACCAAGUUCAAAAUGCAAACCAAGUUAGGAUGACACAAACAAAAGGCACAAGAAUCAAGCCUCGUCUUCAUCUUCGUCUUCAUCCUCAUCUUCCUCCGAUUCAUCCUCAUCAUGUGAAGCUCGGAAGGUGUUGCCAAGAUCUUCAACAACAUCUUCAUGCGAAUGUGGCACACCGGAGCCCGGAGGUGCACCCAUGCCCCCAACGAGAGAUGCAAAACUCAUGCCACCCAUGCCACCCAUAAUACCCAUGCCGUCCAAGCCGCCCGGAGGUGCUCCAAAGCCACCCAUGCCUCCCAUGGUCUCCAUGGUAGCUCCAAAGCCACCCAUGGAACCUAUGCUGCCCAUGGUAGCUCCAAAGCCACCCAUGGCACCAAUGCCACCCAUGCCGCUAAGGCCACCGCCACCCAUUGUGCGAAUCAUGGCUCUUUUUUUGAUCAAGACUUUUUCACGGGCAAGGUUGAUGUCGGUGUCAAAACUGGCAGAUCUCGGGUAGGGGGUCCCGAACUGUGCGUCUAGGCGGAUGGUAACAGGAGAUAAGGGACAUGAUGUUUCUACCCAGGUUCGGGCCCUCUCGGUGGAGGUAAAACCCUACUCCUGCUUGAUUAAUAUUGAUGAUAUGGGUAGUACAAGAGUUGAUCUACCACGAGAUCAGAGAGGCUAAACCCUAGAAGCUAGCCUAUGGUAUGAUUGUUGUUCGUCCUACGGACUAAAACUCUCCGGUUUAUAUAGACACCAAAGAGGGCUAGGGUUACACAGAGUCGGUUACAAUGGGAGGAGAUCUUCAUAUCGUAUCGCCAAGCUUGCCUUCUAUGCCAAGGAAAGUCCCAUCCGGACACGGGAUGACGUCUUCAAUCUUGUAUCUUCAUAGUCCGAGAGUCCGGCCAAAGGUCAUAGUCCGGCCAUCCGGACACCCCCUAAUCCAGGACUCCCUCAGUAGCCCCUGAACCAGGCUUCAAUGACGACGAGUCCGGUGCGCAAAUUGUCUUCGGCAUUGCAAGGCGGGUUCCUCCUCCGAAUACUUCAUAGAAGAUGUUGAACACAAGGAUAGUGUCCGGCUCUGCAAAAUAAGUUCCACAUACCACCAUAGAGAGAAUAAUAUCUGUAUAAAUCCAAUCUAGUGACGCAUUCUGUAGCGUGACAUCAUGCCACGGCCAAGCCUUUAUUUGAAUCAUUUUACUGUUCCACCUCAGCGUGUUUAGCGAGGCGGUUUCCUUGGCACGUCUUGUCAAAGCAGAGAUCGUGUCCCCUUAUUCCGGGAUUCUCAUCAAUACGGGCGUGGGUAACCCAACUGCGCCAUUAACCGCGGCGCUUGGGAGAAAAGCGAUUUUUAUUAGGCUGGUGGGGGCUGGUAGUUUCGGUCGCCCAUAUAAGGGGAUAAGGAUCUACCCUUUCCAUUUACGCCUUCUUCCUCCUUUGCUUAUUCCUUCCUGCGCACUCGAGCUCCAAUGCCCAAGUCCGCUCUUCCCACCUCAACCUUCUCCAAUCAUGUCCGGAGCGGGAGGUAGAUGGAUGGCCUCCUCCAUUACGGAGGGGCAAAUCAAAAAGUUGAGGAAGGCCGGAUACUUGUCUGAUGACAUCGCGCACCGGCUUCCAGAUGAGGGGCAACUCAUCCCCACCCCUAGGCCCCAUGAGAGGGUUGAAUUUCUUCCCCAUUUCCUCCACAGACUGGGCUUUCCUCUUCACCCGUUCGUCUGGGGGCUCAUGUUCUACUAUGGCCUGGACUUUCACGAUCUGGCCCCGAACUUCAUCCUCAACAUCUCGGUGUUCAUCGUCGUGUGCGAGGCCUUCCUCCUCAUCCAGCCCCAUUUUGGCCUAUGGCUGAAGAUCUUCAGCGUCAAGCCGAAGGUCGUGAGCGGCCGCCAAGCGGAGUGCGGAGGCGCCAUGGUGGGCAAGAUAGCUAACGUUACAUGGCUCGAGGGCACCUUCGUAGAGACCAUCAAAGGGUGGCAAUCGGGGUGGUUCUAUAUCACCGAGCCGCGUGACCCUGAAUGGGCGGCGGCCCCUGAAUUCUGAUCUGGCAUCCCGACACGGCUCACAUCUUGGAAAGAGACAGACCUGUUGUGGGGUAAUUCGGUAGAAGUGACCGGACUUCAAACCUGCAUCAAGGACAUGAUCGGCAGGAAGGUCAAACUUGUCACCGUAGUCUAGGUCAUGCUCUUCCGCCGGAUUCUCCCGUGUCAACGACGGCCUUUCAACUUGUGGGAGUUCGACCCGGCCCGGCACCAGACUCUAUCCCGGCUCUUCGACACAAAGCACGAGGAUGCCUGGAAGGUGCUAUUCAAGAGCUCCGAGGUCUCCCCUCCCAUCACUGAGGAUCGCGGAUUCUGCGCCAAGCGCCAAGCCAGCGCGGUGAGCUUAAUUUUCCCACUACGGGGUACGUGUUUUACAUAGUUUGACUCUAUGCGGGAUCUAAACUCCCUUACCUUUGACAGGACUGGCUGGACAAGUCCGGGCAGAUCAAUUGUCCGGCCCCUUUGCCCGAAGACCCAGUGGAUGCUCGUCUGACCAAGAUGCUGGUUCCGGCACCUCACAUGGUGCCGGAGAAGAAGGCCAAGAAGAAGGCCGCGGGGACUCGAAAGAGCUCCCGGCGCCUGGUGGUGUCAGAUUCAUUGCCUGACAGCCCCGACGCACCCUCCGCCUCUGAAGACGAGGAGGAGGAGGAAGAAGAAGCCUCUCCCCCUCCAGCGGGGGGAGGAAAGAAAAGGAAGGCUGCCCCAACUGGGGAGGCCGGAGGGUCCAAGAAGGGGAAGACCCUUCUGCCGGACUACGCCUCCGAUGCCGAAGACGGCAGGGAGGAAUGGCCAUCUAGGGUCAAGCCCCUGGAAAAAUCGUAAGUGUCCGGAUACCCGUAUAACUUAUGGCUCUCCUCAAUUAUUCGGUAUUUUUUGAUGCCAAAUUCAAUCAUGUAGUCCGCCCAAGACUCAACUCGGCGAUUCGUCGAGCGGCUCCCUGGAUUCGUCGGAUGUGAAUAGUGCUUCACUUCCAAUGGCUUCCUCCCCGCUUCCUGCGGACGACACCGAGGUGGAGUCCCAAAAGGGACUAAACCAGGAGGAGGUGGUCCUGGAGGCGCCGCAAGGCGACCUCCCGGACUCCAGGCCCAAAGGGGGUAAAGUACCGGAGGGAUCUAAGUCCGGCCCUGGGUCGGACACUGCUCCGGAACCAUCAACAGUUCCAGGGUCCGACAGGCAGCGCCUUCGUAAGAAGGGCAAGCCUACGACACCGGCGGCCUCCGUCCAACCGGAGGCGCCGGACAAUUUGCUGGAGGUGCUUAAUGGCGCCUCCAUCGACGAGGAACACCGCACUGUUAUGAGUGCGGUGAUUCAGAAGGUUCAGUACGCCAAGAGCGGGCUGACAGACGCAUGUACAAGCCUGUUAACAGGCUUUGAGGUAUGUAUUCAAAACAUAUAAAAGUGUUACCGCAUAGACAGUAGCCCCUGAUGCUCAGUUUGGCGUUCGGAAAGAAAAACCGAGCUGAGGAUCUAAAAAGAUAUAUGCAGGAGUCUAACAUAAAUAUGUCAAUAUGGGAAUGCAGGCUGCGCUGCUGACCUCUACCGCACUGACUGCAGAGGUCAAUGCAUUGAAGGAGAGCCUCGAGCGGUCCGAGAACGAGCUCGGCUGUGCCAAGAAGCAGCUCGAGGACAAGGACGGUAUGUAAUACCGUAUGUAAAUGUAUAUAGAAAUACCUGGUUGCAAAUAAUGACAGGACCAACGUUAAUGUUGCAGGGGCCACGACUGAGGUGGUGACCCUGAAGGAGGCGGUGUCCAAGGCCGAGAACAGUGCAGCCUUGGAGCGCACCGAGCGAGAGAAGCAAGAGGCGCGGGUGGCGGAGGUGCGGCAAGAGCUCCAGGCUCUCGUGGAAAAACACGAGAGUUUGGAGCAUGACUCGAAGGCUCGAGAGUCCGAGCUCGCCUUGGCUCUUGAGAGUGCCAAAACUGCUAAGGCCGAAGCCCAGAAGGCCCUCUAGGAGAUCGAGGCGAUAAAGAAAAUAGCGGCGGGUAAGGCAUUCUUUAUGCAAAGCAAGCAUGUAAAAGUGAAUUAUCUGUUACUUACCUGAAUCCGGAGCUCUCCAGGAGCGUUCGCCGAUCUGCCCCGUAGUGUGUCUGAUGCUGCCGCAUUCUACCAAGCCGAGGAGGGGAGCUCGACGGAAAAGGUGUUCUGGUCUCAAUAUGCUGAGGCCGGACAUCCGGUGCCCCUGAGCAACCAGCUGAAACAGCUGGUCGAGCUCCACAAGGCGGCCGAACAGGCCAUGAAGGGCCUCAUAGUUUGGCUGUGGCCUGGAGAAGCCAUGCCUGGGAGUUACUUCGGUCUGGUGCGGCGGCUGGUGGACGCUUAUCCAUGGAUUGAAGUCAUCAAGCGCUCCAUCUGUAUUGAAGGUGCCCAUCGGGCCCUCACCCGUGCCAAGGUGCACUGGGGCAAGCUGGACGCUGAGAAGCUAUUGACGGACGCGCCACCGCCGGGCAAGGAGUAUCGCACGCCCGAGAUGUAUUAUAAGGGCGUCCUGAAGGGUGCCCGCCUUAUAGCGGGUGAAUGCUCCAAAGAUGUAAUUUUUGAGUAGACUCGCAUUUGUUAUCCUGUGCGCUGAAACUUUGUUCAUAUGCGCUAAGCAACGCUUGUUAAUUUAAAAUAUUACCUUCUGUGCGGCCGUUUAUUAAAUCUGAGAGAUGCAAGUCGUCGGCUUCUACCCCCAUGCCACGAGUGCUGGGGUGUUCGGGAUAAACCUGAGCGCUCUUGUUCCCAUUUUUGGGUCCAUCUAGGGAGGCGCUCAGCACAUUUUUGGGUCCAUCUAGGGAGGCGCUCAGCACAACGAACAAGGCCAUCAGACUUAUAGUGCUUUAUCGCUCUCACUUAGCCAUAGAAUUCUAUAAUUUUAAAUUUCGGCGAAGCCCCUAGUAUUCGAAAGACCGAGUUCGGGGCGCUAUCCACGCCUAGGCCAGAUAAAUCCGGCUCCUCGCUCUAAGCGGCAUAAGUCUUUAGGGACUCGAAAAACCUCACGAACAGCGACCUGUCUCUCGCACUAUCAUGACAGUCAGUUUUAACUUUAUCUACUGAGGUGUUAACCCAGCUCAACUGGGGCACAAUCGCAGUAGUUCUCCCAACGCAACCUUAGCCAACAUUGCGGAACGUAAGGUACCAAAACAUGGGAGCCGGGCAAACCCAACUAUUGACCCAAGACAUGAUUCGGAGCCGAUGCAUAUAGUGCUAUAAGUUCGGGGUGCCGCACUCAUGAGAGUGUUCGGUCUUCUCACACCAUGUUAUGGGGUGCUUAAGCCCCUGGUGUAUUGGCCGUACCAAAGUGUAUGGUUGCAUAAUGUCAUGACUGAACAUAUUUGUAUAAAAAUAGAUGAAUACAAUAAUAGAUAAGAGCUAUGUAUUGUUUAUUAAAAAAGAGCUACUAAGAAAGCAGAACGAUACAAAUAGUGCGAUAAGCAAGGAAUGGGAUUAUUUGACAUGUCCCCCUCCAGGGGCAAGCUGCGUGAAUUGAAGUAAAAUGGGUAUUUAGCUCGUUAUAGAGACCACCUGGACAUUCGACGCAUCUUGUUCUCUCCCUGGCUGUUGCAUCAUGUGUUCGGCGAGUGUAUUGCCGGACAGGCCUUCCGAAUAGUUGGGUCCUGAAAGUAUAUAAAAAGAAAAGGAAACGGCAAAAUAGGGAGCCCCUAAGUGCGGUUGAGCCACAUUCUGGGCGUGCCGUAGUUGUGCCCCUCCCCUUAUGCCCAAGGUAUUUUCAAAGCGUAAUUAUGUACGCGUGGUACCGAUAUCACCAUCUGGCGAGGGCUGGGGUCGGGGCCGCACUGCUAUGCUUGCUCGGAACGUGCCAGCCGGCAUUGUUGGAGGUUGCUUCGGGCGCGCUUGACGUUGUCCGGACGUUUAACACCCGGAUUGGAGAGUUGCCUUGAGAGGCUGCUCUGUAGUUCCGCCGCCAGGGCCGCUGUGUGCUCCUCCGUUCGGAGAGAGUGUUCGGUGUUUCCAUUUACCAUAAUGACAACGCGAGGACCUGGCAUCUUGAGCUUGAGAUAUGCGUAGUGCGGCACCGCAUUGAAUUUGGCGAAUGCGGUUCGUCCGAGCAGGGCGUGAUAGCCACUGCGGAAUGGGACUAUGUCGAAGAUUAACUCUUCGCUUCGGAAAUUAUUCGGGGAUCCGAAGACCACUUCGAGUGUAACCGAGCCUGUACAGCUGGCUUCUACACCUGGUAUGACGCCUUUAAAGGUUGUCUUUGUGGGUUUAAUCCUUGACGGCUCUAUACCCAUUUUUCGCACUGUAUCCUGAUAAAGCAGGUUCAGGCUGCUGCCGCCGUCCAUGAGGACUCUAGUGAGGUGAAAUCCGUCAAUGAUUGGGUCUAGGACCAGUGCGGCGAAUCCGCCGUGAUGGAUGCUAGUGGGGUGGUCCCUUCGAUCAAAAGUGAUCAGGCAGGAGGACCAUGGGUUGAACUUUGGGGCGACUGGCUCCAAGGCAUAACGUCCUUGAGAGCAUGCUUCCGCUCCCUUUUAGGGAUGUGGGUUGCGUAUAUCAUGUUCACCGUCCGCACUUGCGGGGGGAAUCCCUUCUGUCCUCUGUUGUUCGGCGGCCGGGGCUCCUCCUCGUCAUCGCUACGCAGCCCCUUGUCUCUGGUUUCGGCACUUAACUUGUCUGCCUGCUUGAACACCCAACAAUCCCUGUUGGUGUGGUUGGCUGGUUGUUCGGGGGUGCCAUGUAUCUGGCACGAGCGAUCGAGUAUCCGGUCUAAACUGGAUGGGCCCGGAGGGUUUCUUUUGAAUGGCUUCUUCCUCUGACCGGGUUUAGAGCCUCUGAAUCCGGCAUUAACUGCCGUAUCCUCAGUAUUGUCACCAUUAAUGCGGCGCUUGUUGCUUGUUGCGACGUGACCUGCCAUUGGUGUCCUUGGUAUCCGAAUUGCCAGGGCUCUUUCUUAUGUUAUUGCUACGAGCUAGCCAGCUGUCUUCUCCCGCGCAAAAGCGGGUCAUGAGUGUCGUGAGGGCUGCCAUAGAUUUCGGCUUUUCCUGUCCUAGGUGCCGGGCAGGCCAUUCAUCUCGGAUGUUGUGCCUGAAGGCUGCAAGGGCCUCGGUGUCCGGACAGUCGACUAUUUGAUUAAUCUUGGUUAGGAACCGUGUACAGAAUUGUCUGGCCGAUUCCUUUGGCUACUGGAUUAUGUGGCUUAGGUCAUCGGCGUCUGGUGGCCGCACAUAAGUGCCCUGGAAGUUGUCUAGGAAUGCGGAUUCCAGGUCCUCCCAGCAACUAAUUGACUCUGCUGGCAGGCUGUUAAGCCAAUGCCGAGUUGGCCCUUUAAGCUUGAGCGGGAGGUACUUGAUGGCGUGUAGAUCAUCACCACGGGCCAUGUGGAUAUGAAGGAGAUAAUCCUCGAUCCAUACCGCGGGAUCUGUUGUGCCAUUGUAUGAUUCGAUGUUUACGGGUUUAAAACCCUCUGGGAUUUGAUGAUCCAUUACUUCGUCUGUGAAGCAUAGUGGGUGUGCGGUGCCCCUAUACUGGGCUAUAUCGUGACGUAGCUCGGAUGAGCUUUGUCUGUUGUAUUCAGCCUAGCCGUAUUUAUCAUAUCCGGCGUGGCGGUUAUCGUCACGUGACGUAGGGAGCCCACGCGAUCCGUAGAUCGAUCUUGUUUGCCUUGCCUUAUCCUCCAAUAUGUCUCGCAGGUCUGUUGCGUUUCCCCGUUCUCUGGUAUUCUUGGAGCGGCGCCGGGGUGCGGCUUGGUUUGAGGGCCGAAAGGCCUCUCUGUCACGGCCACGGGGUGGCCGAUCGGGCGCAUCAUACGCUAGUGAUGUAGGUUUAGUUGCUUCCUCCUCUAGUUGGGGUAGCAGCCUGUGCUUUGGGUAACUCUUGUAGGGGCGUUCGAGUUUAUACUCUUCGGCCGCUAGGACCUCAGUCCAUCUGUCGGCCAGCAAAUCUUGGUCAGCUCUAAGCUGCUGCUGCUUUUUAUUGAGGCUGCUUGGCGUGGCCAUAAGCAUGCGUUUGAAACGCUCUUGUUCGACGGGAUCCUCUGGCACGACGAAUUCGUCGUCGUCGAGGCUUGCCUCGUCUUCAGAGGGAGGCAUAUAAUUGUCGUCCUCGACCUCCCUGUCUGCCGUUCUCUCAUGAGGGUUGGCUCCUUCGUCCUCCUGUGCCGGAGUGUUGACGUCUCCGGUGCCAGACUCAUCGUUUUUGCUUUGGCGGGAUUUAGAGCGGCGCCGCUGACGUCGGCGCUUGGGUUGCUUCUUAGAGGGGUCGUCCUUCGUUUUUUCAUCGCCAUCCCAUGUGAGGGAGUUCCGGACUAGGGGGUGUCCGGAUAGCCGAACUAUCAUCAUCGGCCGGACUCCAAGACUAUGAAGAUACAAGAUUGAAGACUUCGUCCCGUGUCCGGAUGGGACUUUCCUUGGCGUGGAAGGCAAGCUUGGCGAUACGGAUAUGUAGAUCUCCUACCAUUGUAACCGACUCUGUGUAACCCUAGCCCUCUCCGGUGUCUAUAUAAACCGGAUGGCUUUAGUCCAUAGGACGAACAACAAUCAUACCAUAGGCUAGCUUCUAGGGUUUAGCCUCCUUGAUCUCGUGGUAGAUCUACUCUUGUAACCCACAUCAUCAAUAUUAAUCAAGUAGGACGUAGGGUUUUACCUCCAUCAAGAGGGCCCGAACCUGGGUAAAAACAUCGUGUCCCUCGUCUCCUGUUACCAUCCGCCUAGACGCACAGUUCGGGACCCCCUACCCGAGAUCCGCCGGUUUUGACACCGACAUUGGUGCUUUCAUUAAGAGUUCCUCUGUGUCGUCACCGAUAGGUUCGAUGGCUUCUUCGAUCAUCAACGACGAUGCAGUCCAGGGCGAGACCUUCCUGCCCGGACAGAUCUUCGUAUUCCGCGGCUUUGCACUGCGGGCCAAUUCGCUUGGCCAGCUGGAGCAGAUCGAAGGCUACACCCCUGGCCGUCAGGUCAGAUUUGGAAGUUUGAACUUCACGGCUGACAUCCGCGGGGACUUGAUCCUCGACGGAUUCGAGCCACAGCCGAGCGUGCUGUACUGUCACGAUGGGCAGGGUUUAGCUCUGCAGCCGGACAGUACCCUGGAGGCCGCACUCGAACCCGCUCCGAUCUUCGACUCGGAGCCGGCUGCGCAGACCAAGGAUGGAUGGCUAGACACCACCUCGGAGGCUGCAACCUCUACGGCGAUAGAGCCGAACACCGAUCUUGUCCCCCAUGAAGCUCGUGACUCCGAGGUGCCGCACUCCUUGCCGGACUCCGGACCUCCCGCGCCCCCUCCAGUCGAAUCCAAUUGGGCGCUGAUCAUGGAGUUCACCGCGGUGGACAUCUUUCAACACUCACCUUUUGGCGACAUCUUGAGUUCGCUAAAGUACCUCUCGUUAUCAGGAGAGGCCUGGCCGGACUGCGGCCAGGACGGUUGGGAUGCGGACGACGAAGAAAUUCAGAGCCCACCCACCACCCACUUGGUAGCCACUAUCGAUGACCUAACCGACAUGCUAGAUUACGACUCUGAGGACAUCGACGGUAUGGACGACGAUGCCGGAGACGACCAAGAACCAGCGCCCACCGGGCACUGGAAAGCCACCUCUUCAUACGACAUAUACAUGGUGGAUAUCCCAAAGGAUGGGAACGGCGAUGGAAUAGCGGAGGAUGACCCCUCCAAGAAACAGCCCAAGCGCCGGCGUCAGCGGCGCCGCUCUAAAUCCUGCCAUAGCAAGAAUGAGGAUUCCGGCACCGGAGACAAUAAUACACCGGAUAGCGCCGAAGACAACCCACUCCAGCAAGAUCCAGCACAGGAGGAGGGGGACGCCAGCCCUCAUGAGAGAGCGGCCGAAGAAGAGGUAGAGGACUAUAUGCCUCCCUCCGGAGACGAGGCAAGCCUUGACGACGACGAAUUCAUCGUGCCUGAGGAUCCCGUCGAACAGGAGUGUUUCAAACGCAGGCUUAUGGCCACGGCAAACAGCCUCAAGAAAAAGCAGCAGCAGCUUAGAGCUGAUCAAGAUCUGCUAGCCGACAGAUGGACCGAAGUCCUCGCGGCCGAAGAGCAUGAACUCGAACGCCCCUCCAAAAGCUACCCCAAACGUAAGUUGCUCCCCCGAUUAGAGGUGGAGGCAUAUGAUCCCGCUUCACCAGGAGGCAAUACGGCUGAUCGACCAUCCCGUGGUCGCAACAGAGAGGCCUCAAGGCCCUUCACUAGACCCGUACCCCGGCAUCGCUCGAAAAGCACAAGGCCACAGGGGAACACUCCGGACCCGCGAGACAUAUUGGAGGAUAAGGCAAGACAAUCAAGAUCGAUCUAUGGAUCACGUGGGCACCCCACGAUACGUGACGAUCACCGUCACCCUGGACACAGUAAGUCCGGCCGGGCCGAACACAACAUACAAAGCUCUUUUGAGCUCCGUCGCGAUAUCGCCCAGUAUAGAGGCGCCGCACACCCACUGUGCUUCACAGAUGAGGUAAUGGAUCAUCAAAUCCCAGAAGGGUUUAAACCCGUCAAUAUUGAAUCUUAUGAUGGCACAACAGACCCCGCGGUCUGGAUCGAGGACUAUCUCCUCCACAUCCACAUGGCCCGCGGAGAUGAUCUCCACGCCAUCAAAUAUCUCCCACUCAAACUUAAAGGACCAGCCCGGCACUGGCUUAACAGCUUGCCAGCAGAGUCAAUCGGGAGUUGGGAGGACCUGGAAGCCGCAUUCCUCGAUAACUUCCAAGGCACAUACGUGCGACCACCAGAUGCAGAUGACCUAAGCCACAUAAUUCAGCAGCCAGACGAAUCGGCCAGACAAUUCUGGACACGGUUCUUAACCAAGAAAAACCAAAUUGUCGACUGUCCGGAUGCCGAGGCCCUCGCGGCCUUCAAGCAUAACAUCCACGACGAGUGGCUUGCCCGGCACCUGGGACAGGAAAAGCCGAAUUCCAUGGCAGCCCUUACAUCACUCAUGACCCGCUUCUGUGCGGGUGAGGACAGCUGGCUAGCACGCAGCAAAAACCUCAAAAAAAAUUCUGGCAGUCCGAAUAUCAAGGACCGUAGUGGCAGGUCGCGUCGCUACAAAAACAAACGCCGCAUUAAAAGCGAUAACAGUGAGGAUACGGCAGUCAAUGCCGGAUUCAGAGGCUCUAAACCCGGUCAACGGAAAAAGCCAUUCAAAAGAACAACUCAGGGUCCGUCCAAUUUGGACCGAAUUCUCGACCGCUUGUGCCAGAUACAUGGCACCCCUGAAAAGCCAGCUAACCACACCAAUAGGGACUGUUGGGUGUUCAAGCAGGCAGGCAAGUUAAUUGCCGAAAACAGCGAAAAGGGGCUACAUAGCGACGACGAGGAAGAGACCCGACCGCCGAACAAUAGAGGACAGAAGGGUUUCCCCCCACAGGUGCGGACAGUGAACAUGAUAUAUGCCACGCACAUACCCAAAAGGGAGCGGAAGCGUGCACUCAGGGAUGUAUACGCGAUGGAGCCAGUUGCCCCAAAGUUUAAUCCAUGGUCCUCUUGCCCGAUCACCUUUGACCGAAGGGACCACCCCACCAGCAUUUGCCAUGGUGGGUUUGCCGCAUUGGUUCUAGACCCAAUCAUCGAUGGAUUUCAUCUCACCAGAGUCCUGAUGGACGGCGGUAGCAGCCUAAACCUGCUUUAUCAGGACAAGGUGUGCAAAAUGGGCAUAGACCCCUCAAGGAUUAAACCUACCAAGACGACCUUUAAAGGCGUCAUACCAGGUGUAGAAGCCAAUUGUACAGGCUCAGUUACACUGGAAGUGGUCUUCGGAUCCCCGGAUAACUUCCGAAGCGAGGAGUUAAUCUUCGACAUAGUCCCGUUCCGCAGCGGCUAUCAUGCCUUGCUCGAAUGUACCGCGUUCGCAAAGUUCAACGCGGUGCCGCACUAUGCAUACCUCAAGCUCAAGAUGCCAGGCCCUAGAGGAGUCAUCACGAUCAACGGAAACACUGAACGCUCCCUCCGAACGGAGGAACAUACAGCAGCUCUCGCGACAGAAGUACAAAGCAGCCUUUUAAGGCAAUUCUCGAGUCCGGCUGCUAAGCGGCCAGACACAGCUAAGCGUGCCUAACCUACAACACGACCACCUGGCACGUUCCGAGCACGCGUAGCAGUGCGGCCCCAACCCCAACCCCUGUAAAACAUUAAGACAGACCCUUCGUGUACUCCAUUACGCUCUGAAGAUACCAUGGGCAUGGGGCAAGGGGCUCGACCACGAUAAGACCAAACUGCGGCUCAACCGCACUAGGGGCUCUUAAGUGCGUCGUUUCUUUUUCUUUUUCCUUUUAUUUUUUACCCACAGGACUCCGUUCGUCAGAGGCCCUGUCCGACAGCAGACAUGCCGAACCCACGAUACAACAGCCAGGGAAGGAGAAAGGCUACAACGAAAAUCCAGGUGGUCUCCAUUAUGAGCAUUAAAUCUGUUUUAUGCAUUAUUCCGUAGCCUACCCCUGGAGGGGGACAUGUUAAACAGUCCCAUCCCUUGCUUACCGCACCACUUGUAUCGUCCUGCACUUACAGCAGUUUUUAUUUGAAUAAAGCAAUGCAGCACAUUUUUGCUUCUAGUUGCAUUUCUUUCUUACACAUAUGUUCAUCUAUGACAUGUUGCAUCCAUACGUUUUGGUACGGCUAAAUACACCAGGGGCUUAUGUUUCCCGCGUUAUGGUGUGAUAAGUCCGAACACUUUCACAAGUGCGGCACCCCGAACUUAUAGCAUUAUAUGCAUCGGCUCCGAAUCAUGUUCUUGGGUCAAUAGUUGGGUUUGCCCGGCUCCCAUGUUUUGGUACCUUACGUUCCGUUUUAUCGGCUAAGGUAGCACUGGGAGAACCACUGCGAUUGCACCCCAGUUGAGCUGGGUUAACGCCUCAGUGAAGAAAGCUAAAACUGACCGUCAUGAUGAGGCGAGAGCUGGUCGCUGUUCGAGAGGUUCUUUGCGAGUCCCUAAAGACUUAUGCCGCUUCGAGCGAGGAGCCGGAUUCUGUCCGGCCAAGGCGUGGAUAGCGCCCCAAAUUCGGCCUUCCGAAAACUAGGGGCUUCGCCGAAAUUUAAAAUUAUAGAAUUCUAUGGCUAAGUGAGAGUGUUCAAGCAUUAUAAGUCUGGUUGCCUUGUUCGUUGUGUUGAGCGCCUCCCUAGAUGGACCCAAAAAUGGGAACAAGAGCGCUCGAGUUUAUCCCGAACACCCCAGCACUCGUGGCAUGGGGGCUGAAGCCGACGACUUGCCAUCUCUCAGAUUUGACAAACAGCCGCACAAAAGGUAAUAUUUUAAAUUAACAAGCGUUGCUUAGCGCAUAUGAACCAAGUUUUCAGCGCACAGGAUAACAAAAUGCGAGUCUACUCAAAUAUUACAUCUUUGGAGCACUCACCCGCAAUAGUGCGGGCGCCCUUCAGCACACUCCUAUAAUACAUCUCGGGUGUGCGAUGUUCCUUGCCCUCUGGUGGGGGGUCCGUCACAAGCUUCUGGGCACCCAUCUUGCCCCAGUGCACCUUUGCGCGGGCAAGGGCCCGACGCGCACCUUCAAUACAGGCGGAGUGCUUGAUAACUUCAACCCACGGGCACGCAUCCACCAGCCGCCGCACCAGGCCGAAGUAGCUCCCAGGCAUAGCCUCCUUAGGCCACAGCCAAACUAUGAGGCCCUUCAUGGCCUGUUCGGCCGCCUUGUGGAGCUCGACCAGCUGCUUCAGCUGGUCGCUAAGGGGCACCGGAUGUCCGGCCUCAGCAUACUGAGACCAGAAGACCUUCUCCGUUGAGCUCCCCUCCUCGGCCCGGUAGAAUGCGGCAGCAUCGGACACGCUGUGAGGAAGAUCUGCGAACGCUCCUGGAGAGCUCCGAAUUCGGGUAAGCGACAGGUAAUUAACACUCAUAUGCUUACUUUGCAUGAAAAAUGCCUUACCCGCUGCUAUUUUCUUCACCGCCUCUAUCUCCUGGAGGGCCUUGUAGGCUUCGGCCUUAGCGGCUUUGGCACUCUCAAGAGCCGUUGCAAGCUCAGACUCUCGAGUCUUCGAGUCACGCUCCAGGCUCUCGUGUUUCUUCACGAGAUCCUGGAGCUCUUGCUGUACCUCCGCCACCCGCGCCUCCUGUUUCCCUCACUCGGUGCACUCCGCAGCCGCACUGCAUUCGGCCGUGGCCACUGCCUCCUUCAGGGUCGCCACCUCAUUAGUGGCCCCUGCAAUACCCCAGUUAUCCUUGUCAUUUUUCUUGCAACCAAAUCCUUUUCUGUAAGGUACAAUUUUCAUAAGGUAUUACUCACCUUCUUUUUCCUCGAGCUGCUUCUUGGCAUGGCCGAGCUUGUUCUUGGACCUCUCGAGGUUUUCCUUCAAAGUAUUGACCUCCGCAGUCAGUGCGGCGGAGGUCAGCAGCACAACCUGCAAUCCCAUAUUGACAUAUUUUCAUGACUCCUGAGAUUAUCUUUCUAAAGAUCCUCAGUCCGGCUUUUCUUUCCGAACACCGAACCGAGCAUCAGGGGCUACUGUCUAUGCGGUACCAUUUUACAUAUAUUGAAAUUCUUACCUCAAAGCCUGUUAGAAGGCUGCUGCAGGCUUCGGUCAGCCCGCUCUUGGCGAGCUGAACCUUCUGAAUCACCGCACUCAUAACAGUGCGGUGUUACUCUUUGAUGGAGGCGCCGUUGAGCGCCUCCAGCAAAUUAUCCGGCACCUCCGGUUGGACGGAGGCAGCCGGCGUCGCGGUCUUGCCCUUCUUCCUAAGGGGUCGCCCGCCGAACUCCGGAGCCACUAUGGGUUCCGGGGCUGAGUCCGGUGCAAAGUCCGGGAGGUUGUCCUACGACACCUCCGGGGCCCUCUCCUCCUGGUGGGUCCCUUCCUGGGAUCCCACCUCGGCAUCGUCCGCAUCAUGGGGGGUGGAGGCAGUCGGAAGAGAAUCCAUAUCCGACGCCCCUAAGGACCCGCUCGACGAAGUGGGGAGAUCAUCCUUAGGCGGACUGCAGGGUUGUAUGCGGCAUUAGAAAGACAUAAUGUGGCGGAAAACGAAAACCUUGAAGUUAUUCGGGUGUCUGGAUACUUACGAUCUCGCCAGAGGCUUGGCCCUUGGAGGCCAGUCCUCGUCGUCGUCACUGGCGUUGGCGGCACAGUCCGGGGGAAGAGUUUUUCCCCUCUUGGACCCUUCGGCCUCCCUUGUUGGGGAGGCCUUCCUUUUCUUCCCUCCCCCUGCUGGGGGAGAGGCUUUCUUCUUCUCCUCCUCGCCUUGGUGGGAGGAGUCGGCCUCGGAUUCAUCGUCCGAUAGCACCUGAAAAUGGGAACUCUUCCGAGUCCCUGUGGCCUUCUUCUUGGCCUUCUUCUCCGGCACCACGUGGGGUGCCGGAGCCAGCAGCCCCGUUAGGCGGGCGUCAGCUGGGUCCUCUGGCAAUGGGGCCAGACAGAUAGCCUGUGCGGCCUUCUUCAGCCAGUCCUGCCAAAGGAAAGGGAGUUUAGAUCCCGCAUAGAGUCAAACUAUGAAUAACAAGCAUCACGUAAAGGACAAUAUCACUUACCUCGUCAGCUGGACGCUGCAAGCUGAAUCCGCGAUCCUCGGUAGCGGAUGCGGGAGCCUCGGUGCCCUUGAACAGCACCUUCCAGACCUCUUCGUACGUAGUGUCGAAGAGCCCAUUCAAAGUCUGGUGCUGCGCCGGAUCGAACUCCCACAUAUUGAAGCCCCGUCGUUGGCACGGGAGAAUCUGGCGGAUGAGCAUGACCUGGACUACGUUGACAAGCUUGAGCUUCUUGUCCACCAGCUUUUGGACGCAGGCUUGGAGUCCGGUCAGCUCCUCCGAAUCGCCCCAAAUCUGGCCGCUCUCUUUCCAGGAGGUGAGCCGUGUGGGGAUGCCGGAUCUGAAUUCGGGGGCCGCUGCCCAUUCAGGAUCACGCGGCUCGGUGAUGUAGAACCACCCCGAUUGCCACCCCUUGAUGGUUUCCACAAAGGUGCCCUCCAGCCACGUAACGUGGGACAUCCUGCCCACCAUGGCGCCUCCACACUCCGCUUGGCUGCCCUUCACAACCUUCGGCUUGACACUGAAGGUCUUGAGCCACAAGCCGAAGUGGGGCUGGAUGCAGAGGAAGGCCUCGCACACGACGAUAAACGCCGAGAUGUUGAGGAUAAAAUCCGGGGCCAGAUCAUGGAAAUCUAGGCUGUAGUAGAACAUGAGCCCCCGGACAAAGGGAUGAAGUGGGAAGCCCAGUCCGCGGAGGAAAUGGGGAAGGAAUACUACCCUCUCAUGGGGCCUAGGGGUGGGGAUGAGCUCUCCCUCGUCGGGGAGCCGAUGCGCGAUGUCGCUGGACAAGUAUCUGGCGCUGCGCAGCUUCUGGAUAUGCCCCUCCGUGAUGGAGGAGACCAUCCACUUGCCUCCCGCUCUGGACAUGUUUGGAGAAGGUUGAGGUGAGAUGUGCGGGCUUGGGCGCUAGAGCUCGAGUUUGCAGAGAUGGAUAAGCCAAGAAGGAAGAAGGCGCAGGUAAAAAGGUUGGAUCUUUAUCCCCUUAUAUGGGCGGACAGAAACACGCGUCCCCAUCGGCCUGGUAAAACUCGCUUAUCCCCCAAGCGUCGCGAUUGAUGGCGCGGUUGGGUUACCCACGUUCGUAUUGAUGGGAAUCCCGGAAUAAGGGGAACAUGAUCUCUGCUUCGACAAGACGUGCCAAGGAAACCGCUUCGCUAAACGCGCUGAAGUGGUACAAUAAAAACGUUUCAAAUAAAGGCUUGGUUGUGGUGUGACGUCACGCCACGGAAUACGUCAGCAGAUUGAACUUGUGUGAAUAUUAUUCUCUCUACGGUGGUAUGUGGAAAUUAUUUUGCAGAGCCGGACACUAUCCUGGUGUUCACAAUCUUCUAUAAAUUAUUCGGAGGAGGAACCCGCCUUGCAAUGCCGAAGACAACAUGCGCGCCGGACUCGUCAUCAUUGAAGCCUGAUUCAGGGGCUACUGAGGGAGUUCCGGACUAGGGGGUGUCCGGAUAGCCGAACUAUCAUCAUCGGCCGGACUCCAAGACUAUGAAGAUACAAGAUUGAAGACUUCGUCUCGUGUCCGGAUGGGACUUUCCUUGGCGUGGAAGGCAAGCUUGGCGAUACGGAUAUGUAGAUCUCCUACCAUUGUAACCGACUCUAUGUAACCCUAGCCCUCUCCGGUGUCUAUAUAAACCGGAUGGCUUUAGUCCAUAGGACGAACAACAAUCAUACCAUAGGCUAGCUUCUAGGGUUUAGCCUCCUUGAUCUCGUGGUAGAUCUACUCUUGUAACCCACAUCAUCAAUAUUAAUCAAGCAGGACGUAGGGUUUUACCUCCAUCAAGAGGGCCCGAACCUGGGUAAAAACAUCGUGUCCCUCGUCUCCUGUUACCAUCCGCCUAGUCGCAUAUCCCGUGACCCCCUACCCGAGAUCCGCCGGUUUUGACACCGACACCCUGUUUUGGGGGUGUCCACCAUGUAUAUGUCAUAUGACGAGGUGGCUUUCCAGUGCCCUAUAGGUGCUGGUUCUUGGUCGUCUCCAUCGGCGCCCAUACCGUCAAUAUCUUCGGAGUCGAAGUCGAGCAUGUCGGUUAGAUCGUCGAUAGUGGCUACAAAGUGGGUGGUGGGUGGGUUUCGAAUUUCUUCGUCGUCCGCGUCCCAACCCUGCUGACCAUAGUCCGGCCAGGGCUCUCCUGACAAAGAGAGAGACUUUAGUGAAUUCAGGAUAUCGCCAAAGGGCGAGUGCUGGAAGACGUCCGCGGCGGUGAACUCCAUGAUCGGAGCCCAAUCGGGUUCGAUCGGAAGGAGUGCAAAAGAUUAGGAGUCCAGAACGGAGUCCGGCACUUUGGAGUCACGGGCCUGGCAAAGGACUGAAAGUGCUAGUAUCGACUAGAGGGGGGUGAAUAGGCGAUUUUUAUGAAAGUCUUCAAAACUUGAAAGUUUCAAAGACAAACAAUAGAAAUGACCUAGUUGAUAUGCAGCGGAAGAUAGACUACUAUAAGCAAACCAUAGUCAAGUAUGCAAUGAUGUGAAAGUACAGGACUAAUAGCAGCUAAGUAGUAAGGAUCAGGAUGGAAGAUAGUAUGAAGCCAAUCAACAGUAGUAGUCAAGCAAUGAAGUCAAACAGAUACACAGAUAGGCAGUGAGUUCACGAAGACAAACUUAAGUAAAGGAUGGAAAGGGAUAGAACCAGUCGCUUGUUGAAGACACAAGAUUUCUUGGACCAGUUCCAGUUGCUGUGACAACUGUAUGUCUGGUUAGGGAGGCUGAGAUUUAACUCAGAAGACCGUGUCUUCACCUUAUUCCCCUUGAGCUAAGGACACCCAGUCCUCGCCCAAUCACUCUGGUAAGUCUUCAAGGUAGACUUCCAAACCUUCACAGACUUCGUUCACAGGCAAUCCACAAUGACUCUUGGAUGCUCAGAACGCGACGCCUAACCGGCUGGAGGAUACACAGUCCUCAAGUGUAAUAAGUCUUCAGGUCACACAGACAGAAAGACUUCAGUGAUGCCUAACACUCUUUGGCUCUGGGUGUUUGGGCUUUGUCCUCGCAAGGAUUUCUCUCUCUCAAAUGCUUCGAGGUGGGUUGCUCUCAAAACGACAAAAGCCGUAAAAUAACUCUGAGCAGCCACCAAUUUAUGGUGUAGGGGGUGGGCUAUUUAUAGCCACAAGGCAACCCGAUCUAAUAUGUCCGAAAUGACCCUGGGUCACUAAGGAACUGACACGUGUUCCAACGGUCAGAUUUCAAACACACGCGGCAACUUUACUUGGGCUACAAGCAAAGCUGACUCAUCCAGCUCUGGAUAAGAUUUGCUCUCAUUGUCUUCGCUCGAAUACAUAGGAUUUGGGUUGAGCAUCACUUCAGUCACUCUGACUUAGUUCACUUGGACCCCACUUAACAGUACGGUGGUUCCUAUGACUCAACAAAGAAGAAAAGGAAACGACGAAACCACACAGUCUUCGCGCUCCAUUGUCUUCACGCAAUGUCUUCUCAUGUCAUAGUCUUCAAUAUGAAUAUCUUCUCAUACCACCAUUGUCUUCAAUGUCUUCAUACAUUUUUAGGGGUCAUCUCCGGUAGGUAAACCGAAUCAAUGAGGGACACUACCUGCGUUAUCCUGCAAUUCUCACAAACGCAUUAGUCCCUCAACCAACUUUGUCGUCAAUACUCCAAAACCAACUAGGGGUGGCACUAGAUGCACUUACAAUCUCCCCCUUUUUGGUGAUUGAUGACAAACUGGUUGAAGUUUUCAACGGGGAUAAAGUAUGUGAACUUGUAAGGAUAGGAAUUGUCUUCAUAAGUAGCAAGGGCUCCCCCUGAAGAUGUGCAUAUUAAUAACUUGCUUUUGGAUUGCAAAUGCACAUGGCAGGUUGUACUUAUGGAGAUCCACUUCAACUUAUGAAGAUAAUUCAUCAUGCAUGAAAUGAUAUAACAAGUAGAAUGACAUGCAUAAUGAAAAAUGGACGUCUGCAGGAUGAUCUAAGUGCGGAAGUUAUCAUCGCAUCAGAGUAAAGCAAACACGUAGCAGAAGUAGCAGACGACCAUCAAGUUUAGGUGUUACAACUCAAAGAACCAAAUGUAUCAAAAUGCAAGAGUUGUAAGCACGCAGCAAAAUAUAAUGCAACCGCCCAUAUGAACCCGCUUGAAGACUAUCAAUUCAUACGCUUCUCCCCCUUUUGUCAGUAAUGACCAAAAAGGUUUGAAGACAUAGAGCAUCUACUCGUCUUCUUGAUGAGUAGGUGAAGCAGCAGGGUUGUUGUCGUUGGGUGGCGGUGCAGAGGAACUUGGUGCAGUGUCGAUGCGCACAGUAGUUGGAGGUGGUGAAGUAGCGUCAUCUUCAUCAUCGAUCACUCUGGCAUUAACUGUUGCCGCGGAGGAGGAAUAUUCAGAGUCUUCAAGAGAUGGAGUUCUUCGUAAGACAACAUUCCAUGGAGGAGUGGAGUCAAACUGAAAUCUUUCAUUGAAGCCAUUGUCUUGAAGAUCUGCUUCAGCACUAAGCAGGGUCAAACUCUUCCAUGAUCUCCAGCAAGUUUCAUGAGCAACAAAGGCAUUCUUGGUGGCAAGGUUGCGAAUGCGAUUGACAUCCACCAAGAUGCUUUGCAUCUGUCUCUUGAGCCAAAAGUGAUGUUUAUCCUGUUUCUGAUGAAGGGCCACAAGAAGUUCUCGGUCAUUGAGAACGCGAAAACGCUUGCGAGGCCUUUGGGCAAUGGUGCUUUCAGUGGCUUCAGUGGGCGCUCUGUGAGGCAGACGAGUGUUACCAGCAAAUGGAUAGAUUCGUGUUGCUGCUUGAACACCUUCAAUGGGUUGAGUGAAGCUUUGGUGCUCGGCAUUCUGAAGACAAAGAGGCUUCUUGGCAGGGCCAGGAUAUAUAGCUUCAACUGACAUAUCAACCUCAGGUAGAAAAAUCACAUGAUUGCGAGCAGAAGGUUGAUAGUUGACAGUAGAGUGUCGCUUUAUGAGGCGCAUGACCCAUGGAGCAUAAAACUUCAGACCAAAGAGAUCAAAACCAGAGGCAGCCAGUUGUCUGAUGAAGAAAUCUUGUGCAUUGAAACUGAUGCCAUUGUAAAUGUAGAAGACCAAAGUCUUCAUAGCUCCUUCAAGCUUUGCCACUGAUGAAUGUCCUUUGAUAGGCCAUAGAGUCCGCCUGAUGAUAUGAUAUAUGGUGUGUGGCAGAUACUCAAGGUCUUCAACAAAGAACUCUGUUGGAUAUUCAGCAUCACGGAGCAAAGGCUUCAUCAUGCUCAACAUCUGACUCAUAUUGGGUUCAGGCCUAUGAAAGAUGCUUUCCAGGGCAUUGCGAUGAUGUUGACAUCCAGGUUCAUACAGUUCUCCAGGAGUGGCAAGCCCUGUAAGCUCGAUGAUGUCCAUAGCUUUGGCUUCAUGAUAAACAUUUCCAGUCAUCCACUCGAGAACCCAUGUCUUGAUGUCUCUGUUGUAGCCGCGAAUGUGCAGAGUGGCAUAGAAUUGAAGCAAUAGCUCUUCAUUCCAAUGUUCUUUGUCUGUCACAAAGUGGAGCAGACCAGCAUCACGAAAGCAAUCAAGUGCUUCUUCUAAGCAUGGCAGUCCAGCAAUGGCUUCAGUGUCAAGGCGCAUAUGAGGGAAAAUGCGCCCUUGAUCAUAUAACACGCAUGAGUAAUAGCUUCUCUGUUGAUAGCUCCAGAACCGAUCUGAUGCAAUUCUUGGCUUCGUGUAGGGGUUCUUCGAGCUGUCAAAGAAUGUGUUGUGGCUCUUGAAGCCAUUAGCAUUGAAGGACCCGGGGGAGUUGGCAGUACCUGGAAACCUCGGCAACCUGGCCUUUGGCUUCUGUACUUGAGGCCUAUGCUCAAUAUGAUAGUCAAAUUGCGGUCCUGAGGCAGAGGGUGGAGGCACCAGAACGGGCCAUCGGACAGUAGUGAGCUGACCAUGACUAUAUGCUUGCUCAAUUGUGUGAGGCCUUGGAGGCGGAACAGGAGCAGAGGCAACAUCGGAGGCAGGCUGCACGACAGGUGCUUCGGGAGCAGUUGUCAUGUUGACUUCAGGUGCAGCAUCCUCAUUGGCUUCGGGUGCAGCAUCCUCAUGGACUUCAGGUUCAGUAGCCACAUUUGCUUCAGGCACAGUUAGUUUAGGCUCCACAUUAGCAUCAGCCAUGACUACGUCACUGGCUAUAUUGACAUUGGUGGUGGCAGCCUCAACAUUUUCAGCCUCCACUUGAGGAGCUGGAGGGUCAGAUACAGACACGUUCAGAUCAUGAACUGCUUCUUCUUGAAUGGGGGGAGUAGAGACACGUUCUUCUUGACGCUCUUCAUCGGCUGAUACAGCCGGAUUGUCUUCAGCAGCAUGUGCUUCAGACUCGGAGACAUUCACAGUUGGAGCAGGUUCAGAAAGUACUUGCCGUGCAACAGGUGAACGUUGCACUUCUCCUUCUGGAACGCUCGACAGAGGGACUUCAGGCCUUUGUCCUCUACAAAGCCUGCGAAGAGCUGGCUUCACUUUAGGAGAUGGAGUUGGCUGAGCCUGAAAGUCUUCAUCCUCUUCUUGCACGUUGGGGGUAGCUUGUUGUUGUUGUAGGGGAGUACUGGGGAAGUCUUGUUCUUGUGGGCGAUCAGCCCAUGAAUCAUCCUGUGCAAUUGGCGUCAGAGGACGACCAAUGCUGAUGAGUUCGCUGUUCGUACGAACAGGCGAUGAUACCAUAUUGUAUUCGAUCUGAGGAAGAACUUCAUCAUCUUCAACAUUAUCAUGAUGACCAAUGUCUUCAGCAGCGGUGGGUUCAGCUGCUGGAAUAUCUUCAGCUUCAGGAGCCUCUGUGGAAGCAGGCUCAUGCACAGUCAUGUGAAGUUCUUGGGAUGCAGAUGCAGGAUGAAUCACUGAGAGGGGUUCAACAAAAAGGGACUUUGUGGGAGCAGCCCGAUUCUUCUUGGUCUUGCGCUUCUUCUUGGAGGGAGCGGCAUCAGAGGCUUCGGUAUUCUUCCUCUUUCUAGCUUCUUCCUCUGCAGCCCUCGUUUUCUUCUAUUCAAAAGCGGUUGUGGUGACCUUUGGCUUUGAGCCAGUCAUGCUACUUGGGAAGAUAAUACGUGGAGCUUCUUGGCUUGAAGGCGCAGGCUGAUCAGCAGGAAACUUCUUCUUUUUCUUUGCAGCCAUUCUGGGGUCAAUGCCAAGACGGACAAGUGACUUGCGCUUCUCAGCCUCAUUGUAGGCAAGCACACACUUAUCAGCCAAACUCUUCAUGCGCUCACGAGAGCCUUGAGCUUCUUGGCGCUUCUUCUGAAAAGCUUCUUUAAGCUCAUGCAGCAUGACCUUAAAGUUUCUGACGUCCUGAACACUUAGCUUGGCCACAUGCUUCUUGAAUUGAGCCUUCUCAUAAUCAAUCUUGUGCUUGAGCUCAACGAUUCUCUGAGCGAGAGCCAGCUCAGAAGCAAUGGCGCCAUUCAAAGAGACGCUGAGGCCAAUUGGAAGCUGUAAAUCUUCAAAGCUGACAUUUGGGGUGUCGAACCACUCAUCAAUGAAAUUGUGGAUGAUGGCCACAUCAAAGAGAGGCAAGUUGUUGAAGAUUUCUGCUUCUUCCUUGCUCUUUAUCAGCUGCUCAAGAGCAUCAUCCGCAAGAUCUUCAUCACUUGAUAGAUCAAUGGGUUCUUCACGCAGAAUAACAGCAGGAGUCAGAGCUUGAUCAGCACGCCUGGCAAGUUGCUUUUUCUUCUCCGUCCUCUUGGAGAUACGGGAUUGAUCUUCAGACUGCACACUGGCUUCAGGAGGUGUAGUGGCCAAUGGCUUCACACGAGAAGCUUUUGGUGGUACGGGUUUAGAAGCCUUUAGCUUCUUUUGCUUCUGUGGUUUCGAAGGAGGAGUUGGGGCUUCAUCAGAAUCAGCCUCAUUGUCAGAAUGAUCCACUUUGGCACCUUGUACCAAGAUGUAGGAGAUGAGGCCAUCAAGGUUCGCAAAGGGGCCAAUUCUAUUUUCUUCAGCUUCACGAGUCCCAUCCUCACGGGGAGCAGAGGGACCAGGAUUGAAGCCCAACCCCCAUGACUUCUUGUUUUCCUUUGCCGAAGCCACAGCAAACUGGAAGUUGCGCUUGAAGAGAUUGUCGUCGCGACACCAGAGUAAUGAUGAUGGGUCGGCUUCUUCAGGCUGUGGUCGACGGACCAUGCAAGGAUAGAAUUCUUGCUCAAUGGCUUCAGCUCUGUUCUUGGGUUGAAGGCCUUGAUAGAGAAUAUCGCCCCAAGGACUCUUGAUAGCAUUUUUCUCUGCAUAUUCCUUGGUGACGAACUUGUACUUGAAUCCAUUGGAUCCAUUGGAUUCAUGUCUUGCGCUGAUGAUAAGUCUCUUUGGGGUCUGUCUUGUACAGUUCUGCUAGGUCAUCAGGCAGAUCUUUGGAUGUUCCUCCUUUGCGCUGUCUGCCACCCUUCCUUGCUGAUUUUUCUGCAGCCAUGAACUUCAAGCUGAAUGGCUUCAAUACAUUCAGAGGCUUUAGAGAUUUACGCUUGCUGGUCAAGCAGGAACUGGCUUCAGGAGAAUUGAUAUGAUGGUGUAAGUAUUCUCCAAACGAAUGCAGACUAUGAGAACCAAGGGAUUCUCCCACGGACAUGUACCUGUGACAGCAUUAGAGAUGCGAGGGAAGGGGAAGAGGUCAUAUGCAUUCUCAGAAGAUUUUGAAGAUAAAUCAAUUUGAAGACAUUGACCUCAUGAUGCGAAGACAUUCACUUAUAUGUGGUGAGUUGGUUCCAGAUUUGUACCAAUCCGUGAAUAAGUACAAGUGAGGAAUCAAACUAGAUAGGAAAUCUAAGUGAAUAGACUAGGCAUUAUGAGAUGCAGAUAGAAUAGAUCUAACAUUUAGUAGGCAGAAACCACUUUCGGUAAGUAGGAUGAAUCUAUGAAGAUCAAAAAGGUGGUAAAAAUAGAGUUAUAAUUACCACACGAAGAACUACUAGAUGGGAAGAAUGAGAGACCGAGCAGUUCAGCCCACCAUGCCCUAACUUGGCCACGGAGGACACCUACGGCGACGGCGGAGAGAAAGAUGUCUGCGGCCGGUGUGAGGACGGCGUCGGAGAAGUCGCGGCAGCUAAGCGCUUCGUCGCCGGCGUCGUCAAGAGCUAGCGGUGGCGCUAGGGUUUUGACGGAGGUGGAGAGGUGGAAGAAGGAUUUCUUUACCGCAGGGGACACAUAUUUAUAAGUAGGUGUGCAGCACAACGCAAUUAUGCAGGUGCCCCUGUCUGUUCACAUCCGUGGGGUACGUGGCAAGCAUGCAACAAAGAGUUGUCCCACGUUCCCACGCCCGCCAGGUAUGUCGGAUGUUCAUUCCGGCUUCUCCGGAUAUCGACAAUUAAGAUGAUUCAUUUAAAUAGAACUUGAUGUUUGUCUCUGUGUCUUCUGCUGACAAGGAUGCAGAGAAGACAUUCGACAGUUUCAAUAGAAUGCAUAUGAUUUAGACAGAUAGAGUUUGAGAUAGUAAGCAGUGAGAGAUUAGGGUCCGAUCACAUUCACUUAGUUCAAAAGAUUCAACAGUGAAGACAUAGCUAUAAGUGAAUGCUGUAGAGGACAGAACGCUAGUAUAUAUAUAUAUAUGCAAUCAAAUCACUAUAGCGAAGAAAAAUCACGAAGAUAAAUUGAAACUGAAGACAAACCAAAUGCGAAAUCUUUGCAAAAUAACGCCAUGAGUGAAACACUUCAAAUAGAGAAAUUUGGUGGUGGCGUUACCCACCGUAUAGGAAGUAUUAGACCCAGACAGGGCGCACAAUUAUCGUGGCGCUCCGAAGUCAAAUUCCAUGUUAAUGUAUUCACACUCAGAGUGUAAAUCUUCAUUGAUUGAAGAUAUACAUUACUUUGUGUGUUGCACAUCUAAGUCAUCAACAUGCAUAAGUGUUAGGAUGUGUGCCUGAUCACAGGACAUUCGAGGAUUCCAAGAUAUUUAGCUCACACCGUAACUUGCAAAACCUUUUCUCGUCCAAGGGCUUUGUGAAGAUAUCUGCCAGUUGCUCUUUAGUAUUGACGUGCAUGAUAUCUAUAUCUUUCUUCAUAACAUGAUCUCUGAGAAAGUGAUGACGUAUUUCAAUGUGCUUUGUCUUCGAAUGCUGGACUGGAUUGUUGGCAAUCUUGAUGGCACUUUCGUUGUCGCAGAAGAGAGGGACUUGCUUCAGAUCGAUGCCAUAGUCCUUGAGAGUUUGCUUCAUCCAUAGAAGCUGAGCACAACAAGAUCCAGCAGCAAUGUAUUCAGAUUCAGCAGUUGAGAGUGACACAUAGUUCUGCUUCUUUGAAGACCAACAGACAAGUGAUCGACCGAGAAAAUGACAUGUGCCUGAUGUAGACUUGCGAUCCACUUUGUCACCAGCAUAAUCAGCAUCCGAGAAUCCAACCAGAUCAAACCUUGAGCCCUUUGGAUACCAUAAUCCUAGUGUUGGGGUGUAAGCCAAAUAUCGAAGAAUUCGCUUCACAGCUAAGUGAUGCAAUUCCUUUGGUGCCGCUUGGAAUCGAGCACACAUGCAAACACUAAGCAUAAUAUCUGGCCUAGAUGCACAUAAAUAAAGCAAAGAACCAAUCAUGGAGUGGUAUACCUUUUGAUCGAACUCUUUACCAUUGUCGUCGGGACCAAGAUGGUGCUUGGCUGGCAUUGGCGUCGUGUAGCCUUUGCAGUCUUCCAUUCCAAACUUCUUCAGACAAUCUUUGAGGUAUUUUUCUUGAGAUAUGAAGAUGCCAUUUCGUUGCUGACGAAUUUGAAGACCAAGGAAGAACUUCAGCUCUCCCAUCAUGGACAUUUGAUAUUGCUCUUGCAUCAUGUACCCAAACUCAUCACUGUACUUCUGAUUGGUGCAGCCGAAGAUUAUGUCACCCACAUAUAUUUGGCACACAAACAGUUCACCAUCAUAUGUCUUCGUGAAGAGUGUGGGAUCGAGAGAUCCAGGUUUGAAGCCUUUGCUCUUCAGGAAGUCUUUGAUUGUAUCAUACCAGGCACGAGGAGCUUGUUUGAGGCCAUACAGUGCUUUGUUCAGUUUGUACACCAUAUCAGGAUGUUCUGGAUCUUCAAAGCCAGGUGGUUGUGCAACAUAUACUUCUUCUUCAAUCUUGCCAUUUAGAAAUGCACUCUUUACAUCCAUUUGAUAUAGCAAGAUGUUGUGAUGAUUAGCAUAGGCUAGCAGUAUGCGAAUAGCUUCAAGCCUAGCAACCGGAGCAAAUGUUUCAUCGAAGUCAAUUCCUUCAACUUGAGUAUAUCCUUGAGCCACAAGACGAGCUUUGUUUCUGACGACUUGACCAUGCUCAUCUUGCUUGUUUCGAUAUAUCCACUUUGUUCCAAUAAUGUUAUGCUUGCGAGGGUCAGGUCGCUUGACAAGUUCCCAAACAUUAUUCAGCUUGAACUGUUGAAGUUCUUCUUGCAUGGCUUGAAUCCAUUCAGGUCCCAUAAAAGCUUCAGCAACUUUCUUGGGUUCUGAUAUUGACACAAAUGAAAAAUGCCCACAGAAAUUUGCUAGUUGUGUUGCUCUUGAGCGAGUGAGCGGACCAGGUGCAUUGAUGCUAUCAAUAAUCUUCUCUAUUUGAACUUCAUUUGCAACACGAGGAUGAACAGGACGAAGAUUCUGCUCUGGCUGAUCAUUGUCAUCAUUGGGAGGAUUGUCUUUGGUCUGAGCAUUGUCUUCAGGUUGAUUUGGUGCAGAGAUGAUAAGUUCCUCUUCAGGCUGUGCUUCAGAGGGCAUGAUCUCACCAGUUCCCAUCAACUUGAUAGAUUCACAGGAGGGAGCUUCAUCCAGUGUACUUGGCAGAAUUUCUCUUUGUGAACCAUUGGUUUCAUCAAAUCGCACAUCCACUAUUUUAACAAUUUUGUAGUGGAAGAGGUUGAAGACUCUGUAAGAGUGCGAAUCCUUUCCAUAGCCAAGCAUGAAGCCUUCGUGAGCUUUGGGUUCAAAUUUUGACUUGUGAUGGGGAUCCUUGAUCCAACAUCUAGCACCAAAGACUCUGAAGUAGCUAACAUUUGGCUUCUUGCCAGUGAGGAGCUCAUAGGAUGUUUUGCCCAGGAGCUUAUGGAUGUAGACACGGUUGAUGAUGUGACAAGCUGUAUCAAUGGCUUCAGGCCAGAACUUUCUUGGUGUCUUGUACUCGUCAAGCAUUGUUCGAGCCAUCUCGAUGAGGGUUCUGUUCUUGCACUCUACAAUGCCAUUUUGCUGAGGUGUGUAUGGAGCAGAAAACUCAUGAGUGAUUCCCAUUGUAUCUAGAUAAAGAUCAAGCCCGAUGUUCUUGAAUUCAGUGUCGUUAUCACUUCUGAUAUGCUUGACCUUGACACCAUAGUUGUUCAUUGCUCGAUUGGCGAAUCGUCUGAAGACAUCUUGUACUUCAGUCUUGUAGAGAAUUAUGUGCACCCAUGUGUAUCUUGAGUAGUCAUCAACAAUGACGAAGCCAUAGAGACACACCGUUGUUGUGAGGGUGGAGUAGUGGGUAGGUCCAAAUAAGUCCAUGUGAAGCAGCUCGAAGGGUUGAGAUGUUGUCAUGAUUGUCUUCGAUGGAUGCUUGGCCCUUGUCAUCUUUCCAGCUUCGCAGGCACCACAUAGAUGAUCUUUCUUGAACUUGACACCUUUGAUGCCUAUGACAUGCUUCUUUUUGAUGAGAGUAUGCAAGUUCCUCAUGCCAGCGUGCCCCAGCCUUCGAUGCCAGAGCCAACAUUCUGAAGCUUUAGCAAGAAGACAUACGACAAGUUUUGGACCUGCUGAGAAAUCUACCAUGUAUAGAUCACCUUUCCUAUACCCUUCAAAGACUAGAGAUUUGUCAGAUUUCAUUAGUACAAGGCAACGAUAUUUUCCAAAUAUCACAAUCAUAUUUAAGUCACAAAGCAUUGAGACAGACAUUAAGUUGAAUCCAAGCGAUUCAACAAGCAUCACUUUAUCCAUGUGUUGAUCCCUUGAGAUUGCAACUCUACCUAGACCCAAUACUCUGCCUUUACCAGUGUCAGCAAAUGUGAUUUUACUUUUGUCGAAUGGACAUAAGGUUGAGUCCAUGAGAAGACUUUGAUUACCAGUCAUAUGAUUAGUGCAUCCACUGUCAAUAAUCCAUUCUGUAGCUUUUGGUGACAUGCCCUACAGUGCAGUUAGGAGGAUAGGCUUCACAAGGUAUGUUGUGAAGCAUAAGCAUUUUACACACACAUGGAUUAUCACAGUUCAGAUCAAGAUUAGCACACAGUAUGACAGACAAGAGAUUCAUAUGUGGAAUUCAUAGUAAGUCAUUUUAUCAUGCGUCCCUCUAUGUUUUAGGUCCCCAGCAAUUAUAUCGGACGCCAUUGAUUGUUGGCUGGAGACCACAUUCUGCAAAAGAGAGUUAGUUCUUCUUCACCACCCACAUUUUCAGGGGUGGCUUAGAAGCAAUGAGUCUAAGUGCAGCAUCUAAGAAUUUCGGCUUUGAAGCCCUAGCAAAUAGCCUUGCAGGAGAUGAAUGAUACUCAUGUGAAUAAGCAGAGAAGUUCUUAGUUCUAUGAACAUAUCGAUUUGAAGACACACACUCAUAUUCAUGAGUCUGAGUAUGAUUUCCCUGCAAAACAUUGGCGUUAGGGUGACUCAAGUGAGUCCUGUGUUCGCAAGUAGCCGUUGGACCAUAUGAUGCCUUUGGUCUGGGGUUUGUCUUCUUCACUGGUGGUGUCAUGAUGACAUUCACUGGAAGAUUCUCAAGACAACUUUUGGGUACCCAGAUCUUCUUCAUAGGAGGUCCAUUCCUGCAGUUAGUACCAAUAUACCUGGCAAACACUUCACCAUUCUGAUUUUUGAAUAGUUUAUAAUUUGCAUCAAAGGAUUGAUCAAUAAUAAUAGGAUUAACACAGGUAAAUCCAGAUAAAGUGGAUGGAUCCACUGAAGGUUCCUUUAUAGCAACCCAUGUGGUUUUGGGAUACUGCUCAGGCUUCCAGUAGGAACCAUCAGCAUUCAUUUUCCUCUCAAACCCAACACCCUCUUUCCUAGGGUUUCGGUUCAGAAUCUGCUUUUUGAGGACAUCGCAGAGAGUCUGAUGUCCCUUCAAACUUUUGUACAUCCUUGUUUCAAGCAAUGUCUUCAACCUAACAUUUUCAUCAGCAAUACUAGUGGUAUCCUCCGCAGAGGGGUUAGUAACCACAUCAAUAGUUGAAGACAAUGAAACAGCAGCAGCAGUGGAACAUUCAGCAACAGAUGUAGCGUUAUCACGCUCAAUGCAUUUUAAACAUGGUGGUUCGAAUUCAUCCUGAGUAACGCUGAUGUGUUGAGCAAGGAAUGAAUCUCGCUCCUUCUGAAGAUCUUCAUAAUCCACUCUUAUCUUUUCAAGGUCUAGCUUUCUUUGAAGACAUUCAGAAGAAAGCUUCUCAUGAUCAGACAAGAGAGCAUUAUGUUGAUCUUGAAGGGCGUCAAACUUAGCAUGAAGUCUCUGAAGACUAUCAGCCAAAGCUUUUGACUGAUCCAUUUCUUCACCCAACAUAUCAUCAGUCUUACAAAGCAUGUCUUGAACCUUUUCCAAGAUUCUUUGUUGUUUAGUGGCAAGGGAAGCAAGUUUGACAUAGCUGGGGCCAAACUCAUCACCUGAUUCAUCAUCACUAGUUUCAGAAAGAUAGCAUUCAGUUACCUUAGCACCCCCUGCCAUGAGGCAUGGUGAAGAUGAAGACGGUUCAGGUGGAAAGGUCAUCUCUUUAAGGGACUCCUUGUAGUCAUCAAGCCAAGGAUCAUGACGAUUAAGAUGACUAUCAUAGACAUCAGCAAGUCGGUCCCAGAUUAGCUUCGCGUGAUUGAGGUGCAUGACGUUCCUGAACUGAUUUCGGGACAGGCAGGAGCAGAUGACAUCCUUCGUAGUGAGGUUCAGUAGAGUGUACUUACGAAUGUCAUCAGCCUCCGCCAUCUUGCAUAGAUCGGUGAGACCAAUCUUGGUGACGGUCCACAGUUCGCUGCCCAUAGCCAUGAGUCGCUUCUUCAUCAUGGCUUUCCACCGGGGAUACUCAUGACCGUCAAAGGUGGGGCAAGAUACAUUCCUCAAUCCUGCAGUCGACAUAGCUAAACUCCAGGUGGUUAAACCGAAUCACACAGAACAAGGGAGUACCCUGCUCUGAUACCAAUUGAAAGUGCUAGUUAUCGACUAAAGGGGGGGUGAAUAGGCGAUUUUUAGGAAAGUCUUCAAAACAUGGAAGUUUCAAAGACAAACGAUAGAAAUAGCCUAAUUGAUAUGCAGCGGAAGAUAAACUACAACAAGUAAGCCAUAAUCAAGUAUGCAAUAGCAUUAACGUUUGAAGAUUAAUAGCAGCUAGGUAGUAGGAUCAGGAUGGAAGAUAGUAUGAAGCCAAUCAACAAUAGUAGUCAAGCAAUGAAGUCAAUCGGAUAAAACAAUAAGCAAUGACUUCACGAAGACAAACUCAAAGUAAAGGAGGGAAGAGAUAGAACCAGUUGCUUGUUGAGGACACAUGAUUUGUUGGACCAGUUCCAGUUGCUGUGACAACUGUACGUCUGGUUAGGGAGGCUGAGAUUUAACUCAGAAGACCGUGUCUUCACCUUAUUCCCCUUGAUCUAAGGUCACUUAGUCCUCGCCCAAUCACUCUGGUAAGUCUUCAAGGGAGACUUCCAAACCUUCACAGACUUCGUUCACUCGGCAAUCCACAAUGACUCUUGGAUGCUCAGAACGCGACGCCUAACCGGAUGGAGGAUACACAGUCCUCAAGUGUAAUAAGUCUUCAGGUCACACAGACAGAAAGACUUCAGUGAUGCCUAACACUCUUUGGCUCUGGGUGUUUGGGCUUUGUCCUCGCAAGGAUUUCUCUCUCUCAAAUGCUUCGAGGUGGGUUGCUCUCAAACGACAAAAGCCGUAUACAAACUCUGAGCAGCCACCAAUUUAUGGUGUAGGGGGUGGGCUAUUUAUAGCCACCAGGCAACCCGACCUGAUUUGUCCAAAAUGACCCUGGGUCACUAAGGAACUGACACGUGUUCCAACGGUCAGAUUUCAAACACACAUGGCAACUUUACUUGGGCUACAAGCAAAGCUGACUCAUCUAACUCUGGAUAAGAUUUGCUCUCAUUGUCUUCGCUCGAAGACAUAGGAUUUGGGUUGAGCAUCACUUCAGUCACUCUGACUUAGUUCACUUGGACCCCACUUAACAGUACGGUGGUUCCUAUGACUCAACAAAGAAGAAAGGAAACGACGAAACCACACAAUCUUCGCGCUCCAUUGUCUUCACGUAAUGUCUUCUCAUGUCAUAGUCUUUAAUAUGAAUAUCUUCUCAUACCACCAUUGUCUUCAAUGUCUUCAUACAUUUUUAGGGGUCAUCUCCGGUAGGUAAACCGAAUCAAUGAGGGACACUACCUGCGUUAUCCUGCAAUUCUCACAAACGCAUUAGUCCCUCAACCAACUUUGUCGUCAAUACUCCAAAACCAACUAGGGGUGGCACUAGAUGCACUUACAGUGCGGAGCGGUCAAUUCCACUCAUGUUGCAAAGAUCAAAGUGUUCUUUCAUCCGGAGCCAAUAAGCAUCUCUACUUUGAUCACCUCCAACGGAUGGAUCCCUCGACACGUCCAACCAAGUUUUGCAUAGCACAACGUCUUUGUCGUUGGUGUAGUUGCCUCCUCUUUCUUUCGGUGCGUCGACAAUGCCCUCACCAUCCUCGUCCACCUCGAACUCAUGGUCUUCAAAAAUGCAUGUCAUUGGUUUGAGACCAAUGCGAAUUGUUUGAGCCAACACCCACAGUUGACAUGUAUGCAUCAUCGUUCACACUACAAAGUAUAUAGAACAAUGCAAUAAGUUAUCUAUAUGUAUGCAUUCAAAAAAUAAAGAAGAAAAAAAGUUCGAGAUAUUUUUUACCUUUGGGGCAUAUCGUCGAACACAUGGUGCGCGUCGGCCGCCGGCGCUUCGCUAGCCGCCACGCUCUUGACACACCCUGCAAGCUUCUUCCUUGGCGCCUUCGAGGUGCCGGGGCCGUCCGCCGCCUUGUUCUUCUUCGCGGAUGUCUUGCCCUUCUUCGGUCGCGCCGCAUUUGGAAGCUUUGAGGGGGGUGCACGUGGCUUCAUCACGGCGGGCGUCGGCGCGACGCUGACCUCGGCGGCAUGAAGAGGCCGCGUGAGAGGCCGAUGCUCGAAGGAGCUCCGGCGGAGGCGUGGCCAACGCUCCCAGCGCUAGGGUUUGCGGCAGCGGCGGUGGAGAUUUUGCGACUGUAGGAUGGGGUGAGGCGGGUGCCGGCGCGUGCGUCCAUCGGGUCAGCUUGUCGACGCCGGCGCGUGCGGGGAGAAGGUGGCGCGGGGGAGAGAGUGCGGCGUGACCGCUCAUGUGUGCCGGGCGCGGAAGCGGGCGCCCCAAAUACGCAGCGCGAUAGCGAUUCGGACCGCGCGCCCAACUCUAUAUGCCGCGCGCGCGGUUAUUGCGUGCCUGCUGAAGACACACUACCGAUUGCGCGCGCCUAAAAUGGGUAAAUUUGCGGCGCGGCGCUUGUUUAGCGCGGCUAUUGGAGAUGCUCUUAGGGUUGCUGAAAUUCUUCACCUAUGCACGUCCAUGGCUAAUUUAUUGUAUAAGUACGUAAAAUCUGUCUAUACUAUAACCACGUCUUUGAAUCUUGGACAUAUGCCAGUAACUCUCAGUCAACAAAUUGAUUGUUGAUAAUAAGCGGAAUUGUUGGCAAUCAUUGACAAUGUCAAACAUCAAUGUGCUGGUCAAACAAGUCAAAUAUAAGGGAAACCCUUCCUAUCUAUAGUCUGAUAGAAAACGAGCGCCAGACGAGUCGACGGCCGCCGAUUCAAUUUAAAUCCGACGGUCACAACAAGCUCUUCAUAUCUCUUCCUAAUCUUUACCUCUUUAUCUUUACCUCUUUAUCUUUAUCUUUAUCUUUAUCUUUNNNNNNNNNNNNNNNNNNNNNNNNNNNNNNNNNNNNNNNNNNNNNNNNNNNNNNNNNNNNNNNNNNNNNNNNNNNNNNNNNNNNNNNNNNNNNNNNNNNNNNNNNNNNNNNNNNNNNNNNNNNNNNNNNNNNNNNNNNNNNNNNNNNNNNNNNNNNNNNNNNNNNNNNNNNNNNNNNNNNNNNNNNNNNNNNNNNNNNNNNNNNNNNNNNNNNNNNNNNNNNNNNNNNNNNNNNNNNNNNNNNNNNNNNNNNNNNNNNNNNNNNNNNNNNNNNNNNNNNNNNNNNNNNNNNNNNNNNNNNNNNNNNNNNNNNNNNNNNNNNNNNNNNNNNNNNNNNNNNNNNNNNNNNNNNNNNNNNNNNNNNNNNNNNNNNNNNNNNNNNNNNNNNNNNNNNNNNNNNNNNNNNNNNNNNNNNNNNNNNNNNNNNNNNNNNNNNNNNNNNNNNNNNNNNNNNNNNNNNNNNNNNNNNNNNNNNNNNNNNNNNNNNNNNNNNNNNNNNNNNNNNNNNNNNNNNNNNNNNNNNNNNNNNNNNNNNNNNNNNNNNNNNNNNNNNNNNNNNNNNNNNNNNNNNNNNNNNNNNNNNNNNNNNNNNNNNNNNNNNNNNNNNNNNGAUCGUUUCUGGUCGUCCGUCAUUAGCAUUUUUGCAUAAAACCCCUUAAAGUUUAUAUGAAUCAACCCGCAGUCCUAAUGAAGUCAACCCGAACAGUUAGACAGAGAAAAAUCCUCCAAGCGCAUCGCCACCCGCUGCCGCGAGCCGCCGCCCGCCGGCCCCAGCCCCGCCACAGGCUACAGCGCGCCGCCACCGCCUACCCCGCCGGCACUCCUACCCCUACCCCAAGUGCCUCCCACGCUCGCUACGUUCUACCGCCGGCGACACUCGACGCCGCGGCCGUUGCCGGCUCCCACACCCGCGGGCCUUUAUCUCCCCGGCGGCCGCCGCCGCCGCCCUGCUCGUCCAGCGGGCUGGCCCUGUCCAUGGGGCGUACGGGCUACCCGCGCCCUUCGACGCCCGCACGCGCCUCCUUCUGCCCUUCCGCCGCGGACGAUGCCGACUUCUCUGAGUCUAAUGCGAUCCUGGUGGUGGCCACGCCCUGCGAGAGUCUGUUGCUGCUCAGCCCAGCGUCUUGCCGUGGCGGGCGCCUGUCGUCGGAGCUCUGGUUGUCGGUUCCAGAGUCGGGUGGUUCCACACAGGGGCGCAUAUCCCGUUGUGCCACCAAUCACUUAAUUCGGCUCUCUUGAGCUGCCCGGCUUCGGCGGCGAAGAUGAUGGCGAUGCCUAGGACACAACGGCCACAUGGGAUGAAACUAGCAGAGAUGAAGAAGGCGGUGGUCGUUGGGAGGAGAAGAUUGCCCGGAAGCUGGAGGACGUGCACCAGCUGCGGUUGCUGGACAACCGCUACGUUUAGUGGCUGAGGGAAUUGUUGGGCUACGAGAAUCAGUCGCUGAUAAGAGGGCUGAGGCUGAGAAGAUCAAGAGGGAUCAGAGAUUGUGCUCAAUUGUUGGUGGUCAGGACGUCAGGUAACAAAUUUUCUGGCACAUUUUGCUUUCUGAAUAUUUGGAGGUUGUUUUAUAGGCCUUUAUAAGUGAUUCUUAGAUAAAUGUAUGACUAUUUAAGUUGAGCUAUCGAAAUGUUUCAAUUGGAUAUGUCACGUGAAUGAAUUUAUUUCCUCACUUGCAUGAGAUGGAGCCAUAAAAGGGAUAUGACUCAGCAUCACCACCUUCACUGUUUUGAUCUCAGUUUGUCCAACUAUGCGCCAACUGAAGUAUGACACUAAAUCGUCUGUUGUAUAUUAUCUACUCCCAGUGGAGUCCUGAAAUUUUAACAUACAACUACAUUCAAUAUGUGCCCAAUGGAUAUUUCGUGUGUGCACUAGCAUCAGCACAUUUAGGAUGAUUUAUGUGUAAGUGGUUCAAAUUAAAAAUAAUAAUCUGCAUACAUAGUUUACUCUGGUUUCCCUCUCUAUCUUGCUGGAACAACCCUGCUCGUGAUUGGUGUUCCGAUGGUGCGCGUUGUGUUGGUCGUAAUCGCUGGAAACCUCACUCGGCUUUGCCCAUCUAGCCUGAGUUGGUCUUUAAGGCAAUGCUUACUAAUUUUAUUUUGUGAAGUUUGCAGGAGUUAUCUGAAGAAAGGACUCACUAUCUGGUUAAAUGUUCCAUUGGAUGCCCUUGCAAGAAGGAUUGCUGCGGUGGUUCAGCGUCACUGCCCCUCCUGCAUCAACAAUCUGGUGAUCCAUAUGCAAAGGUAGGUAGCUACUGAGGCUCUUAUCUAUUUCUGCAAUUUCAGUGUGGCAUGCGAACAGAGCUAAUAAUGUGUUGUUUUCUUAUGCAACCCUAUGCAAAACUUACAUCAUUUUCUGAACAAAGAAUAGACUCAUAUGCCAAUGCUGAUGCCCGAGUUUCCCUUGAAAGUAGUUCAAUAACACCAAUAUACAUAAUUCUGGUUUUCAUUCCAGUGCUUGAUGCUACUACAAAGACGUACACAGUUCACCGAUAUGAUGCUUCUAGCUCCCUGUAAAUACAAUUAUCCAUAACGCAAACAUUGCAUUCAGAAAUUGGCAUAAUGACUUGGCCAAGAUGAUCUUUUAAACUAUGUUUGUCUAGGAUUUCUACCUUCCAUUCUUGAUAUAGAUGGAAGCUUUCUUUUUGAGAAGGCCGUGGUUAGAACCUCAUGGUAGAUUGUCGGCAAGAUCAAGGCCUACCAGCCCCUUUGCACCGUGCUAUAUUGUGAGUCCUGAAAAGCCGUUUAGAUAACAACAGCAGCAUUGUGAAUGAGGGAAAAGAGUUUUCCAGUCCUCUUAUUUGGAGGUUCACUUUGAAAGAGAACAGCUUUGGUGUGGCACAACUAUUCUGUACUAUAUCGCACAGCUAUUGGGGAUCGUUCUUUAGUAAAACAAAUCUGUACUAUAUCGCACUUCUAUUUGAUUGGCGUGGCACAAUUAUUCAUUUUAGGAGAGUUGAGACUUCUAUCUCAUAAGAUAUUCAAUGGAUAUUAUGUUAAACUAUUCUACCUCGGUGUUUGCCCAGAAGAAACAAACUCAUGUGAGUGAUAUUCAGUAGCCUUAUAGUAGCUAUUUGUGAGUGAGUUCGCCUGCAUCCUUAAUGUAUAUUGUGGCUUUCGCAGGUUCAGAAGAGCUAUUUUGUGUACAUGAGUUGCUACUGGCAGUGGACAGAUUGUCUAUGCAGAGUGCGUAGAGAAAAAAGUGAGUGGUUCAAUUUUAUGUGAUGGGAAUUUUCACAAGGCUCUUAAAUUUUGGAGAGAAAUAAGCCCAUAAAGAAUUCAGAACUGUGCUUUAACAUGAUGCACCAUUAACUUAUUUUUUUAGAUGCUCACAUACAAACACAAACGACAUCCAGUAGGCGCUUGGAACACCCGACAGAUUGAAAGCACAGAAGCAAAGAUUUCCAAUACGAGGCCACGAUGCCCGACAGAGAUGUAGCCAAUAUGUGCCCAAUCCUUAUUUCUUGAUGUUGGAACAACAAGUAAGAGCAUGUUCAUGUUUACUUAUUAUGUUUUUUGAGAAAUUUAUGGGAUUUACAAGCUGAAAUUAUUGACUGCUUCAAAAUAUGUUUUAACCAAAACUGUUUGCACGAUAUUUCCCUGGUUCUGCAUUCAUGGAAUUGCUAAAAAAAUGAACAAGUUCAGUGAUAGUUUUGUUCCUAUUAAUAUUUCGUCCAAGGUGCCAGUUUGUUUCUUAAGUUUUUCUUUUAACUUCAAAAUUCAGAGGAAGUCAAUGUUUGUUUUAUAGUUCAAACCAAUCACUGGUAAGAUCUAUUCCAAAACGAUAUUGUCUCUUGAUGCGAGGUUACCCAAAUAUAUUCUUCAUCAUGGCCAAAGAUAAAUUUAAUUCCGGGUUAAAAACUUUAGAAUAACUGUGUUUAUAGAUUUUCUAGCUAAGGGUUGCUUUUGUUUAGCUGGAACUCAAAUCAUGAUCAGAUGUACCUAAAAUGAUGAUUUCGGCUCCGUGCUAGCUAUUUCUGAUUUUGAAGCUAUCCUUGCACAUUACAUUAUACAAGUUGAAAACUGUGCGGAGUGGAAGUUGGUACUAAAGCGGACUGCUCUUUUUGAUCUGCACACAAAUUUCAGUUAUAAUAUGUGCCACUCAUUUUGUUACCAAGUUGGGAUGAUUUUUACCACUUUGUUUUAAUUCAGUAAUUCCCGCGCUCACCUAAUAUUCUUUUAGGAUGCUUCCCAUCUCGACAAAUUUAUCAUACCACAAUUUAUGCAUAAUGAUACUUCCUCUGUCCCAAAAUUCUUGUCUUGGAUUCGUCUAGAUAUGGAUGUAUCUAAUAUUAAAACAUGACUUGAUACAUCCGUAUUUAGACAAAUUUAAGACAAGAAUUUUGAGACGGUGGGAGUAAAAUACUCAUGGCAGUAUGCCAAACGCAUUGUAGUAUAUUCCCGUUGGUUAUGUAGUGAUUUUUAGCACAAAAAUGGGACCCACUGCCAUUAUAGGUAUGAGGAAUUACAACCCGGUGCUGGGAGGGGAUCGCAAAAGCUGUGUGCUAGAGUGUAAUGCACAAGCAAUCUGUAGAUUUUUUUUGGUGGAGGGGCUUAAUAAGUCUUUUGCCCCCUCAGAAAACUAUGUUCCGUGUUUGGUCCCUCCAGGCAUUCCUGUGAGACUCUGCCUCUGAUGUAAUGACCAAGCUCACCACCUUGGGGUUGAUCACAUUCGUUGUGAAUAGGUGGACGAUGUGACCAUUAUCGACAAUGUGGUGAGCAGGAGAAGUGGAAAUACAGACUAUGACGUACAAGGAUUUGUUUCUCUCAUUGCAACGCACGGGCCCUUUUCCUAGUCUCUCCCUAAUAAUAAAGCAUGGAUUGGGUCUUCGGGUUCACCGUCGCGGUGUUUUUUAGAAAAGUCACUCUCAUUUUAGGUAAUUGAACCCGCAAUCCUCGUGAUAAACACCCCGAACCGGUACGGGGGGAGUCACACCUGCACGACCCUUCCUGCAUCCUGCGGUCCUGCCACGCCCCACCUCACCGAGCGUCUCCGGCCACCCCCUGCCGCCGAGCGUCGCCCCCGCGCCUCUGCCUCACCUAGCGCCCGAUCCAGCCGUCGUUCAUCGCCAGCACACGUGGAUCCGGCCGCCCCUCGCCUUCCCCAUCGGCUGCACCUCCUAGCGCCACCGCCCCUGCCAUACUCCGCCGCUGGAGGAUCUCCGCCCUGCCUGGAUCCACAUCCCCGCGGCGACACCGGCAGUCGGCGACGAUGGACGACCACGGUGUAGUGCCCUUGGUCCUCGCCGUCCCCUUGCCUGUAUGUAUAUCUCUGUCAGAUCGAUCACUAUUUUGAUAGGAAUCCACUUCCCGGUGAUAGUUCGUUCCUUCCUGUACCUCAUUCAUGUGUGCAGAUAUGCAAGUAAAAGCGACCAUGGUUCAGGCAUCUGUUGGUUAUUGAAAAAUCUGACAACCGCAAGAGAAUAAGAGCUGCAGACUCAGAGUGUAUGUGAUAUCCCUGCCAGAUUGCUACAGCAUAUUCAUGCUGGUACCCUUCUUGCUGCCUUUUGCACAGUAGCAGGCAAUGCAAUCACAGGCUUGUAAUGCUCUGUUUCUACCGUGUCUUCACUUUCAUCUCAGUGGAGAUUGAAAAUCGAAACCAUGUUAUUCAUGUAGUUACUGAAGUUUCAAAUCCCUCCCUUAGUCAUUCAUGUCUGUUUGUAUCCACAAGGGAGCAUGCUCCCGCCAGAUGGUCUCCAUGGCACUGCAUAAAUUUUAUAUUGGAAUGAUGUGUUGGUCAAUUCAUAGAUGGUUUGUGAUAUAAUCAUAUAAAGAUUCUCGCGUUACUUUUCUAGCUCUAUGCUCUCUUAUGUACAGGGGGUCAAUGUUUCUCAGCCUAAUGUUAUUCUUAUCAUUAUGUAUGCUCUAUGAUACAGGUGUUGAGGCAGGGAAAAGGCAGCAGUAGAGGCAUGGGCACUUCAGAAAAGGGUGUUGACUGUUCUGAUUGAGGCCAGGCAUGAAAUCUCUUAUUUCAUUGUUUGUUCUUUGUUGAAGUUGUACUUAUUUUGCAUAGUAUUUCAGGCAAUGUUUAGACUUUAGAUAACACAUGUCCCUAGAUUACAUAGUAUGCAUGCCCUCUGUUACCUGCUGAAUGUCUCUGGGGUAACUAAAAAUGUUCAGAAUAAUCUAAAUUUCAGAAAUUCUUCGUGGAUUAUGAUUGGCAGUUAUAUGCCACCAAAUAGCAAGACUGCUACUUGAACAGUUUGUUAUCCAUGAAGCUUAGGCGUGUACACGGACUAAAUUUGCUAUCAUUUUUCACCAUUUUUUCCUAAGGCCAUCAGAGCCAUUGGCACAGUUUGGCUGCCCUAAGGGAGUACUUUUACCCUUUUUUAGUCAAUCAUACACCAGUCACCACAAGUGCAAAUAAUAAUAAAGCACGGAUUGACUCCGUGGGUUCACCGUCACAAUACGCUUCUUCUCGUGAAUUUACGCUUUUAGUUUUUUUUAUAAGAUAAUAAAAAGGUUCUCACUUCUAACUAAACAUUUUGUUAAUUUCCAGUUGAAGGCUUCCACGUGCCACCUCCUUCGCCUCCUACGCCGCGUCGAGAAAGGCGGACACGUGCGGUAGGAGCCAAGGGGGAACAGGGAAAGGCGGACACGAGAUUCGUGAACCCAGAGAAGAGAAUGUAUGCGAGCUUGUCCACCUCGGCGGUGUCAGCCGCCAGUGCCACCGUGUCCCGCCUCCGCCUGGCCUGGUCGCAACAAAAGUAUGACUGCAGGUGUGGUUCAUUCAGUUUUGAAGUUUGAUUUACUUGCUUGUGCAUGUGUGUGUGUAUUCUAAGAGAGAGGGAGAGAUUAUUCUGUUCUAGCCAGUCGUAUUUCUGGACAAAUCUGCUCCCCUCCACUCCUUUUUUAUUUGCCUUAAAUCUGAACAUGAAAAGCAGUUACAAAUUGAGAGCAACAGAGUAAACGUUCAAAAGUUCAGAGCGGGUGCAUGCUUUUGAGAUUCAAAGGAUGUGUAAGCUGGAAGAUGGGUUGCCAUGCUUUGUAAGUACGAUUAGUUGGAGUACUAUUCCAUCCAAUGGCAGUGCAAAGUCGAAGUAGGCGCUGACGAAGGACGUUAGGGUCUGUUCUUCACAUCAACACUUCAUUGUCCAAACAACGGCAAUUGCUUUCCCGUACGGGAAAAGAAAGUUACAUUCAAAUCUCUGGGGGAGCCAAGCUCUUGUUCCUCCUGCAUCCCUCUGAGCCUCUGCCUUGACGGAUCGAACUUUUUUUCAACCCAGGGACUUGUGGAAGCAGCGGCCGAGAAGAUGUUGUUGUAGACCAGGAGUGUGGUCGGUUGCAAUUUGUGAAGCAAAUCGCUUGCUCGGAGAAGAAAAUGUGAGAAGGGCAUGUAGAAACUGAAAGACCACGAAAAUCGAUCGAAUCCGAACAAAUGUAGCCCCCUUCUCCAAUGACCAGGCUAGGUUGGGCCGCCACUGAAGGUAGCCACAUGCUGAGGCUAAGACGCCAGCCCAGACCACCCACGACCCACCAACGCACGCGCAGCAGCCGGCCCUCCUACCAGGGCACAACAUCUCCGAAGGACCUCCUCGUCGCCUUCACCAGGGCACAACAUCUCCGAAGGACCUCCUCAUCGCCGACGGCACUGUGCAGGCUUUGCCCGGCGGUGUACCAUGGCGGCGUGGAGAGGAGAAGAGGUGAUCUAGGUUUUCUUAUGGAGGCGGGUGAAGAGCAGAAUCAUACCUCAACCUAAAGCAUAGCUUAGCGACAAUUCAACCGCGGCAACACAAAGGCACAUUCACCUUAUAGCGAAUGAAGGUAACCUUAUUUUUGACAUUUGUUUGGGAUAUAAGAAGUGGAGUGUAGUGGAACUUGGAGCAGGAGCAGGGUUUACAAAAAAGAUCUCCCGGUACAAACGCACAGGCAUUUGUACUAUCUCUCCCUAAUAAUAAAGCACGGAUUGGGUCUCCGGGUUCACCGUCACUUGUUCACCGUAUAAUGUAUAGUAUUAUUUCGUUAUCCAAGGUGGUACUAAAACUAUACAUGAAACGUUCGGCUCAAAAAACGCUUCUAAACUCCCGCUUGGGCCACGUUCGUAGCGCCCUUCCUCCCCGGUGCGCCCACAACUGGCUGGGCCUCGGCCUCUCAAAAAGGACUCGAACCUAGGAACUACAGGCUUAUUGCUCAAAAAAAAAGGAACUACAGGCUUGGAUCUAGCCUUGGUACGAUUGAAAGACGAAGCAAGUUAUCAAUCCGAGAUAGUUCCCUUAUUCCUCUUCCCAUUGAUCCCCGUACGCACGUCUUCCCUCAAGACGCGGACUCUGUGUCCAACUCUGUAUCGCUGCCUCCUCUAAUUCCUCCCAUAAAUAUGGAUUGAUUCCCGUGGAGGUAGAAGAGCUGCGCUAGGGUUUCAGGGAUCGGAAGUGAUUUUGAUGGCAGGCCCAUGGCAUCGAGCGCGACGGCGAGGGGAUGUGGAGGCUGUGGCCCUCUGACAGAGGAGGCAACGAAAGUCGGCUUGGCUGACUUAGAGUGCGGCCUCGCGUCCCGCUCCGAACACAUCAACGCAAGCGCCGUGCUCCGCCGCCGCGAUCUCUGUGUAUCGCGAUCACGAGCAGUCUGACUCCCUUGCUGCUGCAGGCUCUAGGAAGGGUCUAGGACGCCGUGGGCAUCAAUGAGAGCCUGAGGGCGCUCUGUGCCAGGAUGGACUCCACGGCGUUCUUCUGGUUCGUUGCAGCGCGACACAAGAGAUCGAUGCAGCCUGCGCUCAGGUGUUGCUUGGAUCCGGGCAAGUCCGUCAUGAACACGAUCACCGACGUGUUCCCGAUGGACCGACUGGAGUUGAAAAACCUGCAACCCUUGCCUGGGGCCUGGGCAUGCAUGCUCAUCCAGGAGGAAACCGUGCAGACGCUGCCCAGCCCGCCCAUACCCGGAGAUCAUGCUGGCACGACCCUUGCGGCGGGCUACGCAAACCAUGCGCAAGGACCUAGGCCGUCUCCCUCGCGUGACCCACUCGCCAAACUCGACGGCUCCCGCUCCGGCUCGCAAAGGUCGCUGCUCCUGCUGGCCGGCAACUGUCCGCUCGCCAACCUCGCAAUCAAGGCCGCAGCUUCCCGAAACAAAGGUCCCCACUCACGUCUCCUUUGUGCUGCAGACAGGACUGGAUAACCCUGCUGCCAUAGAUGUGAUCUAUAUUCCGAAUGUGGCAGUGGCACAAGUAAUGCAAAGCAACGUCCAAUCUCUGUAGUUUUUCAUCCAGUGACCAGUAAGUUAGCACGGCAACAGGUAAUGACGGAUGUCAGUUGAACUUCCAAAUUCUCCGGCUUCUAAUCCUACGUGAAUGAUUAUGCUGAAAUAACAACACAAAGCAUUGUUGAAUUUUAAGAGAAUUCAUAUAUAGUAAAAACCAAAAAUCCCACAGAUAUGAGAAGUUGUCUAUAGAAUUUUAUGCUGAACAUGUUAGUUUGAUCUCCUCCGACUAUCAGUUAUAUGAAUGUUCCAUGAUUUAAUCAUCGACGGACAAUAUUGAGCAUUUAACAUUUUAAUUAUCAUUUAUACACCUCCGGAAGUGCGUUCAAGCAAAGAAGAAACUUAAUUAUGCUAAUAGUUUUUGUAAAUUAAUUACAUUGUGUCAGAACUUUUUAUUAAAUGUUUUUCCCAGGCGUAACACCAAAAUAUGGAGUCACAAUAAGCCCUUAUUUUAGUUUUGAAGAUACACUAAGUGACACAGAAAAAAUACGAACAUAUGACAUGUCUGCAUGUAUUUCUGGCUUUUCAUUGCCACGGUUAGAUUAAAACUGUUGAAUGAGAGGCUUUUAAUUUUCAGUUAUCAAAUUCUAAAGCUGGAUCCCUUCAUCAGUUGGUGAUUUUGUAUAUGUUGUGCCACAUAUCUCAUUCACGAUUUAGUGUCUUCGGUUCAGUAAAUCAGUUUUUCUUCUCUCACACAGAUGCUCCAUGUCAUAAAUAGUUUACGGAUCAUUUUGGUAUUCCUACAUAUUUAUGCAAUAAUGUUGCUUCGAACAUAUACUAAUCUGGAGCUCUCAAGUUAUAAACUUGAGUUAAUCAUCGACGGACAAUAUUGAUCAUUUAACAUUUUAAUUAUCAUUUCUUUACCUAAUAAUGAAGUAAAUUGGAUUUCUUUCGUCCGUCAUGGCAUUUUUUAGAAAAGUCUCUCUAUUUCAAAAAAUUCAAGCCACAGUCCUAUUUUAAGUUAAAACGAAUCUUUUUUUCACAUUUUACACAAAAGUCUCUGUGUUUUGUUGGAAUCAACCCGUAGUCCGGAUUUAAGUCACACCCGAACUGUUAUUUUACAUUUUUCGAAACCCCACCUGCUGUUUUAGGUAAUUCAUCCGCGGAUCAUAUUUAUGUCAAACAAUGUUUUUUUAAAUCAUCCAUAUCUUUUAAACCAUAACUCCGAUUUGAACAUGUUAUAUAUGAAAUUUGAUUAGAAAAAUAUAUAGAAUAUGAAUAUGAGAUCAUUUUCACCUGUUAAGUAUUUUCAAAUAUUAUUUUUGAAUAUAUUUAAGUCAAACCAAUGAUUUUCUAAAUUAUCCGUAUCUUUUAAAUUGUAACUUCGAUUUUAACAUAUUAUAUAUGAAUUUUAUUCAAAAAAUAUGUGGAAUCUAAAUAUGAUGUUAAUUUUACCUGUUAAAUAUUUUUAAAAUAUCAUUUUGGGAGCAAAAUUAUAAUUUAUAGCGUAAUAUAUGUUUUCCUUUCGUACCGGCGGUGACCCGGAUUGCAAAUAAACACCCCACUAUAACAAUAUAAGGAAGAGAAAACAUCGAUAACUACACAUGCAUACCUUUAAUAAAUCUCGCAGGGGAAAACAACAGAUUUCUCAUUGAGAGAGAGAGAGAGAGAGAGAGAGAGAGAGAGAGAGAGAGAGAGAGAGAGAGAGAGAGAGAGAGGAGAUAAGCGGCAACAAAAAUACACGUUUUUGUUUUGUUUUCUGUGAACACCGAGGCCAUCGCCGGCCGGCGAGGGUGAGAAGGAGGAUAAGCGGCAACACAAAUAUGAUGCCUCGCAAAAAUAAAGGAGAUGGACCUAUUGUGGUCUUGAGUGAUGGUUGUUGGGUUAAGAAUGUAUGUUAUGUUUUCUCUCCCGUUGCAACGCACGGGUCUUUUUGCUAGUAAUAAUAAAGCACAGAUUGACUUUGUCGGGUUCACCGUCAUAAUACGCUUUUUUCUCAUGUCAUAAUAUGCUUUUACAAUUCGUGUAGACAAAAUCAAAAUCCAAGAUGGUACUACUCCCGAGAGCUCUAACAGUCGAGCUUUGCCUGAAACCUAAUCAGGCCGGCCCGGUCGAGCUUUGGCUGAAACCUCAGAUACGUAAUCGGGCCGGCCCAGUCGAGCUUCGGCUGAAUCCUCACGUAAGUAACCGGGCCGGCCCAUAACCAGGAAACGAGAACAUGAAAAUAGCACGAAAAACAAAACCACACUUGAUGGGUUCGAUCUCGCGACCUCACGCUAGGUAGCAGGGACACCAACCACAUGAGCUAGCUGUUGAUAAUGCUCAAAUUGCAGCGCCCAAGUUAAAGUAGUUUAGCGACAGGUCUAUUUAUUUUUCUUAAAUAUUUUCAACAAUUCUUGGAAACAAGUGUGGACAAUUUUCCUUAAAAUAUUUGAAUAUGAAUACGUUUUUAAAAUCGUGGAUAAAUAUCGAAAAUUCGAACAAAAUUUUUAAACCUGAACAAAUUUUGCAAUUCCAAACGUUUAUUUAUUUUUGAUAUACGUUGUAUUUUUAGAAGAAUAUACAUUGAACAUUUCUUUACAUAAAUUUUACAAUUUUACAUACAAAUUGAACAUUUUUCUCCCGUUGCAACGCACGGGUCUUUUUGCUAGUAUGUUCAAAAAGGAGAAAAAAAUCCCAACAUCCGGGCAUUAACUUCCCGCAACUCCCGCAUCUAACCUGUUCCUAAUUUCUCGCCCCACAUGCCUCCCGAUUCCAUUCGCCGCCAACAGCACGCACAGGCCCAAGCUCGCCUCGCCCAGAUCCCUUCCACCACCCCCGCCUCCAUCGCCCAUCGUCGUUGUGUAUCGUGGACACCUCAUCGGUCAGUCCUCUUCCUCUACUCCUCCCCACCACAUCGUCUGUUCAUUGAUCUACCGAGCUGCUAAUUCUGCAUGACAAUCAUGGCCGUGAUCUGCCGAGGUGCUAAUUCUCCACGACACCACGACCAUGAUCCGCCAAGGCCGAUGUGAGCGGGCACCAACAAUCGUGAGCAAGAAGUUUGAUGGCCGUUCCUUUUGGCAUGGUGAGCGUCACAAAGAGUUGAUUCCAAUGUGUGUUCCUCACUGAUUUUGCUGGUUGCGUCGCAAUGAUUUAAUUCUCCUAUGCUUGAUUCAUAUGUGCUUGAUUAGUAGGUGGCCGUGAUGCCCAUCCCAGCAGGGAGGAUGGAUAGGCAUCGGGCAAUCACCAAGUGACAGGAUAAUGCUCCCUUCUCCUGGAGUGCCAUCCCUUCUCGACAGCGACCAGAGCACGCCCGGCCGGUUGCACAUCGGCUUCACGUCCUCGGUUGACCUCAUUUUAAUUUGAUAUUCAGCUAUCCUACUUUGCAGUAAAGGAGGUCUCGGCUAAUGGUUCAUCGUUGUUGCAGCGCCGCUCCAUGCAUGCCAAUCCUUCUUAGUGCCGCUAACCAUGGCGAUAAAGGAAGCAUGCCUACCAUGCACUUCCAGCAUUGGCAGGACGCACGUCCGACAUCAAAUAGAAGCACGAUUACAAUCGCAACGAAGCACGACCAACUUCUCCAUACCAAGUUCCCUAAUGUUGAGUUCCCUUAUUUUUCAUGCAUAUAAUUAUAUGGUGAUGAAUUUUUGCCUUAACCGAGUUCCCAUAACAUGUUUUUACUCUAGUGUGUCUUUUAUGUAUGUUGUGAGAAAAUGAAGAUAUUACAUCCUAGCAACCAUGCUUCAUAGAUUAUUGCAUAUGAUUCUAUGGUGAUGAAUUUUUGCUUCCACCAUUGUAAGUGUGUGCUACUCUGACUGUACAUUUUUUUUGCUUCAACCAUUAUCCGAUACUAGUGUCUCUUCAACCACUACUACUCUCUGCUUCAACCAUUUGCUUUUGUUCAUGAAUUUCAUUAUACAACCAUAUUGCUUUAUUUAGUGGAUUUUUGUACAAGCUACUAAAUUUUGUGCUUCCUUCUUUCUCACUGAAUGCUUCAGUUGUACAGAUUCCCAAUAAUGAUGCAAUGUGUGUUGAUUACUAGACCAACCGGGCUCUAAGUUGUCGGUUCUACGACGAGCGAUGCAGAGCUCAUGGCAAACACAGACAUUGUCAUGAUCGGAUUGCCGCCCUCCGCUAUGACGACUACAACAAAAUGAAAUUAUUGUUGUAAUAGUAUUUUACUAUUGUUGUAAAUGAAUUUGUAAAUUUGUGUUCACAAAGUAUUAGUCUGUUUCAAUGUAUCAUCAUACAUGUCCUGCUGCCACAUGGUUUGCGAAGCAGAAAAAAUCUGUAUACGAAAAGAUCGUUUCGUUUGCAAUUUUAUUACUACUUUGGUUGGAAGCAAUUUUAUAGUUGAUGGAAACAAGAGAUUGAUGCUUUUGAAACAGGUCUAAAUAAUUUUUCUUUUUGAUGGAAGCAAAUCACUGUUUGGUUGAUGAAAUCUCUAGUCCAUGGAACAAUGCUUCCGACAGAAAAUAUGUGAUACUAUGAGAUAGUUUUAUAUGGAAGCAAAUAUUACAAACGAAGAUGGAAGCAAAUAUUGGUGUGUGGAAGAUGCUCAAUGUCAUACAUUAUGCUUCCUUGAUCGACGAAACUCUGUUAUGCACAAGCAGCAAAAUUUCCAGUAUCUAGAAAAAACAAAGUUGAAUAUAAGCAAGUGCACGAAGCAUAUAAAAUUGUGUAUGAAGCAACUAAAAUUAUAGUAAACCAAAUAAAAUGUGCCCACAAAACAUAGUUUUGCAAAGCAAGCAAAUUAAUCUAUCUAUGGAAGCAUAGUUUUUUUUUCCAGGGAUGCACGGGAACAUACAGUGUUGUGCUGGAAGCAAAAUAACGAAGUAGGAAACAUGGGCAUGGAUAGAGGACGGAGAAUACGGUAGAUCACACGUGAUUGACGGAAGCCGAGAUCCAUGCAUCAUGCAUGUAAGCUAGCUACCGGCCUACGUUACCUCAAGCCCACGUAUUACUCGCGCAAAAGCUGUAAGUGUGAUGGAUGCGGGGACAGUUAUGACGAAGCACUCAAUUAACGAAACAAAUUAGCUAAACUCACGGCCUGACUAGUAGUACUACUUACAUCGGACGUCUACCGUGCAUUGGAUCGAACGGACAAGGACUGGUCUGACAGGCAAACAUCAGUAGUCUGAUGCCUAGCGGUGCCCAUAUAAACAGAGUUGGAAACUAUGCAUGCUUGUAUGCUGGAUAUUUCUUUGGCUUUGGCUUUAUGCCCUCAGACUGGUGUAAACGUACUUCAAUUAGCCGGAAAGGCUCCACUCGUUGGGAAGAAACUGCAUGGACAUGUCGAAUGGCUUUCGUUACAGAGACGUGUCUAAAGCAAACAAUGAACAACCUGUAUGUGCCUGAAAGAGGCUAAGCAUGUAGGGACCAAAGACCACAGGAAUUUUCCACGAUAUUACUCGGUAACUACUAAAAAGGCCAAACAACAUGCAUUUUCUCCUCCAAAAGGACUGCUAUGGUGCCACCAAAGUUCUUCAACAAAUGUCUUUUUCUCCCCGGGAAAAAAAAGAAAUGUAUAGCCUGUUUUCGACAGACUGGACCAGAAACAAGGAUCUGCGGUGUAUGUAUGCAUCUGACUGGACCAGAAACAAGGAUCUGCGAUGUGACCGACGACUUGACCACUCAAAAAGAUCUGGUCGACAUUCCGACGCGAAAACGAUCCCAACGGCGCAAAAUUCUUUGUGACGGUGUGCACGGCUGCACGCGGAUGACCGACGAGAACACUGACCGGGAAUUCCCCUGUUUCCUUUCGCUUUCGCUCCUGCCUCGUGGUGAGACUGUCGGAGUCCAAGGCUAAACAGACUGAACGAACGACCACGGCCGGAGAGGACGCCCAUCAGUUUUCGACCUGGACCUGAUCGAGUAAUCCAAAAAUUCCGAGGCAGCCUACAUGACUGAAUUUGAACGGGAGACAUGCUUAGGGCUCACCUGCAGUCACAGUCCAGAGAGAGUCUUCAGUGCAGUGCGGUCACAGCACCACUGAAAUUCUUUGCACUUACCCAUACACAUCACCCCAAUUUCCAACUUUGAAAAUGAGAAGAGAACGUUACCCCAAUUUCCAGCGUACAGCGUUCUAGGAAAUCAUGCCAGAAUUUCCACUGAGCUCACCCAAUUUCUUUAGAUCAGUUGUGCUUGCUAAAGGAAGAAAACACAUGUGAUUUUGAUCACCGCCCAGCUUGUGCCGCGAGACUCUUGACCGACGGACCGCCUGGCGGGACUGACCGGUGGCCUGUCUCAUUUUAAACACAACUGUUCUUCCCAACAAAUUAAUUUCAUAAUGUUCUGAAGACAGCAUGAAAGCGUCAAAUUGCAUUAGGAAAUACUGAAGGUCACGAGUUUAAUCAAAACCACAUGACCAUGUGCGGCCCUGAAUUUUAAUAGGAUAUGUGGGGUUGGUCGCACCCCGAAGAAAAUACUAGUGAGAGGCCUAUGGAUCAAUGGCAGACUCCCAGUGGAUAGCAGAACCCCACAUACAUUUUUUGGAGUUGUCAAAGCAAGGACCGUUAACGGUUUUCUAAGAUUUCUUCUCUUGUACUCCCUCCGUCCGAAAAAUCUUGUCCCAUGUUUGUCAUUCAAAUGGAUGUAUCUAGCACAACACAAGUUUUUCGGACGGAGAAAGUAGUAGAUGAUAUGCAGACGCCCCUCUUGUUUUAAAUGUUCCAAUGUCGACAAAAGGAUAUGCUUACAUUGGUACAAGUUGCACGUUCAUAUCUCGAAGUAACUUGUGUUCUGGCGCCAAUUAUGUAAAGCAACCUUCAGCAACAGGCUGUAGAAUGCAGCAGACAGACGCCACUCCAGUGCACCAAUAGAAGAACACUACUCGCUUUGCCUCUCUUCUUCUUCUAAUGUCUUCGUGUUUUUUCUUCUCUUCUUUUAGUUUUUUAUUUUAAUAUUCUAUAUAUUUUCAUCAAAUUUCCAUGAGUCGUGUUAUUUAACUGAAGUUAGAGAUCACAUAAUAUUAUGUCUAUACUACUUUACUAAAACAGAAAGAUCAAAAUUAUCUGAUGUUAUAGCUUAGAAACCACAAUCGGCAGAAAAAAAGAGCUUAGAACCCACUAAAAAAAUUCAAAUUUCAUUAGUAAUAACGGGAAGACAAAAAUGCAUCUUUGAAAAAAUGGAGAUAGGAGGAGAAGACGGAAGCGCUGACGUUAGCAAAUCCUACGGCCACCAUUAGUUGCAGCCCAAGGCCGAGUAGCUUGCAUGGUUUGCCACUGUAUCAGUUGAAUUAGUCGGGUCAUCUUUCUUCACGUGUUGCACUCUCACCAACCCAUCGAGGGAAUGCAUGUCUAGGGUUGCACUCCUAGCUGUGUUGAAGCUUAGGAUUGGUGAAAUUCUUCACCGUGUGCACGUCCAUGGCUAAUUAUUGUAUAAUUACGUAAAAUCUGUCUAUACUAUAACCAUGCUUGGGGUUGGUAAUUCUCAGUCAACAAACUGAUUGUUGUUAAUAAGCAGAGUUGUUGGCAAUCAUUGACAAUGUCAAACAUCAACGCGCUGGUCAAACAAGUCAAAUAUAAACAGAGUUGGGAACCAUGCAUGCUCGUAUGCUGCAUAGUUCUUGAGUUGGCUUUGGCUUUAUGCCCUCAGACUGGUGUAAACUUACCUCAAUUAGCCGGAAAGGUUCCACUCGCUGGGAAGAAACUUCAUAGACAUGUUGAAUGGCUUUCGUUACAGAGACGUGUCUAAAGCCAACAAUGAACAACCUGUAUGUGCGUGAAAAAGGCUAAGCAUGUAGAGACCAAAGACCACAAGAAUUUUUCACGAUAUCUGUCGGGGGUUGGGUGCGUCAUAUGCCAAAGGAUGGCUUAUCAUGGCGGGAGUGAGUAGAACGUCGCCGGUGCCUGGAAGCGGGAUAAGGCAUAGACAUGCACGCCGGCGCACUUUACCCAGGUUCGGGGCUCUCCUAGGAGAUAACACCCCUAGUCCUGCUCUGCGGGGUCUCUGCAUGAUCACUAAGGCACAAGUGAUACAAUGGUGCUCCUUGAGCUGUGUGCUAGAGGCAGAAGGAGGCAAGGCUAGCUCUUUUCCUGCUCUAGGGGGAGUGGCUAGUUCUAAUGGAGUGGGAACCCUUUGCAUGGGUGCCCUGGGGGGGGGGGGUUAUAUAGGCCUACCCCCCUGGGGUACAACGAUAAUCUGGUCGGGUGCUGGACCCGGCUGUCAGUGUCUCUGGUCUCCGGCUUCUCCACUGACUACUGGGGCCCGCCGCCUAGUGGGCCCCGCCGACUGGUCCAGUACGGAGCCGACAGGCCGCUAGCGGGUCUGGUUGGUGGUUGCUUACUGUAGCCGUGCUGCUAAUGAUGCGGGCUUGGUCAGCUGAGUGUGGCUACAGUCCCGCCGCCUGGCGGGAGAUCAGUGUACGUAGCCACACCUUGUCUCAUUAGGUUAAUGGCGUGCUGACUUCGAGGGAGGGAACGGCCGCCUGCUGCAGGCCGGCCUCCCCCAAGUUCGACUGGUCCAGCAUCCGCCGUCUUCCGGGCUGUCACUGUCUGAUAGGGCCCGCAGCCCAUACCGAUAGGUCAUCGUGGGGAACAGGGCUCCGCUCGUCUGGAGUGACGUCAAGGGGGGAGUGGCAACAGUGCCGCGUUGUGCGGAGAUCUCCGCCUGUACGGGGCACUGUGGCCACGCCAAGCCCAAGAUUCGGGGGUGAGGGACUUCACUGUAGCAACGCCCUGUCUUGUCCUCUUGAUGGGGGUGCAGACUCUGAGGGCGCCAGGUGGCCGCCUGCACGACGCCGUCCUCUCUAGAGGUCGGUUGACUGGAGCCGGCCACUCUUGGUGCCGUCUGCUGGUGGUUGGCCGUCCUCCGGUGGCCGCCCGUUGAGCCAGCCGGCCUCCGGAAGGCGGAGCUUUAGUUUGGGGUAUUGCGGGGCGAAGUCGGCCUUCAGGGACUCGGGUGAGGCUACCCGUGGCACAUUACUCCGACAGUAGUCCCCGAAGCCGAUGAGGCAUUGCGGUCGAGGGGUCGCGAAGUCUCAACGGCUUCCCCCCUCACCGAGCUCUAGGAGAAUGUUUGAUCCGCCUUGCGGUGCGCCGAUUGCUGGAGUUGGCUUUGACAAGGCGGGAUCGUCAGCCAAUUUUGAACACCAAGGCGGGAAAAAAGGUGGCGUGCCUGCUAAGCUUCCCAGGCCCGCCGCCCGCCACAAGCACGCCACGCGGCGCACGUCAGCCCGGCCAGCCUACCAUCUCACGCUCCUGAUGGGACGUGACAGUGGGCCGGGCCCGCCACUUCCGAGCCUCAGCACGCAGGCGGAUCCGCUGCGGCCGAAGCGGGCGGUUGCGAUUCCUGUGAGCGUUUAAGGCGCAGUAACUUCACGCAGUAAUAGGGGGGUCGUGGGGUCGUGGGCGCAGUUAAUCCCACGAUCCCCCGCCCCGCCCCCUCGGCUUCGCAGCCCGAGGGCUUAUAAGUAGGGGAAGGAAGGGGAGCGACGGAGCACGCGCGCCCUCCUCCCCAUACUCUCUUCCUCCUCUUUCUCUCUCCGCCACUGCUGCUGCCGCUGCUUAGAGCUCGCCAUAGUGCUGCCACCGCUCGCCGCCGUCGUGCUCCUCCUCCCUUCGCAGCUCCACUCGAGGCCAUGGCGCGUGAGAAGGGCGGCGACUGGGACGGCUCAACGGUAAUCGAAGACCACCUUACCUUCCUCCGGAACACGCGCCGGAUGCCCAACACGGCAUUCAUCAAGGCGCGGGUGCUGCCGGCGGAGGAGAUUUCGCCGGCGCCGAAGGGGAACGAGCGGGUCGUCUUCCGCUCGCACUUCCUUCGCGGCUUCGGCCUCCCGGCGAGCGGCUUCCUCCGCUCGUUCAUGGACUUCAACCACCUCCAGCCGCAUCAUCUGACGCCCAACACCGUGACGCUGCUCCUCGCCUUCGUCAUGGCGUGCGAGGGCUACCUCGGCAUCCUCCCCACACUCGAGCUGUGGGGAGCAUUCUUCUACCGCAAGUUGGGCACCUUCGCCAAGGAGACGGAGGCCGAGUGCGGCGGAUUCGUCGCCGCACGCCGGCCAGCGAAAAGGAAUGCCUUCCGAGUCAUCAAGCUAUCACAGUCGGUGAAACUGUGGCAACAGUCUUAUUUCUAUGUUGAGAACGUCGACCCGGCUGUCGACUUCAUCAACCUGCCGGCCUACAAGGCCGGCCCCCUGUCGGGCUUCAGCCCAACUGGGGCUACAAGCCGAAGCCGGUGUCGGCGGACGCGGCAGCCGCCAUCGGCCGACUCUGGGUGCUUCAGGAGUCGGAGGGCCUCGUGGCCUUCGACCUCCUCAUCGCCUUCAUCGAGCGCCGGGUCCUCCCGCUUCAGGGCCACCCUCAUCUAAUGUGUCGGAUGAGCGGACACCGCGACCCGAGCAGGUUGUGCACGAGGAAGAUGCCGACUGCCAAGGUUGCGAGGAUGGUGAACGAGAUCUCCGACCUCAAGGUGUCGGAGGGAGCCUGGCGGUUCGGGAAGCGGCCGUAUUCCCGCGACAACCCGCCGCCUGCCGUAAGUCCCUCGAUUUCUUCUUUUAGUUCUGAUUUUUAGUCUUGUUCCUGGUGUGACGCAACUCCUUUUUUGGAGCGCAGAUUUAUAUGUCCGCGGCGACGGCCGCCAUAGUAGGCCCGGGUGAUGACUACCUGCUGGACCGGGCAGUGAGCGAUGUGAACGACCCCGACUUCGGGGCAGCCGCCUUGGAGGACGACACAGCAGGCGGCGGCGAGGGAGCAGGCGGCUCCGAGGAGGGCGGCGACGUGGAAACCUGGCCCGAUGACGACGACGACUAAGACCCGCGCCCCUCCCGGAGCACUGCCAACACCGGUGCAGGCCCCUCUACCGGGCCGCCCGUCCGAGGCGGCAAGUGCAAACAGAAGCAAGGCGCCGCCUUGUUCGGCAGCAUGCCGAAGAAGCCCAAGAACCCGGCCGUGGCGACCAGGCGGAAAGAAGCCUCAGCCAAGGUGACGAAGUUCCAGAGGCAGCCGAAGGUUCCGCUCAUGGUGUCAGCGUAAGUGCUCAUCUUAUGCUUCUUCAUUUUUGCCGAUCUGGCCUAGGAAACUUCUUUAUCCUGCCUUAUCUCAAGGCCCCGCUCACCCUCGAAAAGUCGACCGCCGCCUCGGUCAUCAGGUCGGCGGAGACCUCCACCACCAUCCGGCGAAUCGACCCGACCGCCGACCUCCUGGAGGCACAGGAGCGGAACGCGUGGGAGGUGCGCGAGGAGCAGGAAGCCGAUCGCCUGGCGAAGGCGGAUGCGGACAAGGCCGCAGCAUCUGCGGCGAGGAAGCUAGCACAGGUGGAGGCUGACGCCGCGGAGAAAGAGCGGCUUGCAGAGGCCGCACGUCGCCAGGAGCCACUGCUCGUGACUCCUUUGAACACCGCGCCACCUCCGCCGGAGUUUGUGGCGACGCCUGGGGGAGCCAGCGGGGAGAAGCCGGUCAUGAAGAGGGAGGGCGGCGACGUGGCCAUGCUGGACGUCAUCGUGCCGCCGCCACCGCCAACCGGCGGAACACAGGACGAGCAACCGGCUGCGCGGCCGGUGCCACCAGCCAGGAACGAGGUGGUGACGGACCUAACUCCUGAGGUCCGCAUGCCUGCGCGCCGCCGUCUCGUGAAGGCGUCCUCGGCAUCGUGGACCAGCACCGCGCCCGCUAGCUGGGUACGCGGAGGCAGGACGGGUGCCUGAUACGUCCAUUUUGCAUCAUGCUUUUAUGUCGAUAUUUAUUGCAUUAUGGGCUGUUAUUUCACGUUAUGUCACAAUACUUAUGGCUAUUCUCUCUUAUUUUACAAGGUUUACAUGAAGAGGGAGAAUGCCGGCAGCUGGAAUUCUGGGCUGGAAAAGGAGCAAAUAUUGAAGGACUAUUCUGCGCAACUCCAAAAGUCCUGAAACUCCACGGAAUACCUUAGAAUAAAUAAAGAAAAAUCGUCGCCAAAGAUGAAGGCUAGGGGGCCCACACCCUGCUCACGAGGGUGGGGGGCACGCCCCCCUACCUCGUGGGCCCCCUGGUGGCUCUCCGACGUCCAUCUUCUCCCAUAUGAAGUCUUUCGAUGAGAAAAAAAAUAUAGGAGAACCUUUCGGGACGAGACUUCGCCGCCAUGAGGCGGAACCUUGGUGGAACCAAUCUAGGGCUCCGGCAGAGCUGUUCUGCCGGGGACACUUCCCUCCGGGAGGGGGAAAUCAUCACCAUCGUCAUCACCAACGCUCCUCUCAUCGGGAGAGGGCAAUCUCCAUCAACAUCUUCACCAGCACCAUCUCAUCUCCAAACCCUAGUUCAUCUCUUGUAUCCAAUUCUUGUCUCUAAGUCCGGGAUUGGUGCUAGUAGGUUGCUAGUAGUGUUGAUUACUCCUUGUAGUUGAUGCUAGUUGGUUUAUUUGGUGGAAGAUCAUAUGUUCAGAUCCUUUAUGCACAAUAUUACCCCUCUAAUUAUGAACAUGAAUAUGCUUUGUGAGUAGUUACGUUUGUUCCUGAGGACAAGGGAGAAGUCUCGCUAUUAGUAGUCAUGUGAAUUUGGUAUUCGUUCGAUAUUUUGAUAAGAUGUAUGUUGUCUAACCUCUAGUGGUGUUAUGUGAACGUCGACUACAUAACACUUCACCAUUAUUUGGGCCUAGAGGAAGGCAUUGGGAAGUAAUAAGUAGAUGAUGGGUUGCUAGAGUGAUAGAAGCUUAAACCCUAGUUUAUGUGUUGCUUCGUAAGGGGCUGAUUUGGAUCCAUAUGUUUCAUGCUAUGGUUAGGUCUACCUUAAUACUUUUGUUGUAGUUGCGGAUGCUUGCAAUAGAGGUUAAUCAUAAGUGGGAUGCUUGUCCAAGUAAGGGCAGUACCCAAGCACCGGUCCACCCACAUAUCAAAUUAUCAAAGUACCGAACGUGAAUCAUAUGAGCGUGAUGAAAACUAGCUUGACGAUAUUCCCAUGUGUCCUCGGGAGCACUUUUCCUAUUAUAAGAGUUUGUCCAGGCUUGUCCUUUGCUACAAAAAGGAUUGGGCCACCUUGCUGCACUUUAUUUACUUUUGUUACUUGUUGCUCGUUACAAUUUAUUCUAUCACAAAACUAUCUGUUACCACUUAUUUCAGUACUUGCAGAGAAUACCUUGUUGAAAACCGCUUAUCAUUUCCUUCUGCUCCUCGUUGGGUUCGACACUCUUACUUAUCGAAAGGACUAGGGUAGAUCCCCUAUACUUGUGGGUCAUCAAGACUCUUUUCUGGCGCUGUUGCCGGGGAGUGAAGCGCCUUUGGUAGGUGGAAUUUGGUAAGAAAAAAAAUUAGUGUGCUGUAAUUUUCUGUCACUUGUUACCAUGGAAAGUAAUUGCUUGAGGGGCUUGUUCGGGGUAUCUUCACCCCGUCCAGUUGAGCCAAGAGUUGCUCCUCAACCUACUGAACCUACUAAAUCUAUUGAAAAUGAAACUUCUUUUCAGAUUCCUUCGGGUAUGAUGGAAAAACUGCUAGCUAACACUUUCGCAGGAGAUGGAACAAGGCAUCCUGACGAACAUCUACGCUUUGUGGAUGAUAUUUGUGGACUAUUUAAGCUUGCAGGUAUACCCGAUGAUGCCGUUAAGAGGAAGGAUUUCCCUUUAUUUUUGGAGGGAGACGCAUUGACAUGGUAUAGGCUAUGUGAUGAUAUGAGAUCAUGAAACUAUAAAAGAUUGAAACUGGAAUUUCAUCAAAAGUAUUACCCUAUGCAUCUUGUUCAUCGUGAUCGCAAUUAUAUAUAUAAUUUUUGGCCUCGCGAAGGAGAAAGCAUCGCUCAAGCUUGGGGGAGGCUUAAAUCAAUGUUAUAUUCAUGCCCCAAUCAUGAGCUCUCAAAAUUGACAAUUCUCUAGAAUUUUUAUGCUCGGCUUUCUGAUAAUAAUCGCACCAUGCUCGAUACUUCUUGUGCUGGCUCUUUUAUGAUGAAGUCUAUUGAAUUUGGAUGGAAUUUAUUGGAUAGAAUUAAACGCAACUCUGAAGAUUGGGACCUCGACGAAGGUAAGGAGUCAGGUAUGACACCUAAGUUUGAUUGUGUUAAAUCUUUUAUGGAUACCGAUAUUUUCCGUAAGUUUAGCACUAAAUAUGGACUUGACUCUGAGAUAGUAGCUUCUUUCUAUGAAUCUUUUGCUACUUAUGUUGAUCUCCCCAAGGAGAAGUGGUUUAAAUAUCAUCCUCCCAUAGAAGUAAAAGCAGUUGCACCUAUUAAAGUUGAAGAAAAGAUUGUCACUUACAAUGAUCCUAUUGUUCCUACUUAUGUUGAGAAACCUCCUUUCCCUGUUAGAAUGAAGGAUCAUGCUAAAGCUUCAACUGUUGUUCGUAAAAGCAAUAUUAGGACUUAUACACCCCCUGAGCAAGUCAAAGUAGAACCCAAUAUUGCUAUUGUUAAAGAUCUCUUGUCUGAUAAUAUUGAUGGGCAUGUUAUUCAAUUCACUGGUGAAACUGCUAGAAUUGCUAAACCCUGUGAUAGAGAUAAACAUAGACCUAUGGUAGGCGUGCCUAUUAUUUUUGUUAAAAUAAGAGAUCAUUGUUAUCAUGGCUUAUGUGAUAUGGGUGCUAGUGCUAGUGUUAUACCCAUUGGCUUAUACAAAGAAAUUAUGCAUGAGAUUGCACCUGCUGAGUUAGAAGAAAUUGAUGUUACAAUUAAACUUGCAAAGAGAGAUACUAUAUCUCCAAUGGGAACUGUUAGAGAUGUUGAAGUCUUGUGUGGGAAAACCAAAUAUCCCACUGAUUUUCUUGUUCUUGGUUCUCCACAAGAUAGCUUUUGUCCCAUAAUAUUUGGUAGACCCUUCUUGCAUACUGUUAAUGCUACGAUAGAUUGCAAAAAGAAUGUUGUUACUGUUGGCUUGGAUGAUAUGGUUCGUGAGUUUAAUUUCUCUAAAUUUAGUAAACAACAUCGUGAGGAAGAAUUGCCUAGUAAGGAUUAAAUUAUUGGUCUUGCUUACCUCCUAGUGAUCCUUUAGAACACUAUUUGCUAGACCAUGAAAAUGAUAUGUUCAUAAAUGAAAGAAGGGAAAUAGAUGAAGUAUUCUUUAAACAGGAACCUAUUCUGCAACACAAUUUGCUUGUUGAAAUCCUAGGGGAUCCUCCUCCACCCAAGGGUGAUCCCAUGUUUGAGCUUAAACCAUUGCCUGAUAAUCUUAAAUAUGCUUAUCUUGAUGAAAAGAAAAUAUAUCCUGUUAUUAGUAGCGCUAACCUUCCAGAGCAUGAAGAAGAAAGAUUAUUGAAAACUCUGAAGAAGCAUCGUGCCGCUAUUGGGUAUACUCUGGAUGAUCUUAAGGGCAUCAGUCCCACUCUAUGUCAACAUAAAAUAAAUUUGGAAGCUGAUGCCAAACCAGUUUGUGAUCCUCAACGACGUUUGAAUCCUAAAAUGAAAGAAGUGGUAAGAAAAGAAAUACUCAAGCUUCUGGAGGCAGGUAUAAUUUAUCCCGUUGCUGAUAGUCAGUGGGUAAGUCCUGUCCAUUGUGUCCCUAAGAAGGGAGGUAUUACUGUUGUCCCUAAUGAUAAAGAUGAAUUGAUUCCACAAAGAAUUAUCACAGGUUAUAGGAUGGUAAUUGAUUUCCGCAAAUUAAAUAAGGCUACUAAGAAAGAUCAUUACCCCUUACCUUUUAUUGAUCAAAUGCUAGAAAGAUUAUGCAAACAUACACAUUAUUGCUUUCUAGAUGGUUACUCUGGUUUUUCUCAAAUACUUGUGUGGGCUAAAGAUCAAUCAAAGACUACUUUUACAUGCCCUUUUGGUACUUUUGCUUAUAGAUGUAUGCCUUUUGGUUUAUGUAAUGCACCUGCUACCUUUCAAAGAUGCAUGAUGGCUAUAUUCGCUGACUUUUGUGAGAAAAUUUGUGAGGUUUUCAUGGAUGACUUUUCCGUCUAUGGUUCCUCUUUUGAUGAUUGCUUGAGCAAUCUCGCUCGAGUUUUGCAGAGAUGUGAAGAAACUAAUCUUGUCUUGAAUUGGGAAAAGUGCCACUUUAUGGUUAAUGAAGGUAUUGUCUUGGGGCACAAAGUUUCUGAAAGAGGUAUUGAAGUUGAUAAAUCCAAGGUUGAUGCUAUUGAAAAGAUGCCAUGUCCCAAGGACAUCAAAGGUAUAAGAAGUUUCCUUGGUCACGCCGGAUUUUAUAGGAGGUUCAUCAAGGACUUCUAAAAAAUCUCUCGGCCUCUGACUAAUUUAUUACAAAAAGAUGUACCAUUUGUCUUUGAUGAUGAUUAUGUAGAAGCAUUUGAAAUACUUAAGAAAGCAUCAGUCUCUGCACCUGUUGUUCAGUCACCUGAUUGGAAUUUACCCUUUGAAAUUAUGUGUGAUGCUAGUGAUUAUGCCGUAUGUGCUGUUCUAGGGCAAAGAGUUGAUAAGAAAUUGAAUGUUAUCCAUUAUGCUAGUAAGACUCUAGACAAUGCUCAAAGAAAUUAUGCUACUACCAAAAAGGAACUUUUAGCGGUUGUAUUUGCUUGUGAUAAUUUCAAACCCUAUAUUGUUGAUUCUAGAGUAACUAUUCAUAGAUCAUGCUACUAUUAAAUAUCUUAUGGAAAAGAAAGAUGCAAAACCUAGACUCAUUAGAUGGGUUCUCUUGCUUCAAGAAUUUGAUUUACAUAUCGUUGAUAGAAAAGGAGAUGAGAACCCCGUCGCAGACAACCUGUCUAGGCUAGAGAAUGUUCUUGAUGAACCACUACCUAUUGAUGAUAGCUUUCCUGAUGAGCAAUUAAAUGUCAUAAGUACUUCUCGUAGCACUCCAUGGUAUGCUGAUUAUGCUAAUUAUAUUGUUGCUAAAUUUAUACCGCCUAUCUUGACAUACUAACAAAAGAAAAAGUUUUUCUAUGACGUGCGACAUUACUUUUGGGAUGACCCACAUCUUUAUAAAGAAGGAGUAGAUGGUGUUAUUAGACGUUGUGUACCUGAGCAUGAACAGGAACAGAUCCUACGCAAGUGUCACUCCGAAUCUUAUGGAGGACAUCACGCUGGAGAUAGAACUGCACAUAAGGUAUUGCAAUCCGGGUUUUAUUGGCCUACUCUCUUCAAGGAUGCCCGUAAGUUUGUUUUGUCUUGCGAUGAAUGUCAAAGAAUUGGUAAUAUCAGUAGACGUCAAGAAAUGCCUAUGAAUUAUUCACUUGUUAUUGAGCCAUUUGAUGUUUGGGGCUUUGAUUAUAUGGGACCUUUUCUUGCCUCUAAUGGUUACACACAUAUUCUAGUUGCUGUUGAUUACGUUACUAAGUGGGUAGAAGCUAUUCCAACUAGUAGUGCUGAUCAUAACACUUCUAUUAAAAUGCUUAAGGAAGUUAUUUUUCCGAGGUUUGGAGUCCCUGGAUACUUAAUGAUUGAUGGUGGUUCACACUUUAUUCAUGGUGCUUUCCGUAAGAUGCUUGCUAAAUACAACGUUAAUCAUAGGAUUGCAUCUCCAUAUCACCCGCAGUCUAGUGGUCAGGUAGAAUUGAGCAAUAGAGAGCUCAAAUUAAUUUUGCAAAAGACUGUCAAUAGGUCUAGAAAGAAUUGGUCCAAAAAACUGGAUGAUGCAUUAUGGACUGAUAGAACUGCAUAUAAAAAUCCUAUGUGUAUGUCUCCGUAUAAAAUGGUUUAUGGAAAAGCAUGUCAUUUACCUCUCGAACUAGAACAUAAGGCAUAUUGGGCUAUUAAGGAGCUCAACUAUGAUUUCAAACUUGCCGGUGAGAAGAGGUUAUUUGAUAUUAGCUCACUUGAUGAAUGGAGAACCCAAGCUUAUGAAAAUGCCAAGCUGUUUAAAGAAAAAGUUAAAAGGUGGCAUGACAAAAGGAUACAAAAGCGUGAGUUUAAUGUAGGUGAUUAUGUAUUGCUAUACAACUCUUGUUUAAGACUUUUUGCAGGAAAACUUCUCUCCAAAUGGGAAGGUCCUUAUGUUAUCGAGGAGGUCUAUCGUUCCGGUGCCAUAAAAAUCAACAACUUCGCAUGCACAAAUCCGAAGGUGGUGAACAGACAAAGGAUCAAACACUAUAUCUCAGGUAAUCCUAUAAAUGUUGAAACUAAUAUUAUUGAAACCGUAACCCCGGAGGAAUACAUAAGGGACACUUUCCAGAAUGUUCCAGACUCCGAAAAGGAAUAGGUAUGUGGUACGGUAAGUAAACCGACUCCAAAACAAUUUUUAAGUCAACAUCUCUCCAUUUUGGAAUAUUGAGAAAAAUAGAAAAAUAAGUACCAGUCCGGGGAGGACACGAGGCCUCCACGAGGGUGGAGGGCGCGCCCUACCCCCCUGGGCGCGCCCCCUACCUCGUGAGCACCUCGUGUGCCCUCUGGACUCUGUUUCCUUGCACGAUACAUACUUUGGUCGGUAAAAAUUCAUCAUAUAUACUCCCGAAGGUUUUGACUCUCGUAUCACUCAAAUCUCCCCUGUUCUUGUUUUGAGCUCUUUUUCUAACAGGUCUAGAUCAUCAUGACGACCCCAAGUGCUUCCAAGGACAAGUUCUUCGAGAAGGUUAUCAACCCUUACCUCGCGGAGGUGCUGCGACACCCUCAAACCAUUGAGAUGCGUGAUGGGUUGCUGCACAUCCGCGAUGUUGAGGGACCAAAGGGAACCGGAAGCAUGGAGUUGAGGCUCGAAGCAAUGGAGCAACAAGUUUUCAAGUGCCAGGGGAUGGUGGAGCAUGGAAUCAACGCUACCCACAAGAUGCUCGCGGAGUUCACCAACAACUAUGAGCCGGAUGCCAAGAAGACCGAGGGAGCCAUAUAUAAGCUACAUGAGAAGAUCGAGCACCUCCAAGCCCAAAUCUAUGAUCUGCAAAACCAAAACUGUGAGUAUGAAUAUAGAUUCAAAAGGAUGAGUUUGGCUGCAUAUUUGAGGAUUCCGGAGACUCGAUCAUCCUUCUAUGAUGGUGAGCCUAUGCCAUGGAAGGUGGAUGACAAGCUUGCAUCAUCAUCAACACCUCCACCGCCAACAAGGAAGGAGACAUAAUCACAUGGGUAUGGGCACUCCCCUUGGCAGCUGCCAAGCUUGGGGGAGGUGCCCUGGUAUCGUAUCACCAUCACAACUCCUAUCUUUACCAUUUUCUUAGUUCGAUCCUAUUAGUAGUAUCUUGAUUUAGUAGAAUAAAGUCAUGGCAUGAUCUAGUUUUGAUUUUUGCUUUAUGAUCCUUCUUUGUAAUCGAGUCAGUGAGCUAUAUAAUAAAGAUUAGUGUUGAGUCAAGGGCUUGAGUAUUUUGCCAUGAUCUUGGGUGAUUAAAAGAAAAGGAAUAAAAAGAAUCAAGAGUUCAUAUUGGUCUUAUUAAGAGUAAUGACUUCACAUAGAAAGAGUAUGAUGAUUUAAAGUUGUUGGGAGUUGGCAAAUAUAGCUUUGGUCAUCAUUGCAAUUAAUAGGAAGUAAUAAUGAAAGAGAGGUUUCACAUAUAGAUAUAUUAUCAUUGACAUCUUUUAUGAUUGGGAGCACUCAUUAAAAUAUGACAUGCUAAAGAGUUGAUGUUGGACAAGGAAGACAACAUAAUGAGUUAUGUUCUCUUACAUCUGAGAUAAAGUAUGUUGUCAUGGUUCCUCUACCGUGUCGAGUUUGCCUUUCCCCCUCAUGCUAGCCAAUUCUCAGCACUAAGUAGAAAUACUAAUUGUGCUUCCAAAUACCCUUAAACCAGUUUUGCCAUGAGAGUCCACCAUAUCUACCUAUGGAUUGAGUAAGAUCCUUCAAGUAAGUUGUCAUCGGUGCAAGCAAUAAAAAUUGCUCUCUAAAUAUGCAUGACUUAUUAGUGCGGAGAAAAUAAACUUUGUACGAACUUAUUGUGGACGCAAUAAAAGCGACGGACUGCAUAAUAAAGGUUCACAUACAAGGGGCAAUAUAAAGUGAUGUUCUUUUGCAUUAAGAUUUUGUGCAUCAACCCUAAACGCGCAUGACGACCUCUGCUUCCCUCUGCGAAGGGCCUAUCUUUUAUUAUUAUCCUCUACCUUAUGCAAGAGUCACGGUGAUCUUCACCCUUCCUUUUUCAUUUUAUCCUUUGGGAAGCUCAGCAUGUUGGAAAUAACAUGAUAUAUAUAUCUAAUUGGAUGUGGGGGAGCGUGAUUUGUUAUUGUUGACAUUACCCUUGAGGUAAAAGGUUGUGGGGCAAAACCUAUAAGCCCCUAUCUUUCUCUGUGUCCGAUUAAAACUCUGUAACCACAAGUAUCGCGUGAGUGUUAACAAUUAUGAAGGACUAAGUGAUAGUUGAGUAUGUGGACUUGCUUUUAAGCUCUGACAUAGACUCUUUCCGAUGUUAUGAUAAAUUGCAAUUGUUUUAAUGACUGAGAUUAUAAUUGUCGGUGCCCAAUAAAGUUUCUGAUUCAUAUUUUGGCUUUGUGAAAAGAUCAUCACUAGAACAUAAGUAAUCAUAUGACAAAAUUUAUAUAUGUUGCUUUUAUGAAGUAAUCAUGAUGCCUUCAUGUCCGUAUUUUAUUUUUAUCGACGCCUCUACCUCUAAACAUCAAGGACAUAUUUAUUGUUAUUGGCUUUUCGCUUGAGGACAAGCGAGGUCUAAGCUUGGGGGAGUUGAUACGUCCAUUUUGCAUCAUGCUUUUAUGUCGAUAUUUAUUGCAUUAUGGGUUGUUAUUUCACGUUAUGUCACAAUAUUAUGGCUAUUCUCUCUUAUUUUACAAGGUUUACAUGAAGAGGGAGAAUGCCGGCAGCUGGAAUUCUGGGCUGGAAAAGGAGCAAAUAUUGAAGGACUAUUCUGCGCAACUUCAAAAGUCCUGAAACUCCAUGGAAUACCUUAGAAUAAAUAAAGAAAAAUCGUCGCCAAAGAUGAAGGCCAGGGGGCCCACACCCUGCUCACGAGGGUGGGGGGCGCGCCCCCCCUGGGCGCACCCCCCUACCUCGUGGGCCCCCUGGUGGCUCUCCGACGUCCAUCUUCUCCCAUAUGAAGUCUUUCGAUGAGAAAAAAAAUAUAGGAGAACCUUUCGGGACGAGACUCCGCCGCCAUGAGGCGGAACCUUGGCGGAACCAAUCUAGGGCUUCAGCAGAGCUGCUCUGCCGGGGACACUACCCUCCGGGAGGGGGAAAUCAUCACCAUCGUCAUCACCAACACUCCUCUCAUCGGGAGAGGGCAAUCUCCAUCAACAUCUUCACCAGCACCAUCUCAUCUCCAAACCCUAGUUCAUCGCUUGUAUCCAAUUCUUGUCUCUAAGUCCGGGAUUGGUGCUAGUAGGUUGCUAGUAGUGUUGAUUACUCCUUGUAGUUGAUGCUAGUUGGUUUAUUUGGUGGAAGAUCAUAUGUUCAGAUCCUUUAUGCACAAUAUUACCCCUCUGAUUAUGAACAUGAAUAUGCUUUGUGAGUAGUUACGUUUGUUCCUGAGGACAAGGGAGAAGUCUCGCUAUUAGUAGUCAUGUGAAUUUGGUAUUCGAUUGAUAUUUUGAUAAGAUGUAUGUUGUCUAACCUCUAGUGGUGUUAUGUGAACGUCGACUACAUAACACUUCACCAUUAUUUGGGCCUAGAGGAAGGCAUUGGGAAGUAAUAAGUAGAUGAUGGGUUGCUAGAGUGGCAGAAGCUUAAACCCUAGUUUAUGCGUUGCUUCGUAAGGGGCUGAUUUGGAUCCACAUGUUUCAUGCUAUGGUUAGGUUUACCUUAAUACUUUUGUUGUAGUUGCGGAUGCUUGCAAUAGAGGUUAAUCAUAAGUGGGAUGCUUGUCCAAGUAAGGGCAGUACCCAAGCACCGGUCCACCCACAUAUCAAAUUAUCAAAGUACCGAACGCGAAUCAUAUGAGCGUGAUGAAAACUAGCAUGACGAUAUUCCCAUGUGUCCUCGGGAGCGCUUUUCCUAUUAUAAGAGUUUGUCCAGGCUUGCCCUUUGCUACAAAAAGGAUUGGGCCACCUUGCUUCACUUUAUUUACUUUUGUUACUUGUUGCUCGUUACAAUUUAUUCUAUCACAAAACUAUCUGUUACCACUUAUUUCAGUACUUGCAGAGAAUACCUUGCUAAAAACCGCUUAUCAUUUCCUUCUGCUCCUCAUUGGUCUCAACACUCUUACUUAUAGAAAGUACUAUGAUAGAUCCCCUAUACUUGUGGGUCAUCAGUGCCUUCAACCAGGCGGCCCUCGACGUCCAGGCCAAACUCCGGGCCGAAGCCGAAGCCCUCAAGCGAUGCAACGAGGCAUUCCUGGAUUCGCGGGCAGCCAUCCACGUAAGUUUAUUACUUCUCUUUAUUUUGAUCUUCUUGCUUCCUUCGUGGGGGCGCGCCAGCGCACUCACUGAGUGUAGUCCCCAAGUUUCGGGCCGGCUGCUGAGCAGGCGGUCCGGAACUUUAACUUGCAAGUGUCGAAUGCUAACUUUAUCUGAUAUCCCUCUUGCAGGAUUACCACAAUUGUCGCGCGGCCACCUUCAACUCCGGAGUCCGGGAGCUGGAGAAGCAGACCGCCAACUUGUCCGAGAGCCGGAGUAAGUUUUGACUUCCUUUCUUUGCGGGGGCGCGCUGGCUCACCUGCGGGCUGUAGUCCCCGAGGUUCGGGCCGACUGCUGAGCAGUCGGGCCGAAUCUUCCCAGUGAUUCUGUUUUGUUGGUAACUUUUCCUCUGCGGGGGCGCGAUAGCGCACCUGCGGGCUGUAGUCCCCGAGAUUCGGGCCGACUGCUGAGCAGUCGGGCCGGAUUUCCCUGGCAACUGCAUCCCUUCUUUGUUGUUUGACUGACAUUCUUUCUUCUUCUCUUUUUACAGAGGCCAACGCCGCCUUGCAGCAGUAGCUGGGCGAAGCCAACACCGCCUGCGCGGCAAGGAGGCGGAGUGCAGCAAGCUGGCCGAAGAGCGUGACCGGCUGGUCACUUAGCUCGCGGAGCAGGAGGAGGCUCUCAAGAUGGCUCAGAGGGAGGUGAAGGCGAAGGAGACCGACCUCCUCGCUGAGUUCAAGAUCGAGCGCUCCGCCUGGGCCGACAAGGAGGCGCAGAUGCCUGCCUGCUUCAGCAGCAUCGAAGACUUGGUCGAUGGUGAGCUUCGCUUUCUUUUCUUUCUUGUUUUUGAGUUGCCAGCCCUUAUCUAGGCCGACUGCUAGUUUCUGACCUCUGGCUUUCCUUGCCUUUUGUCCAAACAGACUUCUUCCCAGGCCACUCCGUCGCCGCGAACUAGAUCAUCGAGGCCCAAUGCCAGGAGCGGAGGGCAGAAGGCGUGCAGAUUGCCACUGAUGCCCCCCGGACCCUCAACGAGCAGCUCCUCAGCAUCCAGGCCCACCUUCGGCCUGCCAAUCAGAUGUUCCGCCGCCUUCAGCGCAUCGGGGCCCAAGCGAUCUCUACCCUCUGGACAGGUGUGCAGGCUCGGCGCACCCCCAGUCGGACUGCCGACUGGUUGGAGGUGGCGGCCGGCGGCCUAGAGGACUGGAAGGGCUCUACAGCCCAGGCAGGAGCACGCCGAGCCCUGGAGUUCGUCAAGGCGUGGUACCCUGGGCUAGAUCUAGCCCAGCCGACCACGUUUCGGCUGGAGGCGCAAGAGGAGCUGGUGGCGGUGGAAGCCAAACUUAUCAGCAGGGCGGUGGCGAUCGCCGACUACACUGACACCAGCAUAUUCAUCCUGGAGGUGGUCGAAGAAGGCGCCGAAGCGCCGCUGGAGUGGCUCGGGCUGAACCCGGAGGACAACGAGGAUUCAGCUGAAGUAAUCGACUCCAGCGAUGAAGAGGAGGAGGAGGAGGAAAGCGAGGAUGAUGUGCCGGAGGUUGGAGCGGAUGGUCAGCCUCAACCUGACCGGGCCUCAAGCAAUGAUCCGUGCUCCAAAGCGCCGAUUGCUGCUGGAGGCGGCCAGGCGGAGACCGACCAGCCGCCCGUUCGACCAACGGACGCCGCCGACUCUGCCAUCCAGCCAUCCGCCGCCCCAACUGGUGCCGCCGACUCCACCGACCAGCCGGAGCCUUCUGCUGCACCAACCGGCACCGCCGACUCCACCGUCCAGCCGGAGCCUUCUGCUGCACCAACUGGCACCGCCGACUCCACCGACCAGCCGGAGCUUUCUGCUGCCCCUUAGGAUGUUAUCUUUUUCUUUUUCUGCUUGCUAGUCUGGACAACUUGGUUAAAUUUGCACAAUUCCACCCUCGGGGUGUACAUCAAACUCUGUUGAAUGCUAGCCGAUAGGCCUUUAUCUAUGUAAAUAUUUUAUCGCAAUUCAUGCUUUGUUUUGCCGGCUUCUAACUUUUCUUGCUUUAUGCUCCUUGCUUUUUUCCUUUGCCGCCCUCCCUUGGCUAUCCUCUUUCCAGCCAAGCAGCCGCUCUGCGGACUGCGGCUGGGUUGAGUACUUAGCUUUUUGCGAGAGGGCAAGUACUAAGCCGUUUGGAGUGUCGACAAGAUGAGCAGAAGCUGGCCGGCCGGCUGCUUGGCAGCCGGCCGAACAGGCGGGAUGCCGGCCUCGGCUAUAUGCGUUCUUUCCUUAGCCAUUUUUCAUGUGGGCACUGUUUUGCAACCCCUGCCCGCCAUUCAGUCGCUUUGCAAGCUGCGGCUUCUUACAGGGAAAGUUUUUGGUGCCAACACACUACUUGUCCGACUGCAGGAGGCGUCAUAUAGCAGAAGGCGGCGAGCCUCCGGGCCGACUGAUCGAACCCGAUGCUAGGCGGAAAUAAUAAAACAAUACACACUCAUAGGCAUAACACUUAUCAUAUAGAUAAAAAGAGGGUAGUCCCCGAGUUAUUCUCGGGGGACCCGGAGUCUUCGUACAUAAUACAAAAGGUAGCGUGAUACAUACUGCUUUCAACUGUAAAAUCUUCGGAGGAGGUUCGCGUUCCAUGGCCUCUCCGUCUCCUUGCCUGAGUCAUCUCUUUUACGUGCUCUGGGCUUCUGAGCGUCGAUCAGAUAGUAGGAAUCAUUACCCAGCAUCUUGCUGAUGAUGAAAGGGCCUUCCCAAGGUGCCGAGAGUUUGUGCUGGUCGGCUGUUCGCUGGAUCAGCCAGAGCACAAGGUCUCCCUCUUGGAAGGAUCUUGGCUUCACUUUGCGGUUGUAGUAUCGGCACAGACUCUGCUGGUAGAUGGCGAACCGGCUGAGUGCCAACAGCCGGCCCUCCUCCAGCAGGUCGACAUCGUCUUCUCGUGCCUCCUUGGCAUCCGCCUCGGUCUACAUGGUGACUCGUGGGGAGUCGAACUCUAUGUCCGUCGGGAUGACUGCUUCAGCAUUGUAGACGAGGAAGAAGGGCGUGAAUCCGGUUGACUUGUUCAGAGUCGUGCGCAGGCUCCAGAGGACUGCCGGCAGCUCAUCGAGUCAGCAGCCGGCCAAAUGCGCUAGAGGCUCGACCAGUCGGGGCUUGAUGCCAGACAGAAUGAGGUCAUUUGCUCACUCAACUUGGCCGUUUGACUGUGGAUGGGCAACGGAUGCUAAGUCCAGUCGAAUGCCCUGCGUCGCGCAGAAACGAGCCAAGGCUCCUUUGGCAAAGUUUGUGCCGUUGUCGGUGAUGAUGUUAUGUGUUAUGCCAUACCGAGUGGUGAUGUCGGCAAUGAAAGUCACGGCAGUCGGCCCAUUCAGCUUCUUGAUUGGCUUUGCCUCUAUCCACUUGGUGAACUUGUCCACAGCGACAAGCAGAUGAGUCAUGCCACCUCGGGCCGUCUUGAAUGGCCCCACCAUAUCCAAACCCCAAACAGCAAAGGGCAGGCAAUGGGAAUGAUCUUGAGUGCAGAAGCUGGCAAGUGUGGCUUGGAGCGGAACUUCUGACACCCUUUGCACUUCUGGACCAACUCUUUGGUGUCUUCUAGAACAGUCAGCCAGAAGAAUCCAUGGCGGAAAGCUUUGGCAACAAGUGAUCUUGAAGCCGCGUGGUGACCACAUUCACCUUGGUGAAUAUAUUUGAGGAUUGCUUGACCCUGGUCCGUCUCCAUGCAGCGCUGGUACACACCAGUGACACUGCGCCGAACCAGCUCUUUGUUGACUAUGGUGUAUGUUGCUGCCCGCCAUUGCACUUGUCGGGCUAGGAUCUCGUCAGCCGGCAGCUCUUUGUGCACCAGGAAGUUGAGGAUGGGUUGAUCCCAUGAGGGUGUUCUUAUCUCUCCGACUGCCACGACUACAACUUGUACAAGGGCGGUUGGGACGGGAGGCGGCGGGUUGGAGUCGAUUGCCGCCUGCUGCUUUGAAGAAGUCCCCGGGCCUACUACUACAGCCCCCUGUUGGGGAACGUUGCAGAAAACAAAAAUUUUCCUACUCGUUUCACCAAGAUCAUCUAGGAGUUCAUCUAGCAACGAGUGAUUAGAUGCAUCUACAUACCUUUGUAGAUCGCGCACGGAAGCGUUCAAAAGAACGAUGAUGAUGUAGUCGUACUCGACGUGAUCCAAAUCACCGAUGACCAGCGCCGAACGGACGGCACCUCCGCGUUCAACACACGUACGGGACGGGAGACGUCUCCUCCUUCUUGAUCCAGCAAGGGGGGAGGAGAGGUUAAUGAAGAUCCAGCAGCACGAUGGCGUGGUGGUGGAUGCAGGGCGUCACAGCAGCAGGGCUUCGCCGAGACUACGAGGGAGAGACGUAGCGGGGGGAGAUGGAGGCGCCAGGGGCUGGUGUGAAAUCCCUCCUCUCCCCCCACUAUAUAUAGGGGUGCCAGGGGGCGCCGGUCCUAGUAGAUGAGAUCUACUAGGGGGGGGGGCCAAGGGGAGGUUUCCCUCCCCCCAAGGCACCUAGGGGUGCCUUCCACCACAUGGACUCUUCCAUGGUGGAAACCCUAGGCGCAUGGGCCUAUAGGGGCUGGUGCCCUUGGCCCAUCUAGGCCAAGGCGCACCCCCUACAGCCCAUGUGGCCCCCCGGGACAGGUGGCCCCACCCGGUGGACCCCCGGGACCCUUUCGGUGGUCCCGGUACAAUACCGAUAACCCCGAAACUUGUCCCGAUGCCUGAAAUAGCACUUCCUAUAUAUAAUUCUUUACCUCCGGACCAUUCCGGAACUCCUCGUGACGUCCGGGAUCUCAUCCGGGACUCCGAACAACAUUCGGGUUUCUGCAUAUACAUAUCUUCAUAACCCUAGCGUCACUGAACCUUAAGUGUGUAGACCCUACGGGUUCGGGAGACAAGCAUACAUGACCGAGACGACUCUCCGGUCAAUAACCAACAGCGGGAUCUGGAUACCCAUGUUGGCUCCCACAUGCUCCACGAUGAUCUCAUCGGAUGAACCACGAUGUCGAGGAUUCAAUCAAUCCCGUACGCUAUUCCCUUUGUCUAUCGAUAUGUUACUUGCCCGAGAUUCGAUCGUCGGUAUCCCAAUACCUCGUUCAAUCUCGUUACCGGCAAGUCACUUUACUCGUACCAUAAUGCAUGAUCCUGUGACCAGACACUUGGUCACUCUGAGCUCAUUAUGAUGAUGCAUUACCGAGUGGGCCCAGUGAUACCUCUCCGUCAUACGGAGUGACAAAUCCCAGUCUUGAUCCAUGUCACCCAACAGACACUUUCGGAGAUACCCGUAGUCUACUUUUAUAGUCACCCAAUUACGUUGUGACGUUUGGCAUACCCAAAGCACUCCUACGGUAUCCGGGAGUUACACGAUCUCAUGGUCUAAGGAAAAGAUACUUUGACAUUGGAAAACUCUAGCAAACGAACUAUAUGAUCUUGUGCUAUGUUUAGGAUUGGGUCUUGUCCAUCACAUCAUUCUCCCAAUGAUGUGAUCUCGUUAUCAAUGACAUCCAGUGUCCAUAGUCAGGAAACCAUGACUAUCUAUUGAUCAACGAGCUAGUCAACUAGAGGCUCACUAGGGACAUGUUGGUGUCUGUUAUUCACACAUGUAUUACGAUUUCCGGAUAACACAAUUAUAGCAUGAAUAAAGACAAUUAUCAUGAACAAGGAAAUAUAAUAAUAAUGCUUUUAUUAUUUCCUCUAGGGCAUAUUUCCAACACCCCCGGGCCAGGUUCUGAAGUCCUCGGGCUGGGUGCGAUGGCUGCAGUCCCCGGGCCGCCUGCCGAAGUCCCCGCGCCGGCUUCUGGGGUCCUCAAGUCGGAUCCGACUGCUUCAAGAGGGGCCGACACGAAGAUGGAGUCAAACUCUAGUGAUGGCUUGACAGACGGCUUGAGGAGGCGCUGCAAGGCGACGCCGGCUGGUAUCGCCUCCCGGGUGGAGCCGAUCCGUGCCAAGGCAUCUGCUUGCUCGUUGUCAUUUCUUGGCACAUGGAGGAACUUGCACCCGUCAAAGUAUCCACUGAGUUGCUGCACGAGGAAGCGGUAGCUUGCCAUAUUUGCGUCCUUGGCGUCCCAGUCGCCUGAUGACUGCUGGACCACCAAGUCGGAGUCACCAUAGCACAGGAUCUGGCGAAUGCCGAGUUCCUUGGCAGGCCGGAGCCCGUGUAUGAGUGCCUUGUACUCGGCUACGGUGUUGGAGGCGGCAAAAUGGAUUUGCAGCACAUAUCUGAGCUUGUCACCUUUGGGAGAGGUGAGGCCGAUGCCGCCUCCUAGACCGGUGCACAUUUUUGAACCAUCAAAAUGCAUCCGCCAAUGGGUGGAGUCUGGCGCUGGCGGCAAGUACUAGGUCUUGGCCCAGUCGACGAGGUAGUCGGCCAGUGCUUGUGACUUGAUGGCGGCACGAGGCUGGUAGUAGAUGGUAAAAGGGGCCAGAUCAAUAGCCCACUUGGCCACUCGGCCAGAAGCAUCUCGGCUUCCAAUGAUCUCGGCAAGCAGAGCAGUGCAGACAACAGUAACUGGGUGCUUUUGAAAGUAAUCCGGGCCCGCCAUUGCUUCUUCAUAGUUCGAAGGUUCACCGUUGUCUAACAGCAUGAUUUCCAAGACAGGGUUGCUGUACCACUCUGGUGCGGAAUGUGUCCUUGUGGACCUUCGAAUUUUAGUAGGGUCUUGAUCAGAAGUAUCUUGAUCAUUGUCAUUAACUUCCUCUCUAGUCGGUGCAGGCACCUCAGGAACAUUUUCUUGAGUUGCGCCAUUUUCCGGUUCCAGAGGUAAUACUUCAUCAAGCUCUACUUUCCUCCCACUUACUUCUUUCGAGAGAAACUCUUUCUCCAGAAAGGACCCAUUCUUGGCAACAAAGAUCUUGCCUUCGGAUCUGAGAUAGAAGGUGUACCCAAUAGUUUCUUUUGGGUAUCCUAUGAAGACGCAUUUUUCCGACUUGGGUUCGAGCUUUUCAGGUUGAAGUUUCUUGACAUAAGCAUCGCAUCCCCAAACUUUUAGAAACGACAGCUUAGGUUUCUUCCCAAACCAUAAUUCAUACGGUGUCGUCUCAACGGAUUUCGACGGAGCCCUAUUUAAAGUGAAUGCGGCAGUCUCUAAAGCAUAGCCCCAAAAGGAUAGCGGUAAAUUGGUAAGAGACAUCAUAGAUCGCACCAUAUCUAAUAGAGUGCGAUUACGACGUUCGGACACACCAUUACGCUGAGGUGUUCCAGGCGGCGUGAGUUGUGAAACUAUUCCAUAUUUUCUUAAGUGUGUGCCAAACUCGUGACUCAAGUAUUCCCCUCCACGAUCUGAUCGUAGAAACUUGAUUUUCCUGUCACGUUGAUUUUCAACCUCACUCUGAAAUUCCUUGAACUUUUCAAAGGUUUCAGACUUGUGUUUCAUUAAGUAGAUAUACCCAUACCUACUUAAAUCAUCAGUGAGGGUGAGAACAUAACGAUAGCCACCGCGAGCCUCAACACUCAUUGGACCGCACACAUCAGUAUGUAUGAUUUCCAAUAAGUCGGUUGCUCGCUCCAUUGUUCCUGAGAACGGAGUCUUGGUCAUUUUACCCAUAAGGCAUGGUUCGCAUGUGUCAAAUGAUUCAUAAUCAAGAGACUCUAAAAGUCCAUCAGCAUGGAGCUUCUUCAUGCGUUUGACACCUAUGUGACCAAGGCGGCAGUGCCACAGGUAUGUGGGACUAUCAUUAUCAACCUUACUUCUUUUGGUACUCACAUUAUGAACAUGUGUAGCAUCACGUUCGAGAUUCGUAAAGAAUAAACCAUUCACCAUAGGAGCAUGACCAUAAAACAUAUCUCUCAUAAAAAUGGAACAACCAUUAUUCUCAGAUUUAAAAGAGUAGCCAUCUCGAAUUAAACGAGAUCCCGAUACAAUGUUCAUGCUCAAAGCUGGCACUAAAUAACAAUUAUUAAGGUUUAAAACUAAUCCCGAAGGGAGAUGCAGAGGUAGCGUGCCGACGGCGACCACAUUGACCUUGGAACCAUUCCCGACGUGCAUCGUCACCUCGUCCUUUGCCAGUUUCCGCUUAUUCCGCAGCCCCUGCUUUGAGUUACAAAUGUGAGCAACUGCACCGGUAUCAAAUACCCAAGAGCUACUACGGGAACUAGUAAGGUACACAUCAAUUACAUGUAUAUCACAUAUACCUUUUGUUUUGCCGGCCUUCUUAUCCGCUAAGUACUUAGGGCAGUUCCGCUUCCAGUGACCGCUUCCCUUGCAAUAAAAGCACCCAGUCUCGGGCUUGGGUCCAUUCUUUGGCUUCUUCCCGGCAGCUUGCUUGCCGGGCGCGGCAACCUCCUUGCCGUCCUUCUUGAAGUUCUUUUUACCCUUGCCUUUCUUGAACUUAGUGGUUUUAUUGACCAUCAACACUUGAUGUUCCUUCCUGACUUCUACCUCUGCUGAUUUCAGCAUAGCAAAUACUUCAGGAAUGGUCUUUUCCAUCCCCUGCAUAUUGAAGUUCAUCACAAAGCCCUUGUAGCUUGGUGGAAGCGACUGGAGGAUUCUAUCAAUGACCGCAUCAUCCGGGAGAUUAACUCCCAGCUGAGUCAAGCGGUUAUGCAACCCAGACAUAGUGAGUAUGUGCUCACUGACAGAACUGUUUUCCUCCAUCUUACAGCUGAAGAAUUUGUCGGAGACUUCAUAUCUCUCGACCCGGGCAUGAGCUUGGAAAACCAUUUUCAGCUCUUCGAACAUCUCAUAUGCUCCAUGUCUCUCAAAACGCUUUUGGAGCCCCGGCUCUAGGCUGUAAAGCAUGCCGCACUGAACGAGGGAGUAGUCAUCGGAACGUGCCUGCCAAGCGUUCAUAACAUCUUGUUCUGCAGGGAGAACGGGUGCGUCACCAAGCGGUGCUUGUAGGACAUAAUCUUUCGUGGCAGCUAUGAGGAUGAUCCUCAGGUUCCGGACCCAGUCCGUAUAGUUGCUGCCAUCGUCUUUCAGCUUGAUUUUCUCUAGGAACGCGUUGAAGUUGAGGACUACGUUGGCCAUUUAAUCUACAAGACAUAUUGUAAAAUAUUUAGACUAAGUUCAUGAUAAUUAAGUUCAACUAAUCAAAUUAUUAAUGAACUCCCACUUAGAUUAGACAUCCCUCCAGUCAUCUAAGUAUUACAUGAUCCGAGUUUAACUAGACCGUGUCCGAUCAUCACGUGAGACGGACUAGUCAACGUCGGUGAACAUCUUCAUGUUGAUCGUAUCUUCUAUACGACUCAUGCUCGACCUUUCGGUCUUCUGUGUUCCGAGGCCAUGUCUGUACAUGCUAGGCUCGUCAAGUUAACCUAAGUGUUUGCAUGUGUAAAUCUGUCUUACACCCGUUGUAUGUGAACGUCUGAAUAAAACACCCGAUCAUCACGUGGUGUUUUGAAACAGCGAACUGUCGCAACGGUGCACAGUUAGGGGGAACACUUCUUGAAUUUAUUGUGAGGGAUCAUCUUAUUUACUACCGUCGUUCUAAGUAAACAAGAUGCAAAACAUGAUAAACAUCACAUGCAAUCAAAUAAUAAACGUGACAUGAUAUGGCCAAUAUCACAUAGCUCCUUUGAUCUCCAUCUUGGGGCUCCAUGAUCAUCUUGUCACCGGCUUGACACCAUGAUCUCCAUCAUCGUGUCUCCAUGAAGUUGCUCGCCAACUAUUACUUCUACUAUGGCUAACGCGUUUAGCAAUAAAGUAAAGUAAUUUACAUGGCAUUUCUCGAUGACACGCAGGUCAUAAAAAGAAUAAAGACAACUCCUAUGGCUCCUGCCGGUUGUCAUACUCAUCGACAUGCAAGUCGUGAAUCCUAUUACAAUAGCAUGAACAUCUCAUACAUCACAUAUAGAUCAUUCAUCAUUCAUCACAACUUUGGCCAUAUCAUAUCACAAACCACUUGCUGCAAAAACAAGUUAGACGUCCUCUAAUUGUUGUUGCAAGUUUUACGUGGCUGAAUUAGGGUUCUAGCAAGAACAUUUUCUUACCUACGUUAAAGCCACAACGUGAUUUGUCAACUUCUAUUUACCCUUCAUAAGGACCCUGUUCAUCGAUUCCGCUCCAACUAAAGUGAGAGAGACAGACACCCGCCAGCCACCUUAUGCAACUAGUGCAUGUUAGUCGGUGGAACCGGUCUCACGUAAGCGUACGUGUAAGGUUGGUCCGGGCUGCUUCAUCCCACAAUACCGCUGAAGCAAGAAAGGACUAGUAACGGCAAGAAAGUUGACAAAUCUACGCCCACAACAAAUUGUGUUCUACUCGCACAAGAAGAACUACGCAUAGACCUAGCUCAUGAUGCCACUAUUGGGGAACGUUGCAGAAAACAAAAAAUUUCCUACUCGUUUCACCAAGAUCAUCUAGGAGUUCAUCUAGCAACGAGUGAUUAGAUGCAUCUACAUACCUUUGUAGAUUGCGCACGGAAGCGUUCAAAAGAACGGUGAUGAUGUAGUCGUACUCGACGUGAUCCAAAUCACCGAUGACCAGCGCCGAACGGACGGCACCUCCGCGUUCAACACACGUACGGGACGGGAGACGUCUCCUCCUUCUUGAUCCAGCAAGGGGGGAGGAGAGGUUGAUGAAGAUCCAGCAGCACGACGGCGUGGUGGUGGAUGCAGGGCGUCACAGCAGCAGGGCUUCGCCGAGACUACGAGGGAGAGACGUAACGGGGGGAGAUGGAGGCGCCAGGGGCUGGUGUGAAAUCCCUCCUCUCCCCCCCACUAUAUAUAGGGGUGCCAGGGGGGGCGCCGGCCCUAGUAGAUGAGAUCUACUAGGGGGGGGCGGCGGCCAAGGGGAGGUUUCCCUCCCCCCAAGGCACCUAGGGGUGCCUUCCACCACAUGGACUCUUCCAUGGUGGAAACCCUAGGCGCAUGGACCUAUAGGGGCUGGUGCCCUUGGCCCAUCUAGGCCAAGGCGCACCCCCUAUAGCCCAUGUGGCCCCCCGGGACAGGUGGCCCCACCCGGUGGACCCCCGGGACCCUUUCGGUGGUCCCGGUACAAUACCGAUAACCCCGAAACUUGUCCCGAUGCCCGAAAUAGCACUUCCUAUAUAUAAUUCUUUACCUCCGGACCAUUCCGGAACUCCUCGUGACGUCCGGGAUCUCAUCCGGGACUUCGAACAACAUUCGGGUUUCUGCAUAUACAUAUCUUCAUAACCCUAGCGUCACCGAACCUUAAGUGUGUAGACCCUACGGGUUCGGGAGACAAGCAGACAUGACCGAGACGACUCUCCGGUCAAUAACCAACAGCGGGAUCUGGAUACCCAUGUUGGCUCCCACAUGCUCCACGAUGAUCUCAUCGGAUGAACCACGAUGUCGAGGAUUCAAUCAAUCCCGUACGCUAUUCCCUUUGUCUAUCGAUAUGUUACUUGCCCGAGAUUCGAUCGUCGGUAUCCCAAUACCUCGUUCAAUCUCGUUAUCGGCAAGUCACUUUACUCGUACCGUAAUGCAUGAUCCCGUGACCAGACACUUGGUCACUCUGAGCUCAUUAUGAUGAUGCAUUACCGAGUGGGCCCAGUGAUACCUCUCCGUCAUACGGAGUGACAAAUCCCAGUCUUGAUCCAUGUCACCCAACAGACACUUUCGGAGAUACCCGUAGUCUACCUUUAUAGUCACCCAGUUACGUUGUGACGUUUGGCAUACCCAAAGCACUCCUACGGUAUCCGGGAGUUACACGAUCUCAUGGUCUAAGGAAAAGAUACUUUGACAUUGCAAAACUCUAGCAAACGAACUAUACGAUCUUGUGCUAUGUUUAGGAUUGGGUCUUGUCCAUCACAUCAUUCUCCUAAUGAUGUGAUCUCGUUAUCAAUGACAUCCAGUGUCCAUAGUCAGGAAAUCAUGACUAUCUGUUGAUCAACGAGCCAGUCAACUAGAGGCUCACUAGGGACAUGUUGGUGUCUAUUAUUCACACAUGUAUUACGAUUUCCGGAUAACACAAUUAUAGCAUGAAUAAAGACAAUUAUCAUGAACAAGGAAAUAUAAUAAUAAUGCUUUUAUUAUUGCCUCUAGGGCAUAUUUCCAACAGUCUCCCACUUGCACUAGAGUCAAUAAUCUAGUUACAUUGUGAUGAAUCGAACACCCAUGGAAUUCUGGUGUUGAUCAUGUUUUGCUCUAGGGAGAGGUUUAGUCAACGGAUCUGCUACAUUCAGGUCCGUAUGUACUUUACAAAUCUCUAUGUCUCCAUCUUGAACAUUUUCACGAAUGGAGUUGAAGCGACGCUUGAUGUGCCUUGUCUUCUUGUGAAACCUGGGCUCCUUGGCAAGUGCAAUAGCUCCAGUGUUGUCACAGAAGAGCUUGAUCGGCCCCGACGCAUUGGGUAUGACUCCUAGGUCGGUGAUGAACUCCUUCACCCAUAUUGCUUCAUGUGCUGCCUCCGAGGCUGCCAUGUACUCCGCUUCACAUGUAGAUCCCGCCACGACGCUUUGCUUGCAACUGCACCAGCUUACUGCCCCACCAUUCAAAAUAUACACGUAUCCGGUUUGUGACUUAGAGUCAUCCAGAUCUGUGUCGAAGCUAGCAUCGACGUAACCCUUUACGACGAGCUUUUCGUCACCUCCAUAAACGAGAAACAUUUCCUUAGUCCUUUUCAGGUACUUCAGGAUAUUCUUGACCGCUGUCCAGUGUUCCUUGCCGGGAUUACUUUGGUACCUUCCUACCAAACUUACGGCAAGGUUUACAUCAGGUCUGGUACACAGCAUGGCAUACAUAAUAGAACCUAUGGCUGAGGCAUAGGGGAUGACACUCAUCUCUUCUAUCUCUGCUGCCGUGGUCGGACAUUGAGCUGAGCUCAAUUUCACACCUUGCAAAACAGGCAAGAACCCUUUCUUGGACUGAUCCAUUUUGAACUUCUUCAAAAUCUUAUCAAGAUAUGUGCUUUGUGAAAGACCUAUGAGGCGUCUUGAUCUAUCUCUAUAGAUUUUGAUGCCUAAUAUAUAAGCAGCUUCUCCAAGGUCCUUCAUUGAAAAACUUUUAUUCAAGUAGGCCUUGAUGCUGUCCAAGAGUUCUAUAUCAUUUCCCAUCAAAAGUAUGUCAUCUACAUAUAAUAUGAGAAAUGCUACAGAGCUCCCACUCACUUUCUUGUAAACGCAGGCUUCUCCAUAAGUCUGUGUAAACCCAAACGCUUUGAUCAUCUCAUCAAAGCGAAUGUUCCAACUCCAAGAUGCUUGCACCAGCCCAUAAAUCGAGCGUUGGAGCUUGCACACUUUGUCAGCAUUCUUAGGAUUGACAAAACCUUCCGGCUGCAUCAUAUACAAUUCUUCCUUAAGGAAACCAUUAAGGAAUGCCGUUUUGACGUCCAUUUGCCAAAUUUCAUAAUCAUAAAAUGCGGCAAUUGCUAACAUGAUUCGGACGGACUUCAGCUUCGCUACCGGUGAGAAAGUCUCAUCGUAGUCAACCCCUUGAACUUGUCGAUAACCCUUAGCGACAAGCCGAGCUUUAUAGAUGGUCACAUUACCAUCCGCGUCUGUCUUCUUCUUAAAGAUCCAUUUAUUUUCUAUGGCUCGCCGUUCUACGGGCAAGUCAGUCAAAGUCCAUACUUCGUUUUCAUACAUGGAUCCUAUCUCGGAUUUCAUGGCUUCUAGCCAUUUGUCGGAAUCUGGUCCCGCCAUCGCUUCUUCAUAGUUCGAAGGUUCACCGUUUCUAACAACAUGAUUUCCAAGACAGGGUUGCCGUACCACUCUGGUGCGGAACGUGUCCUUGUGGACCUUCGAAUUUCAGUAGGAGCUUGAUCAGAAGUAUCUUGAUCAUUAUCAUUAACUUCCUCUCUAGUCGGUGCAGGCACCUCAGGAACAUUUUCUUGAGUUGCGCCAUUUUCCGGUUCAAGAGGUAAUACUUCAUCAAGUUCUACUUUCCUCCCACUUACUUCUUUCGAGAGAAACUCUUUCUCCAGAAAGGACCCAUUCUUGGCAACAAAGAUCUUGCCUUCGGAUCUGUGGUAGAAGGUGUACCCAACAGUUUUUUUUGGGUAUCCUAUGAAGACGCAUUUUUCCGAUUUGGGUUCGAGCUUUUCAGGUUGAAGUUUCUUGACAUAAGCAUCGCAUCCCCAAACUUUUAGAAACGACAGCUUAGGUUUCUUCCCAAACCAUAAUUCAUACGGUGUCGUCUUAACGGAUUUCGAUGGAGCCCUAUUUAAAGUGAAUGCGGCAGUCUCUAAAGCAUAGCCCCAGAAGGAAAGCGGUAAAUCGGUAAGAGACAUCAUAGAUCGCACCAUAUCUAACAGAGUGCGAUUACGACGUUCGGACACACCAUUACGCUGAGGUGUUCCAGGCGGCGUGAGUUGUGAAACUAUUCCACAUUUUCUUAAGUGUGCCCCAAACUCGUGACUCAAGUAUUCUCCUCCACGAUCUGAUCGUAGAAACUUGAUUUUCCUGUCACGUUGAUUUUCAACCUCACUCUGAAAUUCCUUGAACUUUUCAAAGGUUUCAGACUUGUGUUUCAUUAAGUAGAUAUACCCAUACCUACUUAAAUCAUCAGUGAGGGUGAGAACAUAACGAUAGCCACCGCGAGCCUCAACACUCAUUGGACCGCACACAUCAGUAUGUAUGAUUUCCAAUAAGUUGGUUGCUCGCUCCAUUGUUCCUGAGAACGGAGUCUUGGUCAUUUUACCCAUAAGGCAUGGUUCGCAUGUGUCAAAUGAUUCAUAAUCAAGAGACUCUAAAAGUCCAUCAGCAUGGAGCUUCUUCAUGCGUUUGACACCUAUGUGACCAAGGCGGCAGUGCCACAGGUAUGUGGGACUAUCAUUAUUAACCUUACUUCUUUUGGUACUCACAUUAUGAAUAUGUGUAGCAUCACGUUCGAGAUUCAUAAGGAAUAAACCAUUCACCAUAGGAGCAUGACCAUAAAACAUAUCUCUCAUAAAAAUGGAACAACCAUUAUUCUCAGAUUUAAAAGAGUAGCCAUCUCGAAUUAAACGAGAUCCCGAUACAAUGUUCAUGCUCAAAGCUGGCACUAAAUAACAAUUAUUAAGGUUUAAAACUAAUCCCGAAGGGAGAUGCAGAGGUAGCGUGCCGACGGCGAUCACAUUGACCUUGGAACCAUUCCCGACGCGCAUCGUCACCUCGUCCUUUGCCAGUUUCCGCUUAUUCCGCAGCCCCUGCUUUGAGUUACAAAUGUGAGCAACUGCACCGGUAUCAAAUACCCAGGAGCUACUACGGGCACUAGUAAGGUACACAUGUAUAUCACAUAUACCUUUUGUUUUGCCGGCCUUCUUAUCCGCUAAGUACUUAGGGCAGUUCCGCUUCCAGUGACCGCUUCCCUUGCAAUAAAAGCACUCAGUCUCGGGCUUGGGUCCAUUCUUUGGCUUCUUCCCAGCAGCUUGCUUGCCGGGCGCGGCAACCUCCUUGCCGUCCUUCUUGAAGUUCUUUUUACCCUUGCCUUUCUUGAACUUAGUGGUUUUAUUGACCAUCAACACUUGAUGUUCCUUUCUGACUUCUACCUCUGCUGAUUUCAGCAUAGCAAAUACUUCAGGAAUGGUCUUUUCCAUCCCCUGCAUAUUGAAGUUCAUCACAAAGCUCUUGUAGCUUGGUGGAAGCGACUGGAGGAUUCUGUCAAUGACCGCAUCAUCCGGGAGAUUAACUCCCAGCUGAGUCAAGCGGUUAUGCAACCCAGACAUAGUGAGUAUGUGCUCACUGACAGAACUGUUUUCCUCCAUCUUACAGCUAAAGAAUUUGUCGGAGACUUCAUAUCUCUCGACCCGGGCAUGAGCUUGGAAAACCAUUUCAGCUCUUCGAACAUCUCAUAUGCUCCAUGUCUCUCAAAACGCUUUUGGAGCCCCGGCUCUAGGCUGUAAAGCAUGCCGCACUGAACGAGGGAGUAGUCAUCGAAACGUGCCUGCCAAGUGUUCAUAACGUCUUGUUCCGCAGGGAGAACGGGUGCGUCACCAAGCGGUGCUUGUAGGACAUAAUCUUUCUUGGCAGCUAUGAGGAUGAUCCUCAGGUUCCGGACCCAGUCCGUAUAGUUGCUGCCAUCGUCUUUCAGCUUAGUUUUCUCUAGGAACGCGUUGAAGUUGAGGACUACGUUGGCCAUUUGAUCUACAAGACAUAUUGCAAAGAUUUUAGACUAAGUUCAUGAUAAUUAAGUUCAACUAAUCAAAUUAUUAGUGAACUCCACUUAGAUUAGACAUCCCUCUGGUCAUCUAAGUAUUACAUGAUCCGAGUUAAACUAGACCGUGUCCGAUCAUCACGUGAGACGGACUAGUCAACAUCGGUGAACAUCUUCAUGUUGAUCGUAUCUUCUAUACGACUCAUGCUCGACCUUUCGGUCUUCUGUGUUCCGAGGCCAUGUCUGUACAUGCUAGGCUCGUCAAGUCAACCUAAGUGUUUGCAUGUGUAAAUCUGUCUUACACCCGUUGUAUGUGAACGUCUGAAUAAAACACCCGAUCAUCACGUGAUGUUUUGAAACAGCGAACUGUCGCAACGGUGCACAGUUAGGGGGAACACUUCUUGAAAUUAGUAUGAGGGAUCACCUUAUUUACUACCGUCGUUCUAAGUAAACAAGAUGCAAAACAUGAUAAACAUCACAUGCAAUCAAAUAAUAAACGUGACAUGAUAUGGCCAAUAUCACACAGCUCCUUUGAUCUCCAUCUUGGGGCUCCAUGAUCAUCUUGUCACCGGCUUGACACCAUGAUCUCCAUCAUCAUGAUCUCCAUCAUCAUGUCUCCAUGAAGUUGCUCGCCAACCAUUACUUCUACUACUAUGGCUAACGCGUUUAGCAAUAAAGUAAAGUAAUUUACAUGGCGUUUCUUGAUGACACGCAGGUCAUAUAAAAGAAUAAAGACAACUCCUAUGGCUCCUGCCGGUUGUCAUACUCAUCGACAUGCAAGGCGUGAAUCCUAUUACAAUAGCAUGAACAUCUCAUACAUCACAUAUAGAUCAUUCAUCAUUCAUCACAACUUUGGCCAUAUCAUAUCACAAACCACUUGCUGCAAAAACAAGUUAGACGUCCUCUAAUUGUUGUUGCAUGUUUUACGUGGCUGAAUUAGGGUUCUAGCAAGAACGUUUUCUUACCUACGUUAAAGCCACAACGUGAUUUGUCAACUUCUAUUUACCCUUCAUAAGGACCCUGUUCAUCGAUUCCGCUCCAACUAAAGUAGGAGAGACAGACACCCGCCAGCCACCUUAUGCAACUAGUGCAUGUUAGUCGGUGGAACCGGUCUCACGUAAGCGUACGUGUAAGGUUGGUCCGGGCCGCUUCAUCCCACAAUACCGCUGAAGCAAGAAAGGACUAGUAACGGCAAGAAAGUUGACAAAUCUACGCCCACAACAAAUUGUGUUCUACUCGCGCAAGAAGAACUACGCAUAGACCUAGCUCAUGAUGCCACUGUUGGAGAACGUUGCAGAAAACAAAAAAUUUCCUACUCGUUUCACCAAGAUCAUCUAGGAGUUCAUCUAGCAACGAGUGAUUAGAUGCAUCUACAUACCUUUGUAGAUCGCGAGCGGAAGCGUUCAAAAGAACGGUGAUGAUGUAGUCGUACUCGACGUGAUCCAAAUCACCGAUGACCAGCGCCGAACGGACGGCACCUCCGCGUUCAACACACGUACGGAACAGCCACGUCUCCUCCUUGAUCCAGCAAGGGAGGGAGGAGAGGUUGAGGGAGAUGGCACCAGCAGCAGCACGACGGCGUGGUGUUGAUGGAGCUGCAGUACUCCGGCAGAGCUUCGCUAAGCACUAUGGAGGUGGAGGAGGUGUUGGGGAGGGAGAAGGAGGCAACCAAAGGCCAAGGCGUUCAGGUAUGAAGUCCCUCCUCUCCCCCCACUAUAUAUAGGAGGGCCAAGGGGGGGUGGCCGGCCCUAGGAGAUCCAAUCUCCUAGGGGGUGCGGCGGCCAAGGGGGGUUUUCCCUCCCCCCAAGGCACCUAGGAGGUGCCUUACCCUCCUAGGACUCUUGCCCCCUUAAACCCUAGGCGCAUGGGCCCAUGUGGGGCUGGUGCCCUUGGCCCAUUAGGCCAAGGCGCACCCCCUUACAGCCCAUGUGGCCCCCCGGGACAGGUGGACCCACCCGGUGGACCCCCGGGACCCUUCCGGUGGUCCCGGUACAAUACCGAUGACCCCGAAACUUGUCCCGAUGCCCGAAACAGGACUUCCCAUAUAUAAAUCUUUAUCUCCGGACCAUUCCGGAACUCCUCGUGACGUCCGGGAUCUCAUCCGGGACUCCGAACAACAUUCGGGUUACUGCAUAUACAUAUCCCUACAACCCUAGCGUAAGCGAACCUUAAGUGUGUAGACCCUACGGGUUCGGGAGACAAGCAGACAUGACCGAGACGACUCUCCGGUCAAUAACCAACAGCGGGAUCUGGAUACCCAUGUUGGCUCCCACAUGCUCCACGAUGAUCUCAUCGGAUGAACCACGAUGUCGAGGAUUCUAUCAACCCCGUACGCUAUUCCCUUUGUCCAUCGAUAUGUUACUUGCCCGAGAUUCGAUCGUCGGUAUCCCAAUACCUCGUUCAAUCUCGUUACCGGCAAGUCACUUUACUCGUACCGUAAUGCAUGAUCCCGUGACCAGACACUUGGUCACUCUGAGCUCAUUAUGAUGAUGCAUUACCGAGUGGGCCCAGUGAUACCUCUCCGUCAUACGGAGUGACAAAUCCCAGUCUUGAUCCAUGUCACCCAACAAACACUUUCGGAGAUACCCGUAGUCUACCUUUAUAGUCACCCAGUUACGUUGUGACGUUUGGCAUACCCAAAGCACUCCUACGGUAUCCGGGAGUUACACGAUCUCAUGGUCUAAGGAAAAGAUACUUUGACAUUGGAAAACUCUAGCAAACGAACUAUACGAUCUUGUGCUAUGUUUAGGAUUGGGUCUUGUCCAUCACAUCAUUCUCCCAAUGAUGUGAUCUCGUUAUCAAUGACAUCCAGUGUCCAUAGUCAGGAAACCAUGACUAUCUGUUGAUCAACGAGCUAGUCAACUAGAGGCUCACUAGGGACAUGUUGGUGUUUGUUAUUCACACAUGUAUUACGAUUUCCGGAUAACACAAUUAUAGCAUGAAUAAAGACAAUUAUCAUGAACAAGGAAAUAUAAUAAUAAUGCUUUUAUUAUUGCCUCUAGGGCAUAUUUCCAACACCCCCGGGCCAGGUUCUGAAGUCCUCGGGCUGGGUGCGAUGGCUGCAGUCCCCGGGCCGCCUGCCGAAGUCCCCGCGCCGGCUUCUGGGGUCCUCAAGUCGGAUCCGACUGCUUCAAGAGGGGCCGACACGAAGAUGGAGUCAAACUCUAGUGAUGGCUUGACAGACGGCUUGAGGAGGCGCUGCAAGGCGACGCCGGCUGGUAUCGCCUCCCGGGUGGAGCCGAUCCGUGCCAAGGCAUCUGCUUGCUCGUUGUCAUUUCUUGGCACAUGGAGGAACUUGCACCCGUCAAAGUAUCCACUGAGUUGCUGCACGAGGAAGCGGUAGCUUGCCAUAUUUGCGUCCUUGGCGUCCCAGUCGCCUGAUGACCGCUGGACCACCAAGUCGGAGUCACCAUAGCACAGGAUCUGGCGAAUGCCGAGUUCCUUGGCAGGCCGGAGCCCGUGUAUGAGUGCCUUGUACUCGGCUACGGUGUUGGAGGCGGCAAAAUGGAUUUGCAGCACAUAUCUGAGCUUGUCACCUUUGGGAGAGGUGAGGCCGAUGCCGCCUCCUAGACCGGUGCACAUUUUUGAACCAUCAAAAUGCAUCCGCCAAUGGGUGGAGUCUGGCGCUGGCGGCAAGUACUAGGUCUUGGCCCAGUCGACGAGGAAGUCGGCCAGUGCUUGUGACUUGAUGGCGGCACGAGGCUGGUAGUAGAUGGUAAAAGGGGCCAGAUCAAUAGCCCACUUGGACACUCGGCCAGAAGCAUCUCGGCUUCCAAUGAUCUCGGCAAGCAGAGCAGUGCAGACAACAGUAACUGGGUGCUUUUGAAAGUAAGGCUUCAGCUUCUUGGCGGCGAAAUGCACACCAUAGCACAUCUUCUGAUAGUGUGGGUAGUUUUGCUUGGAAGCAGACAAUACUUCACUUAAGUAAUAUACCGGCCUCUGGAUCGGCAAUGCUCUGCCCUCCUCCUUGCGUUCUACCACUAUGACUGUGCUGACCACUCGACUGGUGGCGGCAAUGUAGAGGAGCAUGUACUCUUUCUCAGUUGGAGCCGCCAAGAUAGGCGGGGUGGUCAACAUAUUCUUGAGUUGGAGAAAAGCUUCGUCCGCCUUAUCCUUCCACUCGAAAAAAGUGGUCUUCUUCAUGAGCUGGUAUAGGGGAAGAGCCUUCUCGCCCAGCCGACUGAUGAAACGGCUUAUUGAUGGCAGGCAGCUGGUGAAUUUCUGCACGUCCAGCAGUCGGGUGGGCACCUCCAUCUUCUCAAUGGCCUUGAUCUUCACAGGGUUGCACUCUAUGCCGCGCUCUGAGACCAGAAAACCGAGAAGCAGUCCGACUGGUACUCCAAAGAUGCAUUUCUCUGGGUUGAGCUUGAUCUGGAAACGACGCAGGUUCUCAAAAGUUUCCUUGAGGUCUUCCAGCAGCGUGCCACGCUUCUCCGUCUUCACCACCACAUCAUCCACAUAGACAUGGGCAUUUCUGCCGAGUUGCUUGAGGAGACACUUCUGCAUGCAACGCUAAAACGUGGCGCCGGCAUUUCGCAAGCCGAACAUCAUGGUCAGGUAGCAGAAGGCUCCAAAUGGCGUGAUGAAGGCGGUCUUUAGCUUAUCGGCCGGGUUCAGCUUUAUCUGAUGGUACCCUAAGUACGCAUCCAAAAAACUCAACAGCUCGCAUCCGGCUAUGGAGUCUAUCACUUGGUCGAUUCUCGGCAGGGCAAAGGGAUCUUUGGGGCAAGCUUUGUUGAGGCUGGUAUAAUCAAUACAUAUGCGCCACUGCUUAUUUUUCUUCAGCACAAGAACUGGGUUGGCCAGCCAUUCUAGAAAGAAUACUUUCAUGAUGAAACCGGCUGCCAGAAGUCGGGCUAUCUCUUCUCCGACAACUCUUCUCUCCACUUCUGACAGGCGGCACAAGGGCUGCCUAACCAGCUUGGCGCCAGGUCAGACAUGUAACUUGUGCUCGGCGAAAUCCGUCGGAACACCCGGCAUGUCUUUGGGAGACCAUGCAAAGAUGUCCCGAUUCUCAUGGAGGAAAUCGACAAGCUCGCUUUCCUAUUUGUUGUCCAGGUUGGCACCUAUGACAGCGUGCCUCUCUGGGUACUCCGGGUCCAGGGGUAUCUUCUUCGUUUCCUUUGCCGGCUUGAACGAGCCCUCAACCUCCGACUCCUUGGGGAUGGGUGACAUUUCUGGCUUCUUCCCUGCCAUCGCCACCACCCGGUCAAGGAGCCGCUUCUCAGCUGCAACCACGAGGGACUCGGCCAGCCGGCUGCUGUCCGCGGCACAGGCGGUCGACUUCUUGUAGUCUCCGACUAUAGUCAGGAUCCCCUUGGUGCUCGACAUCUUCAUCUUGAGGUAAGCAUAGUGAGGGACCGCCAUGAACUUGGCCAGGGCAGGCCGGCCAAGCAGCGCAUGGUAGGGGAUUUCAAGGUCCACCACUUCAAACCAAACUGGCUCAUGGCAGAAAUGAUUCUUGUCUCUGAAGAGAACAUCAAUUUGGGUCUUACCGAUUGGUGAUUAGGAAAGGCCAGGGACCAUGCCAUGGAAUAUAGUCCGACUAGGGAGGAGCUGCUUCUGCUUGAUUCCCAACUUCUCCAUCGUGUCACAGUACAGGAUAUUGAUGCUGCUGCCGCCAUCUAUCAGGACUCUGGAGAAACGAGCUGCCCGCCUCUCCAUUGCAAAGGUUGCAUCUAGGACCAAGGCGUAGGAACCAGGGGAAGGCAUCACUUCCGGGUGGUCGGCCCUGCUCCAACUGAUGGGCUUCUCAGACCAAUGCAUGAAUUCUGGAGUAUUUGAGGCCACUGCCUGUACUUCUUGCUGCUGCUGCUGUCUGCUACGUCUGUCAUCGGCCACGCUGGUGAACACAACAUAAGCUCCAUGCUCCACUGGAUACUCAUCUUGUGUGGUGCCGACUGGCCGGGCCGCCGGCUGCUGGGGCUGAGGAGGCGGCGGGCCUGCAGGCGGAGGAGGCAGGAGUUGAUCCAAGUAGAGAAAGUAUGUUAGCUUAUGCCUCUCCCUCAAAUAGAAUUGCAAUAGUGAUUACCGGUCUAGUAACGUAGUCAAUAGCUUAGGGAAAAUUUCACAACUCCUACCACCACUUUUCCACACUUGCUAUAUUUAAUUUAUUGCAUCUUUAUCUAAACAGCCCCUACUCUUUAUUUACGUGCUCUUAUUAUCUUGCAAACCUAUCCAACAACACCUUCAAAGUACUUCUAGUUUCAUACUUGUUCUAGGUAAAGCGAACGUCAAGGGUGCGUAGAGUCGUAUCAGUGGCCGAUAGGACUUGAGAGAGUAUUUGUUCUACCUUUAGCUCCUCGUUGGGUUCGACACUCUUAAUUAUCGAAAGAGGCUACAACUAUCCCGUAUACUUGCGGGUUAUCAAGACCUUUUUCUGGCGCCGUUGCCGAGGAGUCGUAGUGUGGGGUGAAUAUUCUCGUGUGUGCUUGUUUGCUUUAUCACUAAGUAAUUUUUAUUUGCUGUUCUAAGUUGUUCUCUAUCUUUAGUUAUGGAUAUGGAACACGAAAUACCAAAAAAUAGAUGUACUUGCUACUCAGGGAGAUGGGGAACCUCCUAAAACCCUUGAUGCUUGUUAUGGUCGAGAUAUUAUGUACUACUUUAAUAAUCCUGAGAAAACCCCAUUCAAUUAUGUUAUGGGAGACACGUUGGAUCAACGUGAAUACUUUAUGGAUUAUCGCUUGACACAAAAAGGGAAACUAUUAUGGGAUCAAAUUCAAAUGUUGAAGUGGUAUGCUUGAGAUAUGAUAUUAUUUGUUGCUCUAGGAUGAAGGCUCCACACCUUCCCUUUUCAUGCAAAUUUAAUGAUAAUGAAACCUUAUCUUCUUAUGCUGAUGGUAUAUAUGAUUACUAUGAUGUUGAACAAAUAGAAGAAUUUGUUGCUUUUAAGGCUGCUUAUGAAAUUGAAUCUUUGUUUGAAAAGUAUGAAGCUUUUGAUGAUGAUGGUGUUUAUAGGCCUGAAAAUCUUGCUAUACUUAGAUAUUGCUAUGAAAAUUAUGAAUACAAUUACAAUAUUAAUGCAUUUAUUGAGAAAGUCUCUGCUGUCCAAGAAGAGACUAAUAUUUUGCAGGAAGCUAUGGAAGAAGAAAUUGACGAAACCGUGAGCUCAUUAGAUGAAAAAAGAUGACGAGGAGAGCGAAGAACAAAAGGAGGAAGAGCGGAUUGAUCACCCGUGCCCACCCUCUAAUGAGAGUAACUCUUCAACUCAUGCAUUGUUUAAUUCCCCUUCGUGCUUACCGAAGGAUGAUUGCUAUGAUGAUUGCUAUGAUCCCAUUGAUUCUCUUGAAAUACCCUUUUUUGAUGAUGCCUGCUAUGCUUGUGGCCAAGAUGCCAAUAUUAAUUAUGCUUAUGGAGAUGAACUUGCUAUAGUUCCUUAUGUUAAACAUGAAAUUGUUGCUAUUGCACCCAUGCAUGAUAGUCAUAUUAUCUUUUUGAAUUCUCCAAACUACACUAUAUCAGAGAAGUUUGUGCUUAUUAAGGAUUAUAUUGAUGGGUUGCCUUUUACUACUACACAUGAUGAUUUUGAUAGAUAUAAUAUGCAUGUGCUUGCUGCUCCUACUUGCAAUUAUUACGAGAGAGGAACCACAUCUCCGCCUCUUUAUGUUUCCAACACGAUAGAAUUGCAAGAAACUACUUAUACUAUGCGUUGGCCUUUACUAUGUGUGCAGGAAUUGUUCUUUUAUGACAUGACGAUGCAUAUGAAGAGAGUUAGACUUCGUUGUUACUUGAUAUAUGUUACUUUUUGCUCACUACUAAAUUACAAAUCAUUGUUAAUUAAAAUUGGCUUUGAUAUACCUUGGGAUCCGGGUUGAUUCAUUACUUGAGCACUAUAUGCCUAGCUUAAUGGCUUUAAAGAAAGCGCUGCCAGGGAGACAACCCGGAAGUUUUAGAGAGUCAUUUAUUUCUAUUGAGUGCUUUUAUAUAGUUUAAAAACGAAAAAAAUAAAGAGGGGAACCUAAAACUUUUCAAAAAGGAAAGUGAAAGUGAGAAAGACAAGCAUUGUUGAAGUGGGAGCUAGCCUUGAACUUUGUUCAUGCUCACGGAAACUUUGUGAAUCUUGAUUACAGAAAAUUUUCAUAAAAAAUAAUUAUCCCCUUGUAUAAUUCCAUUUUAUUAUAAAAAUAAUAUGCCAAGGUUUGCCUUUAGGAUGUUUGCAAUGCUUGUUGGUUUGUACGGUGCAGGACAGAAACUUUGGUCAUAGUGCGUGAUUUUACAUUUUUAACUGGAACGUCAGUUGGUUCUGAUUCCUUUUGCACUGUCUUUAUAUACAACUUUUUUAUUUUUAAUAAUUUUGGUAGAAUUUUUGGGGUACCAUAAGUAUGGUGGAUGUUCAGAUUGCUACAGACUGUUCUGUUUUUGACAGAUUCUGUUUUUGAUGCAUAGUUUGCUUGUUUUGAUGAAUCUAUCAAUUUAUAUCAGUGGAUUAAGCCAUGAAAAAGUUAUAUUACAGUAGACACAAUGCAAAAACAAAAUAUGAAUUGGUUUGCAACAGUACUUAGAGUAGUGAUUUGCUUUAUUAUACUAACGGUUCUUACCGAGUUUUCUGUUGAAGUUUUGUGUGGAUGAAGUGUCUAAACGAGGAGGUCUCGAUAUGAGGAAAAGGAAGAGAGGCAAGAGCUCAAGCUUGGGGAUGCCCGAGGCACCUCAAGUAAAUAUUCAAGGAGACUCAAGUGUCUAAGCUUGGGGAUGCCCCGGAAGGCAUCCCCUCUUUCUUCAACAAAUAUUGGUAUGUUUUCGUAUUCGUUUCGUUUAUGCAUUAUGUGCAAGUCUUGGAGCGUCUUUUGCAUUUAGUUUUCAUUUUUAUUUUAUGCACCAUGCUGGUAUGAGAUAGUCCUUGGUUGAUUUAUAUAAUGCUCAUCGCACCUCACUUAUAUCUUUUGAGUAUGGCUUUAUAGAAUGCUUCAUGUGCUUCACUUAUAUCAUUUGAAGUUGGAUUGCCUGUUUCUCUUUACAUAGAAAACCGCCAUUUGUAGAAUGCUCUUUUGCUUCACUUAUAUUUGUUAGAGCAUGGGAAUAUAUUUUGUAGAAAGAAUUAAACUCUCUUGUUUCACUUAUAUCUUUUUAGAGAGAUGACAUGAAUUGGUCAUUCACAUGGUUAGUCAUAAAAUCCUACAUAAACUUGUAGAUCGCUGAAUAUGAUAUGUGUGAUUCCUUGCAAUAGUUUUGCGAUAUAAAGAUGGUGAUAUUAGAGUCAUGCUAGUGGGUGGUUGUGGAUUAUAGAGACACUUGUGUUGAGGUUUGCAAGUCCCGUAGCAAGCACAUAUGGUAACCAUUGUGUGACAAAUUUGAAGCAUGGGGUGUUUCUUUGAUUGUCUUCCUUAUGAGUGGCGGUCGGGGACGAACGAUGGUCUUUUCCUACCAAUCUAUCCCCCUAGGGGCAUGCCUAGUAGUACUUUGCUUCGAGGGCUAAUAAACUUUUGCAAUAAGUAUAUGUGUUCUUUAUGACUAAUGUGAGUCCAUGGAUUAUACGCACUUUUACCUUUCCAUCAUUGCUAGCCUGUUCGGUACCAUGCAUUGCCCUUUCUCACCUUGAGAGUUGGUGCAAACUUCGCCGGUGCAUCCAAACCCCGUGAUAUGAUACGCUCUAUCACACAUAAACCUCCUUAUAUCUUCCUCAAAACAGCCACCAUACCUACCUAUUAUGGCAUUUCCAUAGCCAUUCCGAGAUAUAUUGCCAUGCAACUUUCCACCAUUCCAUUCAUCAUCAUCAUGACAUACAUUACUUUUGUCAUAUUGCCAUUGCAUGAUUAUGUAGUUGACAUCAUAUUUGUGGCAAAGCCACCAUGCAUAAUUUUUCAUAUAUGUCACUCUUGAUUCAUUGCAUCAUCCCGGCACACUGCCGGAGGCAUUCAUAUAGAGUCAUAUCUUGUUCUAGUUUCGAGUUGUAAUUCAUAUGUUGUAAUCAAUAAAAGUGUGAUGAUCAUCAUUAUUAGAGCAUUGUCCCCAAAAAGAAAAUAAAAGAAGAAAGGCCAAAGAAAAUAAAUAAAAAGGAAAUAAAGAAAAUAAAUAAAAAGGAGCAAUGUUACUAUCUCUUUUUCCACACUUGUGCUUCAAAGUAGCACCAUGUUCUUCAUGUAGUGAGUAUCAUAUCUUGUGCUUCAAAGUAGCACCAUGUUUUUCAUAUAGUGAGUCUCAUAGGUUGUCAUUUUCAUAUACUAGUGGGAAUUUUUCAUUAUAGAACUUGGCUUAUAUAUUCCUACGAUGGGCUUUCUCAAAUGCCCUAGGUCUUCGUGAGCAAGCAAGUUGGAUGCACACCCACUAGUUUUCUUUUGUUGAGCAUUCAUUUAUAGCUCUAGUGCAUCCGUUGCAUGGCAAUCCCUACUCCUCAUGUUGACAUCAAUUUAUGGGCAUCUCCAUAGCCCGUUGAUUAGCCGCGUCGAUGUGAGACUUCCUCCUUUUUUUGUCUUCUCCACAUAACCUCCAUCAUUAUAUUCUAUUCCACCUAUAGUGCUAUAUCCAUGGCUUGCGCUCAUGUAUUGCGUGAGGGUUGACAAAGUUGAAGCACGUUAAAAAGUAUGAACCAAUUGCUCGGCUUGUCAUCGGGGUUGUGCAUGAUGGGGGCAUUUUAUGUGACGAAAAUGAAGCAUGGCCGAACUAUAUGAUUUUGUAGGGAUAAGCUUUCUUUGGCCUUGUUGUUUUGAAAAGACAUGAUUGCUUUAUUGGUACGCUCGAAGUAUUACUGCUUUUAUGUCAAAUGAUAAGACUAUUGCUUUGAAUCACUCGUGUCUUAAUAUUUAUGCCAUGACUAGUCAUAUGAUCAAGAUUAUGCUAGGUAGCAUUCCACAUCAAAAAUUAUCUUUUUUAUCAUUUACCUACUCGAGGACGAGCAGGAAUUAAGCUUGGGGAUGCUAAUACGUCUCCAUCGUAUCUAUAAUUUUUUAUUGUUCCAUGCCAAUAUUCUACAACUUUCAUAUUCUUUUGGCAACUUUUAUACUAUUUUUUGGGACUAACAUAUUGAUCCAGUGCCCAGUGCCAGUUCCUGUCUGUUGCAUGUUUUAUGUUUCGCAGAAACCCAAUAUCAAACGGAGUCCAAACGGGAUAAAAAUGGACGGAGAAUUAUUUUGAAAUAUUUGUGAUUUUUUGGAGGAAGAAUCAACGCGAAAUGGUGCCCGAGGGCCAUGAGAGUGGCCCACGCCACCACUCUAGGUGGGCGCGCCCCCCACUCUCGUGGGCCACCCGUAAGGCGGUUGAUGCCCUUCUUUGGCCGCAAGAAAGCUAUUUUUUGUAAAACGAUCUGGGCAAAGGUUUCAAUCCAAUCGGAGUUACGGAUCUCCAAAUAUAAAGGAAACGGUGCCAGGGCAGAAUUCCAGAACGCAGAAACAAAGAGAUAGAUCCAAUCUCAGAGGGGCUCUCGCCCCUCCCAAGCCAUGGGAGCCAAGGACCAGAGGGGAAACCCUUCUCCCAUCUAGGGAAUAGGUCAAGGAAGAAGAAGAAGGGGGGGGGCUCUCUCCCCCUUGCUUCCGGUGGCGCCGGAGCGCUGCUGGGGGCCAUCAUCAUCACCGCGAUCUUCACCAACACCUCCGCCAUCUUCAACAACAUCUCCAUCACCUUCCCCCAUCUAUAUUCAGCGGUCCACUCUCCCGCAACCCGUUGUACCCUCUACUUGAACAUGGUGCUUUAUGCUUCAUAUUAUUUUCCAAUGAUGUGUUGCCAUCCUAUGAUGUCUGAGUAGAUUUUUGUUGUCCUAUCGAUGAUUGAUGAAUUGCUAUGAUUUGUUUGAGUUGCAUGUUUUAUUAUUGGUGCUGUCCUAUUGUGUCCACCGUGUCGCGCAAGCGUGAGGGAUUCCCGUUGUAGGGUUUGCAAUAUGUUUAUGAUUUGCUUAUGGUGGGUGGCGUGAGUGACAGAAGCACAGACCCGAGUAAGUAGGUUGUUUGCGUAUGGGAUAAAGGGGACUUGAUACUUUAAUUCUAUGGUUGGGUUUUACCUUAAUGAAUCUUUAGUAUUUGCGGAUGCUUGCUAGAGUUCCAAUCAUAAGUGCAUAUGAUCCAAGUAGAGAAAGUAUGUUAGCUUAUUCCUCUCCCUCAAAUAGAAUUGCAUUAGUGAUUACUGGCCUAGUAACAUAGUCAAUUGCUUAGGGACAAUUUCACAACUCCUACCACCACUUUUCCACACUCGCUAUAUUUACUUUAUUGCAUCUUUAUCUAAACAUCCCCUACUCUUUAUUUGCGUGCUCUUUAUUAUCUUGCAAACCUAUCCAACAACACCUAUAAAGUACUUCUAGUUUCAUACUUGUUCUAGGUAAAGCGAACGUCAAGCGUGCGUAGAGUCGUAUCAGUGGCCGAUAGGACUUGAGAGAGUAUUUGUUCUACCUUUAGCUCCUCGUUGGGUUCGACACUCUUACUUAUCGAAAGAGGCUACAACUAUCCCGUAUACUUGCGGGUUAUCAGGAGUCCAUCUCCCUUGGCUAUCCUAGUGAGCCAAUGGCACUUCCCUGUGGUGUGGUUGGACGGCUUCGCGCCACUAUGGAACUUGCAGGGUGCAUCUAGGGUCUACUCAUAAGAGAAAGCGGGCAACCAAUUGGCUUUCCGCCCUUCUGACGCUUGGGUGCUGGCUGCCCUCCGGGUCCUGGUCCUCGACUGUCGCCACCUGCCGGCUGGGUGGCCUUCCGCUUAUUGUCGCUUGGAUGCUGUCGCCGACUAGUAUCACCAGCCGGAGUCCGAGGAGCCUGAGGUGCCACCUUGCCGGACGCAUCAAUUAGGAUUUCCGCCUUCAUGAAGGAGUCGGCCGUGGCGUGCUUGUCGGUGAUGAUUAGCAGUUCAUGGAGUGUCGCAGGCUUGUCACAAAGAAGUCGGUGCUUGAGGAGGGUGCCUUCUCGGCACCCGGCGGUGAAGUACUCGAUGGCCUGCACCUCGUGCACGCCUUCGCAGGAGUUGCGCAGCUCGACCCAGUGCGUGAUAUAGUCGCGAGUCGAUUUGCUGGGCCCUUGGAUGCACAAGGAUAGCUGUCGGGGCUUGGGAGGCCGCUUGUACGUGCUGGUGAAGUUGCGGAUGAAGGCUUCAGUGAAAUCAACCCAGCUGUUGAUGCUGCGGGGCUUCAUGCUAUUAAGCCACGUCUGAGCUGUGCCUUGAAGCAUGAGCGGGACGUACUUCACAGCAACGCGCUUGUUGCCGUUCACUAUGCUGAUGGCCGUGGAGUAGUCGACCAGCCAGUCCUCCGGCUUCAUGGAGCCGGUGUACUUGGGCGUAUCUCGCGGGAGGGUGAACCCUUUGGGGAAGGGCUCGUCUAGGAUUCGUGGGUCGAAACAAGGCGGGCCCAAUGCGUAUUCUUCUUCUAGCGCUAGAGAUCGGUUGAGGUGGUCGAUCCGAUGGCGGGCGUCAUUCUCUCCGACUCCCUCUCAGCGACCAAGGCGGUCUCCGAGUGUUGGGUGUGUGACAGGUGGCGGAGUGGGAUGCCUCGCUCCACGAGGCGGAGGAGGAGGCGGGUCGCCUUGCCGCUCCACCGCUCGGGGGUGUCCAUCUUCGUCACGCUCGAUGGAGAGGCGAGUCCGGCUACGGCUGGCAGCCGGCUCAUUGCCUCUUCUUCCACGGGAGCCACCAGUCAGCGUCCGGGAUGUCGCGCCAUGGUCCUGGCGAGGGGGCGGUUCAUCGUUCCGUUGGGCGGGCACUCCAGCGUGGCAGCCGGCUUUGUGCUGCGCGACAGCCGCGUCUAGGAGCUGCUGGACCCGCUCCGUCAUGUGGUGACGCUCGUCGCCCUCAUAAUUGUCCAGCUCAUCCAUCACCGCCUGGACGGCCCGGAUGUUCUCUGCAAGCGUGGCGUAGAUGGGGUGUUCCGCCCCGAACAUGCUGGCGAUGGUCGCGCCACGCUGCUGGAUCGAGCCGAUGCAGCUGGGCCCCUCAGGAACCAGCAUGCCACCAACGGCCCGGUCCAUCUCGUGCCGGUAGGCGUUCGAGAGGCGUCGCACGCUGGCCAGUCGGCCAGCGCUCUCGAGGAGCUGGACGUGGCGUGCUUCCAGCGUCUCAGCGUCUGCGUCUUCUGGGAUCGGCGCCGACAGGUCUCGCAGCGCCACAUCGAGUGGGUCUCGAGCACCUCUGUUCGAGCGCUCGCCGCUGUCAAUGACAAGCACCUCCGUAACGGUGCUCCCACCGUUGUGCUCACGAGGAGGCGGCUCGUCGUAAACCACCAUGUUGGUGGGGAACGCGUCAAGCGACGCCGUGUCGGAGUCGACGAUCAUCGGGUCAGUGGAGCCAACAGACUCCAGGUCCAUAGCAGGCUCGCUGGUGACAUGAAGCUGGUCGAGGAGGCUGACGAGACGGCUUUCUGGGCAGCCAGUGCUCACGUCGGAGGCCGGCUCAUCGGAGAGGUGAAUCUCGCCAACAAGGUCGGCGAGGCAGCUCGCCGUGCAGGCGAUCUCCACGCCGUGCAGCGUGUCGAGGCUGACUUCGUCGGGUGUGUUGGGCUGGCUUCACUCGCCAGGAAGGAACAAAGUUCCCUUCCAGAGCAGGUCUCCGGGAGACGGUGCACCUAGCCCCAAGGUGGGCACCAAAUGUCGGGGGUUGGGUGCGACAUAUGCCAAAGGAUGGAUUAUCAUGGUGGAAGCGAGUAGAACAUCGCCGGUGCCUGGAAGCGGGCUAAGGCGUAGACAUGCACGCCGACGCACUUUACCCAGGUUCGGGGCUCUCCUAGGAUAUAACACCCCUAGUCCUGCUCUGCGGGGUCUCCGCGUGAUCACUAAAGCACAAGUGAUACAAUGGUGCUCCUUGAGAUGUGUGCUAGAGGCAGAAGAAGGCAAGGCUAGCUCUCUUCAUGCUCUAGGGGAGUGGCUAGUUCUUAUGGAGUGGGAACCCUUUGCAUGGGUGCCCUGGAGGGUUUAUAUAGGCCUACCCCCCCGGGGUACAACGGUAAUCUGGCCGAGUGCUAGACCCGGCUGUCAGUGUCUCUGGUCUCCGGCUUCUCCACCGACUACUGGGGCCUGCCGCCUGGUGGGCCCCGCCGACUGGUCCGGUACGGAGCCGACAGGCCGCUCCCGCCGCUGGUGGGUCUGGUUGGUGGUUGUUUACUGUAGCCGUGCUGCUAAUGAUGCAAGCUUGGUCAGCUGAGUGUGGCUACAGUCCCGCCGCCUGGCGGGAGAUCACUGUAGCCACACCUUGUCUCAUCAGGUUAAUGACGCGCUGACUUCAAGGGAGGGAACGACCACCUGCUGCAGGCCGGUCUCCCCCAAGUCUGACUGGUCCGACAUCCGCCGUCUUCCGGGCUGUCACUGUCUGAUAGGGCCCGCAGCCCGCAAGCCGUACCGACAGGUCAUCGUGGGGAACAGGGCUCCGCUCGUCUGGAGUGACGUCAAGGGGGGAGUGGCAACAGUGUCGCGCCGUGCGGAGAUCUCCGCCUGUACGGGGCACUGUGGCCACGCCAAGCCCAAGAUUCGGGGGUGAGGUACUUCACUGUAGCCACGCCAUGUCUUGUCCUCUUGAUGGGGGUGCAGACUCUGAGGGUGCCAGUUGGCCGCCUGCACGACGUCGUCCUCUCUAGAGGCCAGCUGACUAGAGCUGGCCGCUCUUGGUGCCGUCUGCUGGUGGUUGGCUGUCCUCCGGUGGCCGGCUGUUGAGCCAGCCGGCCUCCGGAAGGCGGAGCUUUAGUUUGGGGUAUCACGGGGCGAAGCCGGCCCGAAGUUUUGAUAGGUUCAGGGACUCGGGUGAGGCUACCUGUGGCCCAUUACUCCGACAAUAUCACUCGGUAAGGACAUUUCUAACCGAUCUUCUAAUAAUAGCGGAGGAUUCGGCGGAGUAAGCCUUUAGUUUAAGUAUUUUUACUCCACUAAGUUUUCGUCUGACCUAACCGAUUUCUUUAAUUUUUUUCAUUGCAUUUCAUUUUCGGCCACCGAAACACAUUACUUUAUUUCAUUUUGAUACAUUGAAGUACAAAUUCACCAAUUCUUCGCUACAAGAGCAAACCCAAAGACAAACAAAAGCCACAAUGAGACACUCCAAAAGAUAUUCAACUUCCAUAACUGCUCCCACUAGUUGGAUUAAUAUCUUCUCCAUGUCUUCAUUAUUGAUUCUCUCUAUUGGCUUCUUCGAGCUUGCACACUUCUUUUUUCUUCAAUUUUAAAGAAUUCGACGUUGCUUCGCAUCUAAUCUCAUCUCUAGCCUCUAUUCUAGCAACGAGUGCACGGACAUCUAUCAAAUUUCGUGCUAUCAGUAGAUCGAUGUAAUCUUCUUCCCAAUACCAAAAUUUGCAUCCAUCCUACACACAAAUUUGAGCAAACAAUGAGCUACCGAAAUUGCGCAGAAUCCGGUGAACAACCGAAUCAAAAGAAGCACAUACCCAUCUAUUUUUGCAUUUGAAGAAUACCCAUCCGUUCCAACAUGGUAGAAACUACGCGCACCAUCUGUCGCGGACAGUCAUUGCACUUUAUGACCAGCAACGGUGAGCCGACGAGCCACUGGGCCAGCGUCGAGCCUGGGCGACGGCCCGAUGUGUCUUUGCCGGUGAACCGCCGACGGGAGAGAUCCAAGCGACCAAAGGGGGAUUCAAUACCUGCAUGCGGCGCGGAGGCGUUGUCGGGGCUGUGUUGUCCGGUACUCGGCCAAUCCUUGGCAAGGCGCAAUCGCCGGCGACCGGAUGCGCCAAAUCCGACGGCGGCGGCGGCCGCAGAUCUACCGAUUGUGCGCCGGUGAUGGGGCAAGAGAGGCACAGAUUCGGGCGAUCAAGGACCGCGGCGGAGCCUACGGAGCGUCCGUGUGCGGUGGCCGGCGAGGGGGGUCAAAGGGACGGCGUCGGCGUAGAUGCGGCGCAGGAUGGGGUUGUGGAGGCUACAGGGAUCGAGGCUAUAGCGAUGGAGUAAAUAUAAGAAGGUGGGGAUUUGAGGAUAAUUUAUCCUCCACUAACACUGAUUGGGGAUUGGCUAGGUGCCGGUUAGAACAAUAAAAUUAAAUUUGUGCUCCUCUAACCGAUCCAAAGAAUUAGUCCAGGUUAAAGCAGUAAAAUCAAAUUCGUACUCCUCUAACCAGCCCAAGAAAUUGGUGCAGGAUAGAGGAGUAAAAUCAAAUUUGUAUUCGUCUAAUCAGCUAUAGGAUCGGUUAGAAAUGUCGUAAGUACUUUCGCAUGGGCAUCCAGAAUGUGUGAUAUGCUCCCGCCGAAGUUCUUCAACAAAUAUAUUUGUUCUCCCAUGGGAAAAAAAAUGCAUAGCCUUUUUUCUACCCUACCCAAAUGAUAAGCGCCACGAAGUAACACCAUGCUGAUAUUUUUACACUAAAAUUUGGCAUAAAAGAUACCCUAAAAGAAAUUGAAACUUACCAACGAAACAAAUGCCUCUCAACUAAAGUUUUCAUUGUCUUGUAACUAAACUUGUUAUUAAAAACGCCAGGAUGAAAUUGCCUCGUGCCACACGUGUAGCAUUUAUCGGAGUCAUUUUUUUAUAUAGACUGCACCAGAAACAAGAAUCUGCUGUGUAUGUAUGCAUCUAUCGACUCGCUUACUAUUUUUAGGGGCGCAUGACUCCGUGUGAGCAACGACUUGACCACUCAAGAAGAUCCGGUCGACAGUCCGACGUAAAAACGACCCCAACGGCCCAAAAUUCUUUCUUUGCGUCUCGCAUGCCUGCGACGGUGUGCCGUGAAUUCCACUCUGCUUUCGCUCCUGCCUCGUGGUGAAACUGUCGGAGUCGAAGGCUAAACAGACUGAACGAACGACCACGGCCAGAGUCGCCCAUCGGUUUUCGCUUGUGGGGGUCGGGGGCUAAAAUGACGCGCACGUGCAAUUUGGCUGGACCGGAUCGAGUAAUCCAAAAAUUCGGAAGCAGCCUACUGGACUGAAUCUGAACGGGAGACCAGCCACAUGUCACAGUCGAGAGAGUCUUCAGUGCAGUGCAGUCGCAGCACCACUGAAAUUCUUUGCACUUACCGAUACACAUAAUCCCAAUUUCCAACUUUGAAAAUGAGAAGAGAACAUUACCCCAAUUUCUAGCGUACAGUGGUCUAGGAAAUCAUUCUAGAGUUUCCACUGAGCACACUCAAGUGAAGUGUGCACUAAGAAAGUGAGAAUGCAUCUUCACACGGCGGCAGCGCAUAGUUACUCGCUCGCGAAUUUACUCACUUGCGAAUGGAAUAGCUGGGAAGACAACCACCCAAUUUUUGUAGAUCAGUGGUGCUUGCUAAAGGAAGAAAAUACUCUUGACUGACGGACCGCCUGGCAGGACUGACCGGCGGACUGUCUCAUUUUAAACACAACUGUUCCUCCCAGCAAAUUGAUAUCAUAAUGUCUGCAAAACAACAUGAAAGCGUCAAAUUGCAUUAGAAAAUACUGAAGGUCACGAGUUCAAUCAAAACCAUAUGACCAUGUGCGGCCCUGAAUUUUAAUAGGAUAUGUGGGGUUCAUAGCACCCAGAAGAUAACAACUCCUGGUGGAUAGCAGAACGCCACUCGCAUUUUUUGGAGAGAAACAAUCCAAGCUACUCUGUCAAAGCAAGGACCGUGUAACUGUUUUCUAAGGUUUCUUUUCUUGUAGAUUUACACCAGUAGUAGAUGGUGUAAGUUCCCCGCAAAAGGGCAAAAAAACUAAAUGGUGUAAGCAGCCGCCCCGCUUGUUUUAAAUGUUCCAAUGUCGACAAAGGGCCUUCAGAUCUCCAAGUACAGCGUUUCUGGCACCAAUUAGGCAAAGCUGCCUUCAGCAACCCGCUGUAGAAUGCAGCAGCCAGCAGCAGACCCCGCCUUCCAGCUCCACACCCCACACCAACCCACCCACCAUGCCCCGCUCCUCUCCCUAUUUAACCCGUCUUCUGCCUCCAUUCCUCUCCAAGAAGAGCCACAGCUUCUUCUCCAAUUUGAGCUCCUCUUCAGCGCCACUCCGACCUCCAGAAUCCACCACCACUUCCAGAAUUCAUCCAGAAUCACAGAUACGCAUACACCUGCCCGGCUUCAAGCUUCCUUGCUUUAGCACUUCUUUGCAUAUCUCGAUGGAGUGCGAGAACGGGCACGUUGCCGCCAACGGCGAUGGCCUGUGCGUGGCGCAGCCGGCGCGGGCCGACCCGCUCAACUGGGGGAAGGCGGCGGAGGAGCUGUCCGGUAGCCAUUUGGAUGCCGUGAAGCGGAUGGUCGAGGAGUACCGUAAGCCGGCCUGACCAUUGCCAUGGUCGCCGCGGUGGCUGCCGGCAGCGACACCAGGGUGGAGCUCGACGAGUCCGCUCGCGGCCGCGUCAAGGAGAGCAGCGACUGGGUCAUGAACAGCAUGAUGAACGGCACCGACAGCUACGGUGUCACCACAGGCUUCGGCGCCACCUCUCACCGGAGGACCAAGGAGGGCGGCGCUCUCCAGAGGGAGCUCAUUAGGUGCGAAUUAAACCACGAACAAGUUAUAAUACACAUGUUGAUCAUCUCUGUCUGUGAGUUAUGGAAGACUUAUUUUUUUUCGCGUGUUGCUUGUCUGUUCAGAUUCCUUAACGCUGGAGCCUUCGGCAACGGCAGCGACGGCCACGUUCUGCCUGCUGCGGCGACGAGGGCAGCCAUGCUCGUGCGUGUCAACACCCUGCUUCAGGGAUAUUCUGGCAUCCGCUUCGAGAUCCUUGAGACGAUCGCCACGCUCCUCAACGCCAACGUGACACCAUGCCUACCACUUAGAGGCACCAUCACCGCGUCUGGUGACCUGGUCCCGCUUUCCUAUAUUGCGGGACUGGUAACGGGCCGCCCAAACUCCAUGGCCACGGCUCCGGAUGGCACCAAGGUUAACGCGGCGGAGGCAUUUAAGAUUGCCGGCAUCCAGCAUGGCUUCUUCGAGCUGCAGCCCAAGGAAGGCCUUGCUAUGGUGAACGGCACAGCAGUGGGCUCGGGGCUUGCAUCCAUGGUGCUUUUCGAGGCUAACAUCCUUAGCCUUCUUGCCGAGGUCCUUUCGGUUGUCUUCUGUGAGGUCAUGCACGGCAAGCCGGAGUACACCGACCACUUGACCCAUAAGUUGAAGCACCACCCUAGACAGAUUGAGGCUGCCGCCAUCAUGGAGCACAUACUUGAAGGCAGCUCCUACAUGAUGCUUGCUAAGAAGCUCGGCGAGCUCGACCCAUUGAUGAAGCCAAAGCAAGAUAGAUAUGCACUCCGCACCUCACCGCAGUGGCUCGGUCCUCAGAUUGAGGUCAUCCGUGCUGCCACCAAGUCCAUUGAACGAGAGAUCAACUCCGUCAACGACAACCUACUCAUCGACGUCUCUCGCGGCAAGGCUAUCCAUGGUGGAAACUUCCAGGGCACACCAAUCGGUGUGUCUAUGGACAACACCAGGCUUGCCAUUGCUGCAAUUGGCAAGCUCAUGUUUGCCCAAUUCUCGGAGUUGGUGAACGACUUGUACAACAACGGUCUUCCUUCCAACCUCUCUGGUGGGCACAACCCGAGCUUGGACUAUGGCUUCAAGGGUGCCGAGAUUGCCAUGGCCUCGUACUGCUCCGAGCUCCAGUUCUUGGGCAACCCUGUGACCAACCAUGUCCAG
rnacentral:lncRNA from 1 species